AGGCUUUAGAUUUUGGGAAAAAAUUGUCUUUUGCAAGAGAUAGGCUGGUGGAAUGCUACUUUUGGAUAUUAUGUGUCUACUUUGAGCCUCAGUACUAUCUUGCAAGGAAAAUUCUAACCAAAGUUAUCGCCAUGACUUCUAUUAUUGAUGACAUCUAUGAUGUUUAUGGGACCCUAGACGAACUUCAACUUUUCACAGAUGCAAUUGAAAGGUGAAUUUAUUCUACUGUCUAGUUUUGAAUUAUUCUUUGUAUCUUAUUAUCUAAUAGCACAUUAUUUAUAUUGAAAUAUAUAGUCAAACAGAUUUAGAUUUGAUAUUGAAUAUUUUUGUGAGCAGGUGGGAUUUUAGUGCCAUGGAUCAGUUACCAUCAUACAUGAAACAUUUUUACAAAUCUCUUUUAGAUGUUUAUCUCGAAGCGGAGAAAGAUUUAGAAAAGAUAGGAAAAUCGUAUAGUGUUCAGUACGCGAUUGAUGAGGUAAACAAUAUUGAUAAAGUUGCUUGACUUUUAUCAAAAUUACAUCCUAUAUAUCUAAUCAAAGUUUCAAUUUACAGAUGAAAAAAUUAGUCCGAGCUUAUUUCAAAGAGGCAAAAUGGAUAUACAACGGAUAUGUUCCAACACUAGAAGAGUAUAUGAACGUCACACUAGUAUCUAGUGCUUACAUGAUGCUAUCUACAACAUCUUUAGUAGGUAUGGGAGAACUGGUAACUAAGGAAGCCUUUGAUUGGAUUUCAAGUGAACCAUUAUUAGUACGUGCUUCAUCAAUAAUCUGUAGACUAAUGGAUGACAUGGUGGGAUAUGAGGUAAGAAAUCCGAAUUCUUAGUUGGCUUUAUUCUAUAUUACACAAGUUCAUCACACAGGUUUUUUGUUCUCAUGGCUGUCAACAUAUGAGAAAAAUGUAAUAGCCUGCUCAGCAUUAGAUAAAAAAGUUUUUUUGUUGCGUUACUUGUCUGCAGUACGAGCAAAAAAUUGCAUCAGUUGAAUGUUACAUGAAAGAGACAGGGUCUUCAAAAGAAGAUGCAUUUGCUGUAUUUCAAACACAAGUCAUGAAUGCGUGGAAGGAUAUAAACCAAGAAUGCCUUAAUUCAGAUGCAAUACCAAUGGCUGUUCUCAUACGAGUAGUCAAUCUUACACGUGUCAUCAAUCUUCUAUACAAAGAGAGUGAUGGAUACUCAAAUUCUACAGCUAAGUUAAAAGAUUUUGUAACAUCGACACUCAUACAACCAGUGACAAUAUCCAAUUGAACGCAGUAACUGCAUGGGCUACUUCCAUUUUAAUGUAUCACCAUAUUAUCAUCCAUAUUUAGUGCCGUGUUGUCAAAUUCUAUGACACAAUAUUAGGUCUUGGUUAAGGUUAUUCAAAAUUGAAUUUCCUUGCAUGUAACUGAACAUUAUAUCUACUGGAAAGCCCUUUGAGUAGUUAAAAACUUUGUAUUUGUCUUGUCCAAUGUUCUAAAUAGUGAUAUUAAUGAUUAAAGUUUUUUACAAUCCCAAAUAACCCAUAACUAUCUAAUACUAUAUAUACCGAACCAAAUUUCGUCCCAAAAGAGUGUUGAGCCAUUAUUCAUUAAAGUGGACAUCCUGAUAAAGAUCGAAUAUUGAUUCUAUAUUUCUCUUGCCUCACCCAGAAGAUAUAAACAACGAGACACCAAAAUAUAAAAAAACACCAAUAAACCUUUGCCAAAUAUCUUUUAGAGUUUUAUAGAUCCAGAGAGGUGACUGGGGUUAUGGUUUGUGAAGAACGAGUUUGUUCGUAGCAAUACACUUGGAGAAAAGAAGUUCUGAGGUUCUGGAGUUGGUGCUAGAGAACACAAUCGAGGAGUUCUAUAGUGAUUACAUGUUGGGGGGUUAGAGUUUACUGAGGUUCAGUUAUGUCUAAACCAAUACUGUAAGUUCAAUAUUUUCUAGUGAAUUAUUUACUGGCACAUGUGCUUGGAUGUUUUUUCUAUUGAAGAGUUCUCCAAGAUUUUCCCUUUGUAAAUAAUUAUUGGUGUUCUUUAUUUUACAGCUUCGAUAUUUACGAUUGAUUUAUUACUAGGGUUUAAAUUGAGUCAUACCUAGUUUAUUACAGGAGUCAUAUCAUUAAGAAUAAUUUGUAUAAAGAACUGUAGUUCAAUUUCCAAAUGUUAUAAGCCCAUAUACUAUCUCAUACUUAAUUGAUAUGGGAUUUUCGUUGCACUUUCCCAAUAAUUUGAACCCACCUGUCGACUUCAAAUGCUCCAUUAGAAUUUGUCCCAUCUGGAAAUCUUGUUAGCAUGCUUCAUGUUUUUAGGUACUUAAUUAGUUACUCCCAAAAAAAAAAAAAAGAGUAUUUCACACACCACGGUAUUUUAUUUUAUUUUAUUUAUUGCAGAUUAUUGAUUUGAAUCCCCUUUAUUGACUUUGUCUUUUAUUUGUUAUAAUUUAUAAUGAGACAUUUUUAAGAAUAUCCAAUUUUAAGGGUAUGAGUUGAAAAGUGUCCGUUUAUUUGAAUUUAGUGACAACUUGUCUAUUAUGCCCUUAAUAAAAAGUUACAUUUUGAAAUGGUAUUCUCCACAUUUGAUUUUUUUAUCAAUUUUUCAUUAAUUUUAAAAAGUGGCUUCCAUGAGAAUCUACAUUAAAAUAAUAUUUCUUGACAUUUUAUAUGUCAUUCUCGACAUUUCAUAUGUCAUUCUUGACAUUUGAAUACUGUUUCAUUUGUCUAGAAUGAAAUUUAAUUUUGAAUAUAACAUUUCUCUACAUUUAAAAAUGUCGUUCUUGACAUUUCUAAAUCAAUAGCAUUUAUUGUGAUUUGACAUGUAUACUUUUUAAAAUAAAUAUGACAGGUUAUGUGUCAAAAUUUUAUUGGCCAAUAACAAUAUUGCAAAAAUGUCCAUUCUUUUGUCUUAAUGUAGAAUUAUAAAUUGUUAAUAAGGGUAUUUUGGUCUAAAUUCUUCGAAAUUAGACAUUUUUGCAAUGGUGGGCAUUUUUGCAAAUGACUAGGUAAAAAUGGACAUUUUGUGAAAUUUUCUCAUUUAUAAUUCAAUACGUAGUAUAUUAAUUUUGUUUUAUUAGUAGGUUAAAAACGUGUAAAUUCUAUGUUUCAAAUCCAACUAAAAGAAUUAGUCAAUUUUGCAAUUUGAAUUCAAGAUUCAACUAGUAUGCAAUAAAAUAACGCUUGAUUAUUUUAAUUAAAUAUUGUUGAACAGAAUCAGUAUGAUAAUCGACCUUCAUGGCAAGGUCACUGUCAAGUUAGAAGGGGCUGGAAGCCCCCUCCCAGGAUGUCUGGGUAGAGUCUUUGGACCAAGGAUGGUUUAGAAAUUUACACUUGAAAUUUAGAUUUUAUUCUAGUUUUAUCUAUAAAUAGAGAACCAUCAUUAGAGUUUUGUAAUCAUCAUCAAAAGAAAGAUAUUAGAGAAAAAAAGGGUAUGGGAUUUUUCUCUUAUACAAUUCUUUUCAAUAAAGUGAAUAAUCGGCAGAAGAGCAUGUAGUCUCACAUUGAAAUGGGCCUCUAUAAAUUUUACGUGUUCUUGUGUCUAUUUUCUUUCUACAAUUUUAUUUCUCUCGAUGAUGUAAAAUUAAAAUUUAUAAUUAUCAAUUAUUGCAACUUUUUAUCAACUAUUUUUAGUGAUCGAAAAGCAGAUAACUGAUACGUGGUCAAGACUUUCUAGGCCUACAUAUAUUAGUCUUCAAAUUAAAACGAGCACACAAUUGAGCUUUGUCUUUUUGGAGAAUGGAAAGCAAAUACAUUUUCAUUUUGUGGUGUUUGUGUUGCACAAUGGUACUGGUUGUCCGUCUACCUAAAUGCUUCAAUUUACUUGUGGGAUACUGAAGAAAAAAAAUAUGCACAUUGCAAUAAAAUAUAAAUUUUGUCUUGCAUAUUAAAAUAUUUUAAGCUUUAAAACGCUUGGACAGGAAAUACUUUCUCAUAAAGAACAAGAAAAAAACUACGAGAAGAGGUAAAUAAUUUUUUGCAGGAAAUGUUAAAUCAAAUAAGCACUAUGAGUUCCCUAAUUGUAAACCAAAUAAUCACUAUGACUUCCCUAUGAUAUUAAAAGCAUUUACAUCCAAAAUUGAUUGGACCUAGGGCAUAACACAUACAGUGUCAUGCAUAUUACAAUGUUUUAACCUUUAAAACACGUGGGCAGGAAAUAUUUUCUCAUCAACAACAAGAAAAAGACUUCGAGAAGAAGUAAAUAAGUUGUAGCAGUAAAUGUUAAACCAACCUUUGGACCAAAAUUUCAUUAAGGAUGGUUUAGAAAUUUACAAUUGUAAUUUCGAUUUUAUUCUAAUUUUAUGUAUAAAUAGGGAACCAUCAUUAGAGUUUUGUAAUCAUUAUACAAAAAAAAAAAAAAAAAAAAGGAUAUUAGAGAAAACAGGGUUUGCGAUUUUUCUCUUAUAAAUUUCUUUUCAUUAAAGUGAAUCAUCUGUAAAAGAGCAUGUAGUCUCACAUUAAAAUGAGCCUCUACAAAUUUUACGUGUUCUUGUCUGUCUAUUUUCUUUCUACAAUUUUAUUUCUCUCGGUGAUAUAAAUUAUUGCAACUUUUAUCAAUUGUUUUUAGCUAGCGAAAAGCAGAUAACUGAUGUGUGUUCAAGACUUUCUAGGCGUACAUAUCUUAGUCUUCAAAUUAAAAACGUGCAAUUGAGCUUCGUCUUUAUGGAUAAUGGGAAGCAAAUAUAUUUUCAUUUUGCCGUGUUUGUAUUGCACAAUUGUGCUGGUGGUCCAUCUACCUAAAUGCUUCAAUUUACUUGUGGGAUACUGAAGAAAAAAAAUAUGCACAUUGCACUAAAAUAUAAAUUGUGCCAUGCAUAUUAAAAUGUUUUAAGCUUUUAAACACUUGGGCAGGAAAUAUUUUCUCAUGAAGAACCAAAAAAAAAAAAAAAAGACUACAAGAAGAGGUAAAUAAGUUGUUGCAGGAAAUGCUAAACCAAAUAAGCACAAUGAUUUCCCUAACUACAAACCAAAUAAUCACUAUGACUUCCCUAUGAUAUUUAUGGUAUCCUAGAUGAAUUUUCACUUUUUCUCGAAGUGCAAUUACAACAAAAACAGCUUUUUGUAACGUUUAAAAAACGUUGCCGAAGACCUUUGCAACGUUUGGAUGUAUGUUGCAAACCGCAAUGUUGUCGUAAAAUAGAAGGAUAUGCUAGAGUUUUUUGAACAUUGCUAAUAAUGUUUUUGCAACAUUUUUUGAACAUUAUGAAAAACGUUUUUGUAGCAUUUUUUGAAUGUUGUCUAGACUUAUAUCCUUAUUUUUUGCAACAUUUAUUGAACAUUGCCGUUUAAAUUUUUUUUUUUUUUUAACAUAUUUCAAACUCAUUUCACAAGUCUUUAAAUUUAUUUAUACACUAGAAUCAUCUCAUUCUAGUUCUUAACAAAAUUUCUUGAACUCUUGCAAUUUGUUUGGAGAAGACAUUCAUAGACGGGCUCCAGCUUCUGCUAUGACUUGGGCUCCGAUUCCUGUUUCAAGUCCUCACUGGAGAAUGGGCCACACCAGGACUUUGACUGCGGCUUCUGUAGCCAUUGGGCGAACUGCCUCGCACUGGACUUUGACUGCGGCUCCUCGAACCAUAAUAGGGUGGAGAACGUUUCCUUACUGGUGAAUGUGAGAAUGACCUUUCUCUACCGUAUCUUCGCUCCCUCGGGGACAUAGACCUGCCAAACUCAUUAGCAGGUAGCAACUUAUUAAUUCCAAAAGAAAAAGAGUGACCAUAUCAAAUAAAUAAUAAAAGAGAUGAAAAAGAGGAGAAAUUAUAUUAUAACUUGAGUAUCUUCUUCUAGGAAGAGGUGAAUAGUAAUCACGGCUAUGAGAUGUGGACCUCUAGUAGCGUGUAGGUGGAGAAUGAGAAUAACGAGGAGACCGUCUCCGGUCAUAAACAUUAGCUCUGCAACAAAUAGGAAUCAAAACAAAGAAAUGGAUAGUCAUCGAGGAACUUGACUUACAACAGAUUGUCCACCCAAUUUAAAGAGAAGUAUCAAAGUUCCACAACUAAUUUUUAGCUAUAAAGCAAACUGAAAAUGUAUAGUAAAAAAGUGAACAUCUUUAAAUUAAAAAGAUAAAUGUAUGAACAAACUUUACCUUCCUCCACGUUCCCCCUCUCUCAUUUCAGUUAGCUUCUUCCUGUUCUCCUUAGCAAAAACAACUGUGAGCUCCCGACCAUGCAGAAUCUGACCGUCCAUCUGAUAUUUAGCUUCAGCAGCAUCAGCAGGGUCCAUAUACUGCACAAAUCCAAAGCCUCGUGGUUCACUGCAAGUAAAGGAGCGUAAGGAAAAGAGAAAGUGAGUGUGGUUGUUUUGCACAGGAGUACGCCAGCCCAAGCGAAAUACUUUUUGAGGGGCGGUUUGAAGAGCUUCACUCCCCAGUCAGCGAUUAAUGAUUUGGCAUGAAUUUUUAAAAUGUCGAUGAAAAGAAACUAAAAAUUCCAGAGGAAGUUGAAAGCUAAAUAUAUUGUUUGCUUAUUGGAAAAACUAGAUAAAAAAACUCGAUGGGGAGAUGUCGACGGGAGCAUUUGUUUACGUAUUACUUUGUUAGAAUUGGGUGGUAUGAAUCCUGCUUGAGUUCGAUGACCUCCCCCCUCGAUGGAGUAACUAGUGGAUUCACAGAUCUGGCUUUCAACUACGUCAUAAUCUUCUGAAACAAGAGGCCUCUCUAUGUCAUCAACCUAUGCAAAUGACAGUGUAAAGAGGUUGCACGAGGAAAUAAAAAAUAGCACAAGGAAAGACCAAGUCACUCAUCUUUUGAAAAGAAGAGGGGGCAAUUAUGCCAAAAGAUUCAAAAUUACCAAAAUGGUUUGGAAGAUCGAGAACAAAUCACUCAUCUUUUGAAAUUGCAUAAGAAAGAUAAGCUAAAAUCGUGUCCAUUGUACUCUUAGUCCUAAGUAGACAUGACAAGAAGAACUAACACAUACAAAUCAGAAAGGGUCUAAAACAGAAAUUGGGCAAACCAAUGGAAAAAAAGCACGCAAGCAGUCUGUAUGCACUCCUUUUUUACUCACACCAUUUAAAAACACGUCAAAUAACUAUAUACUUUCACAUUUAACCAUAGAUCAAAACACAGAAGAUCGUUGAUCAAACACCAAAACCUACCUUCGCCAACUAAAUUUCAGAGUUACUGGAGUUUUGGGAAGAGAUGCUUGAAGUUCCGAUGCUGCAGAGAAAGGUUCCAUUGGAAGAACGAGAUUAGUUCUCGGAGAUCCAUAGAAGAUAAAUGAUACCAGGGAUUGAGAGUUGUUUUGAGGAGGAAGUAAUCUAGGAGGGCCAAAUUGAUUACAUAAAGAAGGUAAGAGGAAUUAAAAGUUAGUCGGGUCUGGACCAUAAUAUAAGUCUCAACGCUUAUAGUGGAUUGUUAACUAGCAAAGUGCCAUGAGCUUUUACCUAGUUGGGAUUUUUCUGUGAUCAUCUUUGGUGUUCUUUACUCAUUAGAUAUUAAUCGUGAUAUUCAAACUUAGGAUAAAUUGACUUAAUUGACCUAAUCAUCUAGAAACACUUAAAAAGUGACUUAUUACUUUUAAUUGUGUGAUUCUGCAUAUUGGGUCUAAAUAUUCGACUAAUUAGAACUUUCGAAUAGUAUCAGAGCUUAAUUGCGAUCCUUGACCUCAAUUUGUCUAGAUUUGUCAAUCAAUUUUGGACUCCGGAUAUGAGUUUGAUAUGGAAAUUAAGGAGGUUUAUGACCAAUUGUUUGAGAAGUACCCUAAGUUGAAAAAAGUGAAUCGCUCUACCUUUAAAAAAUUGAAUAAUCUUGAAUUAGAAAAGGAGAGUCUUCUAGCCAAACUUGAGGAAUAUAUUAGAAGUUUGAAUGAGUUAAGAGUUAAGAAAGAGUCCUUAGAUGUUAAGGAUAAAUCUCUUAUGAUUGAUCUGGAAAAAUCAAAUACCCAGCUCUAAUCUUUUCCUGGGGGAUCUAAGAAAAUUAAUAACAUGAUAGGUUUGAAUAAAAUAAUUGGGGAUAGAAGAGGUGUGGAGUUUAAUGAAACAAAUUCCCAUACCGCUUCUUCCUUGAAAUAAGCUUGUACAAACCUUGAAGCUUAAGGUUCAAAACUUGAAAUUUGAAGUUGCUCCUAAGUUCAUCCCUACAUGCCAUCAUUGUGGUAAGGUAGGACACAUAGACCUAAGUGUUGUGAGCUCUUGAAUAGGAAUGAGACGAAAAAAUAUAGGUGUUCGAUGACCGAAAUCACCGGUACAACUUAGGUUUCCUCCACCCAAGGUUCAAAUUUUGAAAUCUAGGAUUGUUCCUAAAUUCAUUUCCACAUGUCAUAAUUGUGGUGUUUUAGGUCACAUUAGACGUAAUUGUUGUUAGCCCUUAUUUAGGUACAAUAAUCAAGAUUUAACUACUUGAGUUACUUUCUCGAUUGUCUAAGUGAAUCACUUGACUAAGUUGAUGACUAAAUUGACUAAUAUUACAUCUUCUUCUAAGAAGAUUUGGGUCAAGAAGAGUGAACUCACUAGUCUAAGUGAUGUUGAUAAUUGUGAUAUUCCUCACAUGCCCUUCAUCGUAAGAGCAUUUGUGUGCCUCAUUGAUUAGGCAUUUAGGUGCAUCUAUUUGCAAUUUUCAUGAUAUCUAUAUAUUCAUGCAUGCACAUUCACUUAUUGUAUAUUAUGAGCUUUCUUUUUGCAUGUUUGCUUUAUAAUAAAAAAAUAAAAAACAAUUUUUCUGGACAUAUUGUUUUUCUAUCAAGUACUAGUAAGGUUCAUUAUUGGUAAAUUAAAUUUUCAUUAAUUGGUUUAGAACUUGUUUGGAGUACUUGGUAUAUGUUAUUACAUGUAUCUUAUGCAUUGCACACAUUAGACUCUUGUGAGUAUGUUUUGAUCAUAUGGUUGAGAUUUGGGAUGGCAGUCAUUUGUGUGGUAAAUUGACUUUGAAUAUAGAAUGACUUUUAAUUAGAUUGACCUAAAGUUCUAGUAUAUUCUUCUUAAAAGGAAAAAUUGGUUGAGAUUCAAAAAUUUUGAAAUAUAUGAAAAAGUGAGAUUCAUCUUAUACUCCAUUUUGGAGCCUAUUUGACUUGAGUAAUUAAGUUUGAAAGGUUUCUCAUAAUCUGAUGCCAUAUAGUCAAUUAACUUGGAGUUAUUGGCCUAAAACUAGUUACAGGGACUAUCUUAGCUGCUUAAUGGAGAAGAGAUUGUACACAAAAUAUAAAAGAAAAUGAGAGAAAAAAAUAUGUGCGCUCAUUGAUAAGGGGAGAAAGAAAAGUUAUAUACUGAAAAAUCAAUAUGAGCAUUUUAUUUAUAAGGUCCUAAUAACAUUGAGUUUGAUUAAAUAAGUUGAAGGAUUAUUAAUUCACUAGUGAUUUUUGUAUGUCCUUUCUAUUGAUUUAAGGUUUUGAAACUUGCUUACAGGAGUUUAGUGGCACUUAUCACACUUGUGUAGCUCAUACAAUUUAAUCCAUUUACGUUUAAAAUAAGUUAUGUGAAAAAAAGUUUACUUUUUUAUAAACUAUGCAUGCAUAAGUAAGCAAAUAACUAUUUAAGAUGAAAAUUCAUAGAAAAAAACAGUUGGUCUCAAAAUUGAACAAUUUUUAUUCUCCUAUCACAUGUUUUUGCAUAAUCUUUGCUUCAUUAUACAUGUGCAUAUUUUUUAUUAAUUCCUCUCUAUGCUUUACAUGAUUAUUACUUGUUUUUCCUUCGUUAUUCGCGACAAAAGAGGGGGGGGGGAGAUGUGCAUUUAGUUCAGAGAGUUGAUUACAUGAGUUAGGGAGAGAAUUUUAAAAAAUUGAAUUUUUUUUUAUUGAUAGAUGACUUAGGGAGAGUCAUUUGAUGUAUUUGCUGGAAUUUUAAUAUUGAUAUUGUAUUGUUUAUUGUCUAUAUUGAUAUAAAACUCUAUGGUUUAUUUCUAAGUUUAUAGUUCACAUGAUAUUGCUUGCUUUGAUAUUGCACAUGUUUUAUUAUGAUGUUUUAUGUAACUUAUUUAUAUGAUUUUAGUUGUUAGUUUCCUCUUACUUUUCACGUGGUAUUGUGGUUUCUAUGUGUUUUAGGAAACAGGUCGACAACUUGCUGAAGUGUAGUCUAGAAAGUGUCUAUUAUGGAGAUUGUAGUGGACUUUUGACUUUGGAAUAAAUGAUUUUGUCACGAAAUGUCAAAGUGGGAGAUUGUUAAGUCCAAAUUGUAAUUGACAAUUCCUAAGUGAAAAUCAAGUCCUAGUUGAAUUGUAUUAGGUGUUUAUCGAGUUAUAAUCAAAGUUAAAAUAGUUAAAGAAUGAUAGUAUGGGUCUUGAAAGAGUCCAAGAAGAUCAAAUAUGAUCAAGAGAAUGCAAUUAGAAGUCUAAAGGGUAUCAAAUUAAAUAGCCGCACAAGUUAUAUAUGCUCCAAAUUCUUAGUCACAACUUGCAACGCAUUUUUGACAUAGAAGACUUUCAAAUUUGGAGAAUUCUGUUGAAAGUAUUGUAGCAUUUUGAGUCAGCUUUCCAACGCAAUUUGAAUCAUCUUAAUCAAAUAUUGGGAGAGAAAGUUUUGAAGAAAAUAUUGACGAUUGCUCAGCUGUUGCUUGCCUGUCACUAGCCUAGUAUCGACCGAUGAGUCGACAUUCAGAAUUAUGUUUAGCUUCAAACACUUGGUCUGUCAAUCCCUUUUCAUCCCAAACACUUUUCCCUAUAUAUAUCCUACCCUAUGAAUGUCCAAAAGUGUGUUGAAUCAUAAUUUAUCUGUAGAGAUCAGUCCUUUGAAGAUCGAAAACAUUCAUUGAUUUUUAGAUUCAAUUACCAUUGAUUAUUUGAAAAGAAAGAAAAGCACAUAGCCUUUAUGUCAUAUUGAUAAUGUAAAGAGCAAGAGAUUGAAAGUGGGAUGGAGCAGGUUGAUGAUGAACAUCAACAACCUAAUGUUCAGAUUGAAUAUGAGAAUGUUGAAACUCAAACUAAUGGAGGUUCUAAACAUGAGUCUAAGGCUGAUUUGAAAACAAAUCAACUUUUAAUGAUUAUCAACUUACUAGAGAUAGGCAAAAAAGACAUAUAAGACUUACUAUUAGGUUUGAUUAUGAAGUUUUACUCUUAACCUUCCAAAGUUUAAUUGAAAAUGAACCUAAUUCAUUUAAGAAUGUUAUAAGUUGCAAAGAUUCCAAUUAUUCCCUUGCAUUAGUGCAAGAUGAAAUGGAAUCCCUUAAAAAGAUUUAAACAUGGAUUCUAAUUAAAAGACCUAAGGAAAAAUGUUGACUGUAGAUAUAUUUUUAAAAUAAAAAGAGGAGAACAAAAUUAGAAUGACAUAAGAUACAAGCCAGACUUGUAAUAAAAGACUUUACUCAAAAAGAGGGAAUAGAUUUCAAUGAAAUCUUUUCUCCAGUUGUAAAUUUUACAACUAUUAGAAUAAUCUUGGCCUUAGCAAUACAGUUUAACUGAGAAUUGGAUCAAUUGGAUAUAAAAACAACUUUCUUAAAUGAUGAUCUUGAUGAAAUAAUUUACAUGGAAUGACCCAAAGGCUUUGAAGUAAAUCAAAAGUCUGACUUAGUAUGCAUUCUUAAAAAAUCUUUAUAAGGGUUAAAACAAGCUCCAAGAUAACGAUACACUUUUGUGCAUGGACUUGAUUUUAAGAGAAGUAAUUUUGAUACAUGCCUUUAUUGCAAUGAAGGUGUAGGUGAAAAUUCACUUUAUCUACUCCUUUAUGCAGAUGACAUGCUCUUGGCUAGUCAUGAAAUAAAAGAGAUAGAGUUAAUAAAAAGCAAAUUGAAAUCUGAAUUUGAAAUGAAUGACUUAGGUCCUGUUAGAAAGAUUUUAGGUAUUGAAACUAAAAGAAAUAGAAAAGAAUGCACACUAAGUCUCAAUCAGAAAUCUUAUAUUUUGAAACUAUUGGAAAAGUUUGCUAUGUUUGAUUCUAAGAGUGUUAGUUUACCUUUAGCAAAUUAUUUCAAACUUUCAAAUAAAUAAUGUCCUAAAUCUGAAUAAGAGCUUAAGAGAAUGGCAAAAGUGCAAUACUCAAAUGCAGUUGGGUCUGUUAUAUACUUAAUGGUAUGAUCCAGACCUAAUUUGGCAUACUCAACAUAUGUAUUGAGUAGAUAUAUGUCCAAUCCUAGAGAAGCUCAUUGGGAAACUAUGAAAUAGCUUCUUAGAUACAUUAGGAGGACUUAUGAUUUGGGAAUUCAUUUUAGAAAAUAAUCUGAUGGUGUUGUUUUAAAAGGCUACACUGAUUCUAACUAUGCAGGUGAUAGAGAUAAUAUGAAAUCCACUUCUGCCUACAUGUAUACUUUGUGUAAUUUUUGUAUAAGUCGAAAAUCACAAUUUCAAAAGAUUUUUGCUUUAUCUUUUGUUGAAGAAGAAUACAUAGCUGCCACAAAUGCUAUAAAAGAGGGGAUAUGGUGAAAAGGUCUUCUAAAUGAAUUUGACUUUCAAUAAGAUGUUGUUUUAUAUUCUGAUAGCCAAUCUAUCAUUCAUUUAAGUAGAAAUCAUGUAUUACGUAAUAGAUCGAAAUAUGUUUAUGAUAGAUUCCAUUUUAUUAGAGAUGCUAUUACACAAGGAGUUGUGAAACUUGAAAAUAUUUCUACUUAUUUCAACCCUGCUAAUGAAGGUACCAAGGUGCUAUCAUUACACAAAUUUCUGGAUUGUUUUGUUGGAAGAUUAUUAAUUUUCCAUGUGGGCCAACAUAUGCAAUUAAUUGUGUAUAAAGACUAUUUUAAAGUUAAGACAAAAUUAAAAGUGUUCUAAUAAAGAAUUGAGUAAAUUUGGUCUGGGUAUCUAGAUAAAGUGUGUACCGAAUUAUGUAUAGAAACCAGAUUCUUUUAGAAUUGUAUUUCAUGAUGAUCAAAUAUAUAUGAAAACUAUAUAUAAGGUUAUGAUCCCCAAUUCAUAAACAACUUUUCAUUCUUUAUGUCAUCCCAUCAACACAAAAAAAUUAGAAAGAAUGCUUAAUGAAGAGAAAGAUCCAAAAACUAGCCAAAGGAAUUCAAGAAUCAAGAAUAAGAAUUCAAGAAUUUAUAAUCAAGAAUCAAGAUUAAAGAUCCAGAAGGCAAUAUUCAAAUAUUAUAAUUCAAGAUUCAUUAUUCGAGAUACAAAUCAAUGAAUCAAGGUAUGUUCUUCAUUAAUUAUUUUUCUUGGUGAUUCGACAUGGAGAUCUUGACAAUUUUAUAAAGUUUAAAUUUCAUAAAUAUACAACAUGUUUAAAUCUGUUGAAUAUCAAUGCUUACUGUUUGGGCAUCUGUUAAGAGAGCAAAGGAUGUCAUGAUUAGAAGUAAUCACUGUAGAUGAAAUUGGGAUCAUUGUACCAAGAUGAAGAUUGUGAAGAAAGUGGCAUAAUGAUGCAGACUCAUAUGUUGAUUGGAUGAAUGUUUGAUUUGAUGGAUUUGUUAACUCUUCAAAAGUUGGUUGAUAAAGUUGUUUUAAAAUUGGCAAAAAGGGUUUUGAAGAAUGCAAUUUCUUUAGUAGAAGGAAAGCCUCAGAUGUUGCCAAAUGUCAACCCCAAUAGUUGUUGGAUUGGCUGACUUUCUGAUGACUUCUAUAUAUCACAUAUUCAUCUAGAGUUUGAAGAUCAAUUCAUUUUUUCCCUCUCUCUGGCUUUUGAAGUUCUUCGCCUCUUUCUCACUCAAAAAUCUGAAAGUCUUUUGAUAUUUCAUACCCUCUCAAUGUAAUACUUUUCUUGAGUGAUAUGUAUAUUGAAAGUGUUAUGUUGUUUUUGAGUGAACAAUUGUUGUAUUUGAAAGGCUGUUUUGAUGUAAUCUAGAGUGGUUAUAGUCUGAGUGCCCAGAUCUGUAUCCUAGAUAUUUUGGUUCCGUUUUCAUACAGUGGUUUCUUUUGGUGACGGAAGCUCGAAGGGGUUUAUGGUUUUCUUGACUUACGGCAAAAUAAUAUCGAGUUCAUUUUAUAGUUCAUGUAGCUCUUUAUGUUUUCUGUCUUUUAUUGUUGAUUCAAUGAACUAAUCAUUUGAACCUAAUCAUAACAUGCUAUAGCCUUGAUUCGUUCAGCUACAUCCUGAGAAGCACUCUUGUGGUAUUUUUGCCAUUCUUAAGGAUGCAUUCUUCAUUCUUAAUUGAGCCACUUGUGCUGCCUAAUUAAUGAUUUAUUGAUUGAGUUGUGGCCUAAUCGAUCUCUUCGUUUAUUGGGUCGGGGGAAAAAGAUGAGGAGGGCUAGGUUAGGUCUACAAAAAGGUUAGAAUUAUUUAGCCCCUGUUUGGUACUCAUUUUUUGAGCCAAAAAUGCAUUUUUUCCGUCACAUCAGCACACAAUUUUUGACUUCUACACUCUAAUGGGAGAUCCGCGAUAUGAUGUUUAAAAUGCAUUUUCAUCUAAAAAAUGUGAACCAAACGGACUCUUAGGCUGGGAAGAAGAUGGAGGGUGGAUUGAAAAAUGAAGUUUUAAAGAUUUGGGAUUGUGGUUGGCACAUAUAAAAAAAUUGGGCAUAAUUUGUAAAAAAUUAAAAAAUUUGGGUACUGAAACUGCAAAUUUGACCUUUUUUUAAAUUAUUUCUAACUUCUAAAAUANNNNNNNNNNNNNNNNNNNNNNNNNNNNNNNNNNNNNNNNNNNNNNNNNNNNNNNNNNNNNNNNNNNNNNNNNNNNNNNNNNNNNNNNNNNNNNNNNNNNNNNNNNNNNNNNNNNNNNNNNNNNNNNNNNNNNNNNNNNNNNNNNNNNNNNNNNNNNNNNNNNNNNNNNNNNNNNNNNNNNNNNNNNNNNNNNNNNNNNNNNNNNNNNNNNNNNNNNNNNNNNNNNNNNNNNNNNNNNNNNNNNNNNNNNNNNNNNNNNNNNNNNNNNNNNNNNNNNNNNNNNNNNNNNNNNNNNNNNAAAUUGGGGCUUUUUUUUUUUUUUUUUUUCAAUACGUAGGAAAUAUAUCGUACAUAGACAAAUUAAGUUAAGCCUCGCACUAACCAAGUAAAGUUUGACCAAAACCAACUUAGUCAAAUUAUGGUUGGAGAAAAUAAUCACAAAAGAAAUUAGUGCUGUUCGUCGAUAACAUUAAAUCAAGCACAGGGUAGCGGGCAAACAUAUUAAUUUAACCAAACUAAAAAAGGAAAGAAUAAUAAGGUUCAAUCGCUAGUUACAUUAAUUAAGAUGUCUAAAAUCAUGAAUUUGGCAGUCUAACAAAAUUGGAUUUCGUUUUAAAUUGCUCAUAUAAGUUCUUUUAAUUUAUGGAAUCCGAUGGUGGAGAAAAGAUCAAGCGCUAGCCUAAAAGUUAAUUUAUCUCCAAGAAACUUGAUCACAAAAAUAUUUGAAUGAUAUAAAAAUAGACUCCAUAUAAUUUUUGAACCGAAAAGAACGAAUCAACCUACUCUUCAAAGGAAACAUAUAUUUUGGUUUGAAUCAAUGUUCAGGUAGUCCUUUCGACAAUUUUUUAUUUUAAUAAUUGACGCAUAUAUAUAAUGUUUCAAUGAGAGUUCAAGAUUCACACUUUUCAAGUAAGUGGGACUAUAGUCUAAGUAUCUUAAUUAGGCUAAAUAGUCAUUCAUAGAUUUAACAACAUGAAAGUUGAUGUUUGACAAAUAUUAUUAAGGUGUAAUUUUUUGUGCAAAUAGAGGGUUAAAACUAAAAAACCUUCAUCGAGUUAGAAUUUUUUAUUUUAUUUUUUUAAAUAGGAAAUAUCUUUAUAUGCAAACAGAUAUAGAGAAAUAAAUAAAGUUUUAGUAUAUGAAUGAAAGAAAUAUAGAAUUUGUGACGAUAUUCUUAUUAUUAUUAUUAUUAUUUUUAAAGAAGUAUAAUAUUUUAAGGUAAAAUAUCAGAUCUUUUGCUUAUCUAACUACUUAUAGAAAGAUGAAUAAAAUUCACUGUAGUUGCAAUAGUGUUUGAGACUUCUAUUGUAGCUAAAUAGUGAUUUCACUAUAGAUAUUAGUCAUACCCAUUUUUUCUUACUCAAAAAGACGGUGAAGCCAUUUCCCCACGCAAACCCAGACACAAGCUUUCUUCUUCAUCAUCAUCAUUUUCUUCUCACUUCUUCUUCAAUUAUUCUCUAUUUUUUCUGUGAUUAAUCUCUUCGUGCAAAAUUCUCGUGAAUAGAGAGGUAAAUCUUGGCAUGCCCUUUUUUUCAGAUUAUGAUUUUGUUUAUUCAAGAUUCUAUGUGCAAAAUUUUUUAUUUCGAGUGAAUAGAGAUGUAUAUCCUCGAUUUUAUCUGAUAAUUAUAAUUUUGUUUAUUCGAUUCACCAUUUUGGGUUUUUGUGUGAAUAGAGAGGUAUAUUUUUGGUUUAAUGUAAAUUAAAAUGCUUAUUAGUUUGUUAAUUCAUUUAUGUCUCUUGUGUAUUUCAUACAUUGGCAAUCUUGGCAGAAAUCGUAAAGUAUGGCUUCUUGUAGCAAUCUUGGUGCUGAGUCCCUGCACAGGUUUUAACACUAAAUAAUUUUGAAGGUAUGGACUUAUUUUAUCUUAAUCCCUAAAUUUAUGUGUUAAAUGUUUGAGUUUUCGUCAUUUCAUUAAUUUUGGGUGUAUGGGUUUUGUUUGUUGAUGGUUGAUGAUUGUUCCGAUGAUGCCGUGAAUAGACUUUUGAUAUGUACUGCAGAAAAGAAGUCUUGAAUUUUAUUUAUUUAUUUUUUUUAGAGUCAACUAGGGAAAAAAUCUGCCUUUUUAUUUAUUUUCAACUUUUUUUUUGUUAGGACUCUUGAUAUGAGUUUAUUCAUACUUUAUGCAUAUUAAGAAUGUGUGUAUUUUCUGUUUGUAUAAGUCUUUUAUAUUGAGUUUUUGGCUAUAAGAUCAACAGAGCAUAGAGAGGAAAAAAAAGAAGAAGGAAAUAUAGAUUAAUUUUUUAGACUAUGGUUUGGCACCUGAAGCAGGAAAAUGUAGGACUAAAGAAAUUAACAAGAAAUCGAUGAAUGAUUAGGUUAAGCAUAUAAGUUUGGUGAAAAUGAUUGAAUUGCUCCAAGUAUAAGGGGUUUUGUUAUUUUAGUUAAUAGUUGCAAAUGAUUUUUGUUAAGUUUUUAGCUAUAGGCUUAAGCAGAGCAUAGUAAGGUGAUUGGACAGACCAUUUGAAUCUCUAUCUACGCCUAUAGAAUUUCCAUUGCUAAACUUUUUGGUAGUAAUUUAUUGAAAAUGAGCCAGCAGCACAAUAUGAUUAUAUGUUGCGUGUUUUUUCUCAAUGUUGAUGGCAGUACAUUUCAUUUUUUAGGAAGUUAUUUCCACUUUUCAUCCUUACUUAUAUAAAUAAAUAUUCUCAUUUUUGCUAAAUUUUGGUCAUAUUAGUUCUCUUAAUCACUUUGAGCAUGCAAACACUUAGAACCCGUGAAGUAUGGCUUCUUGUAGCAAUCUUGAUGCGGAGUCCCUGCACAGACUGUGCGGGGACUCCGCACGAAUUGUGCGGGGACUUCCACGCACGGAAUUGGUGUGGAAUCCCCGCACAGAAUUGGUGUGGACUCCGCACGACUGUGUGCGGACUCCCAUAAAAUUAUAAAUUAUUUUUUACUUAUAUUCCCACAAUUUUAAAUCUAAUUUUUACUAAUUGUCAGAGAAAAUUCAUGCCAAAAAAUUUAAUUCAAACUUCAAAAGCAUGUCAGGAUUAUGAUAAGAAAACUAAAAUCUCUACAUCACGCUAAUAAAGACAUAUUAAAUACAAUAAUUUUACAACGCACGUGGCAUCGACUAGUUAUAUCCUAUAUUUCCAAUCUAAUGGGUAUUACAAAUUCGUUCAUUCCACGGGUUUCAUGUAAACACACAAGUGAUAUGCACAAGUCACGAUUUUUUAGUCACAUCAUCUGUUCAUCACACGUCCAUUGCAAUACCCGACAUAAAAUAAGAUUAAUUAAGAACAAAAAUUAUGGAGGUUAAAUUAUACUCUUUAAGAUGAUAUGAUUAUUUUAUGGUAAAAGAUCAGAUCUGCUUCCAGAAACCAUCUAGCCUCUUCUACUCUCAUUUGCGUGUUUCAUUAGAUCUCCGGCUCUCUCUCUCUCUCUCUCUCUCGUUUUACCUUACGUUCUUCUCCUAUUUUUGACUGUUAUAGGUUGUUUGUUUAACUAGAUCUAGCCGAGAAACUUCAGUUCGUGCUGGAUCCUUGUUUCUUUGUGGAUUAGUUUGUUACUUUUUGUAGUUUUGCUUGAGGGUUUUUUCCUUUUCCUUGUCUGAGAUGUGAAAGUUUGUUGGGUUAUUCUUCAUUUACAUCGAUCUGCCUCAAAAGUUACAGAUCUUGCUCAAUGUAUUUUUUUCGAUUUCUGUUGUCUUUGACUAUAGUCACUACAAGAAUUUUAUGUUUUCCCUACAAAAUUUAUUUGUGGGGAAAGGCUUUUAUUUGUAGGGAAAUACCUUUGCAGAUGAAAAAAGUUUGUGAGCACGUUUGUGGGGCAAACAUCGAGGGAAUAGGUAUAAGACGGCAAAUUUUUGAAAUUUGUGGGCUAAGGUUUUUUUCCUAUGAACCCUUUGGAGACAAAUACAAUUUGUCGCGUAAGUUUUCCUCCGACAAAGUAAUUCGUCUGCUAAAGUUAUUUCUACAUACGAAGCGAUUUCGCUUGUCCCUACAAAUUAUCUUGUGGGCUAAAUCGUGUUUGUCCCCACAAAUGAUAUUUUGUAUGGAAAAUUUAUUCGUGGGCCAAGAUAUAAACAUCUUUUCCUACAAUUAAACGUUUGUGACAAUAUGGAACAAAUUAUUUUGUGAGCUGAACCCUGUUUUUCUGCAAAUAAUUUUUAGUGAGGAAAUGAUAUUUGUAGGCUAUUAAAAAAGAAUUUGUAGGGAUAAAUUAAACUAUUUCUAUAUUUAUUAUUUAUUAUUUAUAUUAUACUAAGUUUUUUAACUUCAUUCAAAAUAAUAUAAAGAUACAAAAAUCAUAAUAAAUCAAUUAAAACGUAAUGUCAAUCAAUAUUGAAUCCAAAAUAUUUCAUCAAAACACGAAUAAAUGACAUUCACCAAGUAUGAUUACAUCUAAAGUUAAAAUAAGCAGAGCAAACAUGCUAUAUAUAUAUUAUUGUGCAAAUAAAAAAAUGACUGCAUACAACAAUUGUCAUACUACUUAAUCUAAUUAUAAUUUUCUAACAUUUUUUAAUCUAACUUUGCAAUAUAUAUUUUGUGUCUAACAUGGUAGACAAAACACGAUAAAGUGCGGUGGAAGGAAAGAAAAUUUUAAAGACUAUUUAAUGUCUUGGGAUAGUUGAGCUUCUGAUUUAGUAGCAGAACCUAGUGAGGUAAAUUUUGAAGACUUGCUCCUAUUUGCAGCAUCCACCAAACAAUUUGAAGGUCUCCAAGGAUCAACUUUCACUUCCCUUGGUUCGAAACCACUCUCUCUUCCAUUAUCUGGUGUUGUGAGGCUAGAUGGAUGGAUAGCACUGGAGUUCCACAAAAGCAAGGUCACUAAGCAUGAAAAGUUGAGUCUGUGGAAAUAUGACAAGGCAGGUAGAAUAAAGCAUAUGGAAGAAGCCUAUGUAUGAGGCAAUGUUGUCAAGCUUCAAAAAUAUAUUCCUUCCCUUCCUGUUGGUCUGAGAGAAUUUGUUCAAAGUCUUGGGUGAGCUAGAGCUAUUGAGAUGGUCUUCCAUGGAGUCUUCAUCUUUCUUAAAAGGUUUCUCUAUGGUGAAACUGGAACCUCUUGAUGCUUUCCUUGCAACAGACUUUGAUCUUCUUCCUUUCAUGGUAAAACUACUUUUAGUGUAGUUCACCAUAUCUAAAGAGAAGAAAAACAAAACUAGAAAGAAAUGAAGAAAUAACCAAUAAUUCACGAGACAAUCAAAUAACCUUCUUGACUACAAGACAUACUUUUAGCUCACCCUAAAUCCGUUAUUUGGUUAAAUGAGGAUUCCUAUAAGAAAAACCUCCACAGCUUUAGUGAAAACAAACAUGUAAAAAGUAGUGAAAUAUUAGCUAGAAGAAAAAUAUGUCAAAUAUCUCAUAUUAACAAAGUAGACGAUGCAAAAUAUGUAGAUUCAGCAACUAUAGUUUAGACACAAUGAAUUUUCAGAGGAAAAAAAGAAAAAAAAAACUAACCAUCAUACAUACUAAGACUGGCUUCUUUGCUCAAAACCUUGAGUCUUAGCUCCAUGUUUGCUUGUAGCAAGAACUCCAUAACUGAAAUCUCGUCCACCGAAAGACUCGAUUUCUUAAUGGUAGUACUAAAUUUCUAUUCAUUUAAAAUUAUCUUAGUAAAUAAACUACAUGAAAUAUCUAAAUCUAUUCAUUUAAAAUUGUCUUUUUUCUCAACUUCUUAAUGCCAGUACUAAAUUUCUCAAUAAUAUUAGCAGACUGGCUAAAAGGAACAAGAAUCUUAAAACUCCUUAUUUCUGUUGUUAUUCUUCCUGUUAAAAGCCUUGACCAUACCCACGGCAUUUGUAAUGGUCUCAUUCACCUUGAGGAGCGCAUCUUGAGCUGGACAGAACCCUUAUAAUUGUAUUCAUCAUUAACUUCAACAUCCUCUUUCUCUUUAACAUAGCAAUAAAUUGUGAUAAAUUUUAUCUCUAGCACCAAGAAAUAGGGCCAACACAUUGACCUUUGCUCUCGUCUCUUGCCGGAUCGAGUUAAUUAUGUUUCAACUCUUUCCAAUCACGUUCCCAAUAGCACCAUCAGGACAACGAAUCCUAUACACUAUUAGUUCAGCAUUACCCUUGUCAUCCCUGUCUCUUUCUCUAUCCAGUUGCCUCUUUUGGUUCUUGAUAUCCUCGUCAUCACGAUGAGAACUAAAGCGCUUCCCAUUUUCACCCAUUCCAAACUACAAAACAGCUCCCCUGAAUGUACUGAAAAAGCAAUUCCGAACUUUGAAUUUGAAUCAAAAUUAGAUGGCAAAAAUUGCAACUAAAUUUCACAAAAAAAUAAUAAUUAAUAUAUAAAAGGUCAUAAAUAAAAAGAAACUUUUUUUCCCUUCCUUCUUUCCAUAUCAAGCCCCUAACGUUUCAAUUUUUGUUCCCAUUCGUUAGAGUUUUGAUCUAACACGGAAUAAACCAAAAAUGUCUGGAAUCUACUACCCAUUCGUAUUGCUAAAAUACACAACUAUUUAUAAUGAAUCACAUAGAAAAAAAAUACAAAAUCCAUUAAAUGUGUUAUUUCACGUAUAGAUAGAAAUAAUAUUGAUCACUCAAAAGGGCCGUUACCUUCAAAGAGGCAAAAUUCCAAAAAUCCUUCAAUUUCAAUGAAUAAGAACUAAAAUUGAGAAUAAAUUAAAUAAUUAAAAAAAGAUUACACCUGGUUAGCUGCUACGGAUAUUUUUUCAUGGGUAGGAAUUUUGCCCCCGUUCUUGGCCUUCAUAGCCUAGAGUCCCCACUUGCGGUACAUCUGGGAACGCGAGUUCUUCCAGACCCCAUAUCGUAGCCAAGUAACCAAUAGCCCAUCCCAUCCCACCAUUAAAAGGCAAAGGGGAUUGAAUGUAGAGAGGAGAGGAGGCGGUGAGAGGGGUCAGGGUUUUGGAAAUUUUAAUAGAAAAGGAAAAUGAAAUGUGUCGAUGGAAGAGGGAUGUUUUAAGGAAAAGUGUGAGAAUUUUCAUAGGGGGAAAUUAAAAUUUUCAAUGUUAAAAAUUUUUCAUGGAGGGAAAAUUAAAUAAGAAUAAAAAUUGGUCAAUCAAAACUUGCUUUUAACAAAUGUUUUUUCUUUUUAAAAUUUUUCUUUUAAGAAUAAAAAUUGGUCAAUCAAAAAUCUGAAGAUGAGGGUUUUUAUUUUUGGAUUUUGUUAAAAAAAAAAAUGUAUUUUCACUUUUUUUUUUUUUUUUUAGUGAUCUUUUAACUUCAAAUAUAAUUUGUGGGGACUAAAUUUAAAGAUAGUAAUUGAUAAUUUUUCUCCUUAAUUAUUAGCCAACAAAGAGGUCUAAUAUUUUUGUCGGGGAAAAGAUAUAUUUUUCCCGACAAAUUUUUUGUCAGGAAAAGAUACAAUUUUCGUGGGCACAAAUUUCUCUAAUACUGAAAAUUUUGAAUUAAAACUCAACCCUAUGAAACAUUUGUUUGUGGGGAAAAGUGAAUUCCGCAGACAAAUCAAUUUGUAUCAUUGAUGGGAUUCACACAAGCAUGAAAACAGAUUCAUACUUGCAUGUGUUUCUAUUUGGCACAAUUUCGCCACAUACGUGUUAUCUCACCUAGUACCACACUACACUACAUCAUGCUAUAGUGACAAUAAUGGCCUUCUUUCAUCUCCCCAGUCAAAAAACAAAUAUAUUGGCAAAAAUUGCAAAUAUCAACUUUUCCUAACUUAUUUUUGUAUUUCCCUAGAAAACAUGCAUAUCACUUGUAGACACAAUGUCACAUGCAGUAGAUUUAAGAUGGCUAUCGACAUUCCCUAGGAUGAACAAGGGUAAGUUCUACGCCCAUUUUUUAUACUUUAUGAUUAUUAGAAGACACUAGGUGCUAAAUCAUUACUUGAGUACUACUAUAGAUUUAACAUUGCUUCUAAAUUUUUUUUUUUUAAUUUCAUGUGUUGGACUGCAAAAUACUGAUAAAUUGAAUUGUGACAUUAUCCAUAUUCCUUAUGCAAUCAAGAGUGCAAUGUGUUCAUGAAAAAUUUGCAGAGUUCAUCGUCAAUGAGAAGAUGCACAAAAUGUGAGAAUUGUUUGUUACAAAUAUUGUUAGGAUUCACUUAGCUUGUCAACUGUAUAAGUGUAAAAACCAAAAGAUCUUUGGUGGCUAUGAAAUGGAUGCCAAUCUAGUCCCAAGGAGAGUGAGAAAAGAAAGGAAGGGCAGGAAUUUGGAACAAGUCUAGAAGUAAAAAAAAGGAAGGAACUCCAGUGGCUGUUGAACCAUAUUUCAUGAUUUUGAGAUGUUUGUUUAUUUGCAAGUGUUCAUGUGGAUUCAAAAAAAUCAUAUGAGGAUCAUUCGUUGAUAACGUUGAAGAGUAUCAUACUGAACUAGUGGAUAGAUCAGGGAUACAGAAACAAACAGUAAUUGGACCAAAGAAUGCAAUUGCAUUGUAUAUAAGGUUGCUAUCUAUUUAAAUGUUAACAUACUAUGACAUGCUUCGUCUAACAUCAAGAGACAUCUGUUGUUCAAACAUAUCCACAACUUAUAAAUUUAAUUGUUAUCAGCAUUCUACGUGGGAACUAGAUUUAUGUUCACAACUAAAAAUCAAUUAUCAUAUCAAUUCUGAUGGAUACAUUGCAUAAAUAUUUUUUUCUUGAGCAACAAUAUAGGUUAUAUGAUUAUCAUGCACCUAACAAGAAAGUGUGUCAUUCUAUGAUCAUUUCAAUCCAGAAUAGAAAGCUACACGAGAGAUAUAUGAAGUUGUGGAAAUCAAAAUAGCCAAAAUUUGUUAGUUAAGUAGGAACAGUCUCUUUCCGAAGAGAACUCCACACUCAUGUUAAAGAAGCAAAAGGGAGCACGAUGAAAAAAGAAACUGUAGAGAAUGGCACAAUGAUGUUGGGCUGGACUCUUUGAAUUGAUGGGCAUGUGGGCCAGAUCCUUAAAUGUUGACUUGGUAUUGAUUAGCUUCUUGGCAAAAAAUUUGUUGCUGAAACACAAUUUCUCUUUUAUAAGAACAAAUGCCCCUGAUCUUGCCAAGUGUUACCUCUUACAUCGUUAGAUGGAGAUUUCUAGUGCUUUCAAUAUUUAAUCUAGAUUAGGGUUUGAGACGUCAGACUUUUGAUUUUCUCUCGUCUCUUGAACUCUCUCUAUGGGUUCUUCAUUUUCUCUCUUUUGCACUCUGAAAUAAGCCCUUGUUUAUGAGAUAAUUUCCAACCCUUUUGUAUAAAUCUUGAGUGAUUUGUAUAGGCUUAUUAUUUGUCAUUUUUGAGUGAAUGUUAUUCUAUAUUGUGAGGUUUAUUUAGGGAGAAAUCUUGUGUGAUUUCAUCUGAGUGCCAUGGAGCUUUGUACUGGACAGUUCGUUUGAUUCCAUUGAGUUAGUUAUAUUCUUUCGAUGACGGAAGCUCAAAAGGGGAUUAGGAACUCCAGUUAUGAACCUCUUGCCUUAGGACGAAAAUCAUCGUGUUCAUUCAAUUCUCUUUCUGGUUUUUGCUUUAAUUUUUCGUAUUUUUGUUGAGUUUUAAAGUGGGUAAUAUUUGAACUACUUGUAAUAGAAACAUUAGUCAUUUUCCUUUAUUCUUCUGUUAUUUCCUUGGUGGUUUAUGUUGAUUCUGGCAUUUUGCUGGAACCUAUUUAACUACCUCCCUCUGUUGCUUGGUGCUUGUAAUGGAAUUUGAAUUGGGACAAUUGAGAAAAAAAAAUCAUUUUUACACGUAAUCCAUUUACACUUGUAGCACUCCACAGUUCCAUUAACUGCAUCACCUACAAGGCCCUCAACCUCCAUAAUCAACUAUUUAAUGUUAUGGGCUAAGUGCUUUCCUAAGGUGAGAGUUUGCAUUGAAAUGGAUGUUUUAGUUCGACAAUUUUAUUGCUUCUUAGCCAAUUAUUUUAGAAAAUUGUGGUUGACAAUCAUUGUAUUUCUCUCAAAAAUUAAUAAGAUCUACUAAAAGGCAAGUUGAUGUACAAUAGAAGAAUUUUUAUGGCAUCCUAUAAAGUGCAAAACAAAUUUCGACCUUCAAGAAAUGUUCCGUCAUGAACAACCCAGUAAAUAAUACAAAACUUAGUAAUUAGAGGAAAAAUAAAAUGGCAAGAAAAACUAGAAAAGAGUAGAAUGCAUUUAAAAGCAACGAUGUUAAUCUUUGUAUAGUUUGAUACUAAGAAACAAGUUGUGAAGAACUACAGAAAUCUACAGUUCACUAAACAAAAGGAAAGAAUUCAAAUCGAGUCCAAAUGAACUAUUGGGCAAGUAUCAGCGGCAUAUGUUUUUGGUGCACAUUCACUUCUUGAAUAUGAGACAUAUCAUAUGGUCAUCCCCAAGCAAGACUUAUGGCAGGAGAAGUGCUACUACCAUAUGGAAUCGUUCUCUUUCCCAUCGCUCCACCAUCAAUGUAAUAAGGCCUACCAUAGUCCUUAAACCCGACAUUAACGUUCAUCGAAUGUGUAUAUGAAGGAUUUAGGUUCAUGUAUGUACUGCCAUAUAGGGUUGGAACUACCCACACUAUAACAAAAAUAACAUUUUGCAACACGCAAAAGGCAACAUUCGUUAAUUGAAUGUUGCUAAAGGGGGUCUAUUGCAACAUUCUUUAAGUGAAUGUUGCCAUUGGUUAAUAUAGUUGAGCUUUGACAACAUUUUUUAAAUAAAUAUUGCUAAUGUCACCUUUUGUAAAGAUCAAUGAUUGUUGCGAAAAGUUCUAUUUUUUGCAACUUUUAUUGAAAGUUGUUAAAAUUGCUGAAACUCUUAAUACAUAGCCAUUUGCAAUGUUUAUUAACUAUCGCAAAAAGUUCACCAUUUGCAACGUUCUUUGAAAGUUACGAAAAAUUUCAUUUUUUGCAACGUUUAUUGAGUGUUGUUAAAAUGUCGUUCUAUAACAACAUUCAACAAUUGUUGCUGAAACUCUUACUAUAUAACCUUUUGCAAUGUUCAUUGACUGUUGCGAAAUCUUUUUUUCCCCUCCUGUAAGAUCUUUUGAAUAUUACAAAAGUUUUAUUCUUUCCUUUGUUUUACUCAUCGUUAUCCUUUUCUCUUUUCCUUUCCACUUUUUGUUUCCUCUCUCAUUUUCUUUCUUCUCCUUCCACUAUGGGCACUGCAAUAUGGGUGGAAAUUGCUGAGGCCAUUCGGUUAAUCUACUUGCUCAUCUUCUUUAGGAACUAGAUUUCUGUCCUACAGUCUGCAUUAUUAAGUUAUAAAUACAGCUGCGCCACCUACGCUCGAACAUUCUCCGUCACCAUGGGUCAUAUGCUCAGCCGCCGGUAUGACGACAUUCCUCUCCUAUCAUCUAUACUUCAUAGAUCGGGUUUACUGGGUUAGGUAGAGAUUCGGGUUCCAAAUCGUUCUUCUCCUUUCAUCUAUACUUCAUAUUUUUCAUUUUUUCUUCAGGAGUACAUAUAUAAUCUCCUACCCCGUCUUUCCUACUACUCAAUAUUUGGGUUUUUGAAAAUCUUGUUCAUUUUGCAGGAAAGGAUUAAAAUAGAAAAGAAAGAAUCAAAUAAUCCGCCCGUCCCAAGUCCCAGUUUAUUAGAUAGAGAACUUAAAUUAUGCGUCUCAACAUUUUCAAUUUGAACCUGUCAUAGGUUGGACCCUUUAGUUUAUUUUGUUUAAUUGGGCUUGUAGUAGUGGGCUAGCUCAAGCCCUUUAGGUCAUUUUGUUCUAUAUAGUUGUAUCUCUACAUAUACAAGAAGUGGUUGAAUGAUAAAUUGAUCAUGGCUACUGCCGUCUAUCCUCAACCUCUGUCUCUGUUCUUCCCGCUCUUCUCUGUGUCUCUUCCCUCUGUGGUAAGCUUCUUUACCUACUUCUUCCUCUAUUCCCCAUUUCUCUUGCCUUCUUCUCAGUUCAUCCUGUGUUCUCUUUUUGUGCUCUUAAUCUGUUCUUCUACUUCCCUGUUCUUCUUUCUCCAACGUCUCUCUGUCUCUGUCUCUUUUGUAUUUGUCUUUUACUUGUAAUUUGUAAUCUCCCUGCAAUGUAAUGGAAAUAUAAAUUAAGGGACUCAGUGGUUGAUUUUGGAAUGAAUAUUAAUUGCCAAUGUUAGCUAUUUCAGUUUAUAAUCCUCAAUUUGAGUCAUUACAAUUUAUAUCCUGCAUCUUAUGUUUACUGCUGCUGAUUAUUGGUUGAAUUUAACUGAAAUUGAACUCCCAUGGUUAUUGAUUAUUGGUUGAGUUUUGGAGGAAGUUGAAGCUCAACCAUAACAAUAUGUCAUGGGUUGGACCCUUUAGUUUAUUUUGUUGAAUUGGGCUUGUAGUAGAGGGCUAGUCCAAGCAUUUUAGGUUAUUUUGUUCUAUAUAGUCGUAUCUCUACAUUUGCAAGAAGUGGUUGAAUGAUAAAUUGAUCGUGGCUACAGCCGUAUAUCCUCUGCCUCUGCCUCUACCUCAUAUCUGUUCUUUUCAUUUUUCUCCGUGUUCUGUGUCUCUUCCCUCUAUGGUAAGCUUCUUUACCUACUUCUUCCUCUAUUCCCUAUUUCUCUUGCCUUCUUCUCUUCUUCUCGAUUCAUCCUGUGCUUUCUUCUUCUGCUCUUAAUCUGUUCUUCUACUUCUCUGUUCUUCUUUCUCCAACGUCUCUCUCUCUUUCUCUUUUGUAUUUGUCUUUUUCUUAUAAUUUGUAAUCUCCCUGCAAUGUAAUGGAAACAUCAAUUAAGGGACUCAGUGGUUGAUUUUGGAAUGAAUAUUAAUUGCCAUUGUUAGCUAUUUCAGUUUAUAAUCCUCAAUUUGAGUCAUUACAAUUUAUAUCCUUCAUCUUGUGUUUACUGCUGCUGAUUAUUGGUAGAAUUUAACUAAAAUUGAACUCCCGUGGUUAUUGAUUAUUGGUUGGUGAUCGGUUGAGUUUUGGAGGAAGUUGAAGCUCAACCAUAAAAAGAUGUCAUGGGUUGGACCCUUUAGUUUAUUUUGUUGAAUUGAGCUUGUAGUAGUGGGCUAGCCCAAGCCCUUUAGGUUAUUUUGUUCUAUAUAGUUGUAUCUCUACAUUUGCAAGAAGUGGUUUAAUAAUAAAUUGAUCGUGGCUACUGCCGUCUAUCCUGCGCCUCUACCUCGUCUCUGCACUUUUUGUUCUUCUCUAUGUUCUGUGUCUCUUCCCUCUGCGGUAAGCUUCUUUACCUACUUCUUCCUCUAUUCCCUAUUUCUCUUGCCUUCUUCUCUUCUUCUCGGUUUAUCCUGUGCUCUCUUCUUCUACUCUUAAUCUGUUCUUCUACUUCUCUGUUCUUCUUUCUCCGACGUCUCUCUCUCUCUCUCUCUUUCUCUUUUGUAUUUGUCUUUUACUUGUAAUUUAUAAUCUCCCUGCAAUGUAAUGGAAGCAUCAAUUAAGGGACUUAGUGGUUGAUUUUGGAAUGAAUAUUAAUUGCCAUUGUUAGCUAUUUCAGUUUAUAAUCCUCAAUUUGAGUCAUUACAAUUUAUAUCCUGCAUCUUGUGUUUACUGCUGCUGAUUAUUGGUUGAAUUUAACUGAAAUUGAACUCCCUUGGUUAUUGAUUAUUGGCUGGUUAUUGGCUAUUGGUUGAGUUUUGGAGGAAGUUGAAGCUCAACCAAAACAAGAUGUCAUGGGUUGGACCCUUUAGUUUAUUUUGUUUAAUUGGGCUUGUAGUAGUGGGCUAGCCCAAGCCUGUUAGGUUAUUUUGUUCUAUAUAGUUGUAUCUUUACAUUUGCAAGAAGUGGUUGAAUGAUAAACUGAUCGUGGCUAUAGCUGUAUAUCCUCUGCCUCUGCUUCUGCUUCUGCCUCUGCCUCUACCUCAUCUCUGUUCUUUUCAUUGUUCUCCGUGUUCUGUCUCUUCCCUCUAUGGUAAGCUUCUUUACCUAUUUCUUCCUCUAUUCCCUAUUUCUCUUGCCUUCUUCUCUUCUUCUCGAUUUAUCAUGUGCUCUCUUCUUCUGCUCUUAAUCUGUUCUUCUACUUUUCUGUUCUUCUUUCUCCGACAUGUUUCUCUCUCUCUCUUUCUCUUUUGUAUUUGUCUUUUUCUUGUAAUUUGUAAUCCCCUUGCAAUGUAAUGGAAACAUCAAUUAAGGGACUCAGUGGUUGAUUUUGGAAUGAAUAUUAAUUGCCAUUGUUAGCUAUUUCAGUUUAUAAUCCUCAAUUUGAGUCAUUACAAUUUAUAUCCUUCAUCUUGUGUUUACUGCUGAUUAUUGGUUGAAUUUAACUAAAAUUGAACUCCCGUGGUUAUUGAUUAUUGGUUGGUUAUUGGUUGAGUUUUGGAGGAAGUUGAAGCUCAACCACAACAAGAUGUCAUAGGUUGGACCCUUUAGUUUAUUUUGUUUAAUUGAGCUUGUAGUAGUGGGCUAGCCCAAGCCCUUUAGGUUAUUUUGUUCUAUAUAGUUGUAUCUCUACAUUUGCAAGAAGUGGUUUAAUAAUAAAUUGAUCGUGGCUACUGCCGUCUAUCCUCCGCCUCUACCUCGUCUCUACUCUUUCUGUUCUUCUCUGUGUUCUGUGUCUCUUCCCUCUACGGUAAGCUUCUUUACCUACUUCUUCCUCUAUUCCCCAUUUCUCUUGCCUUCUUCUCAGUUCAUCCUGUGUUCUCUUCUUGUGCUCUUAAUCUGUUCUUCUACUUCCCUGUUCUUCUUUCUCCAACGUCUCUCUGUCUCUGUCUCUUUUGUAUUUGUCUUUUACUUGUAAUUUGUAAUCUCCCUGCAACGUAAUGGAAAUAUAAAUUAAGGGACUCAGUGGUUGAUUUUGGAAUGAAUAUUAAUUGCCAUUGUUAGCUAUUUCAGUUUAUAAUCCUCAAUUUGAGUCAUUACAAUUUAUAUCCUACAUCUUAUGUUUACUGUUGCUGAUUAUUGGUUAAAUUUAACUGAAACUGAACUCCCUUGGUUAUUGAUUAUUGGCUGGUUAUUGGUUAUUGGUUGAGUUUUGGAGGAAGUUGAAGCUGACCCAAAACAAGAUGUCAUGGGUUGGACCCUUUAGUUUAUUUUGUUUAAUUGGGCUUGUAGUAGUGGGUUAGCCCAAGCCUUUUAGGUUAUUUUGUUCUAUAUAGCUAUAUCUCUACAUUUGCAAGAAGUGGUUGAAUGAUAAAUUGAUUGUGGCUACAGCCAUAUAUCCUCUACCUCUACCUCUGCCUCUAUCUCGUCUCUGUUCUUUUUGUUCUUCUCCGUGUUCUGUGUCUCUUUCCUCUAUGGUAAGCUUUUUUACCUACUUCUUCCUCUAUUCACUGUUUCUCUUGCUUUCUUCUCUUAUUCUCGGUUCAUCUUGUGCUCUCUUCUUCUGCUCUUAAUCUGUUCUUCUACUUUUCUGUUCUUCUUUCUCCGACGUCUCUUUCUCUCUCUCUUUCUCUUUUGUAUUUGUCUUUUUCUUGUAAUUUGUAAUCCCCUUGCAAUGUAAUGGAAACAUCAAUUAAGGGACUCAGUGGUUGAUUUUGGAAUGAAUAUUAAUUGCCAUUGUUAGCUAUUUCAGUUUAUAAUCCUCAAUUUGAGUCAUUACAAUUUAUAUCCUGCAUCUUAUGUUUACUGCAGCUGAUUAUUGGUUGAAUUUAACUGAAACUGAACUCACCUAGUUAUUGAUUAUUGGUUAGUUAUUGGUUGAAUUUUGGUGGAAGUUGAAGCUCAACCAUAACAAGUGGUAUUAGAGCACCUACGUGAACUGGGAGUGGCCUUUAAAACAAACGACCAGAUGCUACAGGGUGUUUGUACUAGCCUGGACCGAAUGGAACAAAUGAUGGGAGAAAUGAAAGCUACACAGGAGUCUAUGGUGUUGAUGCUAGCUUAAUUAUAUGGGAGCAAGACUCAUUGGAAAGAAAAACAAAUAAAAAUAUAUGGAUCACCAUCCCAAAUGCAUUUGGGUAAACUAUUAUUCGAGCUCGUCCUUGACAUGGCAUCAAAUGCAUUUCCCCGCAACCAAUUAGCUAAAUUUAACCAAAUGCCUUUAGAAUGCCAAAUGCAUAUUCAGGAAAAUGCCCGGAAUUGAAUUCCCUAAAUAAAAUAUAUUGAUUUGAGUUCUUUUCGGGUGAAAGUAGUCGGUGAUCCUAGACCUGUUUACCGUAGAAUGGUUGAAUCAUUCAAAGAUGACUGUGUUAGUUGUCAAUCUUUGAACCUAUAAUCCCCUACAUGUUUGUUAGAUGCUAACUUUGUUUCCUAAUAUUUCAUCUUAAAAUUAAAGCUCAUAGAGAAGAUUUAAGAAACUUGACUAUGAAAUUGCUUAUGACACAUGAAUUUUGACAUUUAGGAUAUGGCAUUGAAGUUUUGAUAUUUCUAUGUAGAUUGGAAACUUAAUUUACACACUAGUAAAAUUUAGGUGGAAACUUAUAAAUUUAGAGUAUGCUAAAGAUAGCCUCUUUUUCUUUGCAAACAGAUUUCUUAUAAAUUUAGAGUUUUCUAAUGAUUUGUGAUAAAGUUCUUGUGCAUUGUAAUGAUAAUGUUUGACUGAAAAUUAUCAUUUCACACUAAACGAAAAAAGAAAGAACAGGAAUAGCUAUUUAAAAGGAAGAUGCAUCAGUAAAUGUCAAGAUAGCGUAAUGCUUAUGAGAAAUUGUUUGUUUUGAUGGAUUAUAUUCUGCUUCACUUUGCUUUAUUACUUUUUCUGUUGAUAGUUUUUGCUGGUUCUUCCUACUCUACAAGGUAGAGGAAUUGGCCAAAUGAUAGUUCAGAAAAUUGGAAUGUUGGUCUCAUUGAUUAAAGAUAUUAAAGUUGGGAAUUUCAAGAAAAAGUAACAAUUAUUGGCAUGUUUAGUAAAAUGGAUGGGACGAUAUUAAAAUAGAAAAAUGAGUUCAUAUCUUCAAUGGGUUUCCAAUUUCGUUCACUACUGCAUGUUUAACAUUGUUGACCUCAAAAAAUGUGCCAACAAAAUCUCAACCUCGCCCCUUCUAUGUGGAUCUCACCUGCACAUUGAACACCUUGUUAGGAGGCAAAGGCCGUCGGUUGAGAAAAAGGUCUGGCGACCGUUUGCACUCGGACGGUCAAAUCAACGGCCGAACAAAAAAAAAAUGAAGAGAGUGCAAGAGCAGGAGAGGGGUUUGGUUAGUGUUUUUUUUUUUUUUUUUUUUUUUUUUAAAUUUUUUUAAAUAAUGAUGUGGCUAAAUGCCACUAUUUCUUAAAGAAAUGAAAGAAAUAUAUAUAUAUAUAUAUAUAUAUAUAUAUAUAGGAAAAUGCAAACGGGCCACGUGAUUAAUGGGCUAAGCCCAAGAUGCAAUUGUUUAAUAGGUCCAAUCAAAUUAAAUAGUCAAUGCCACGUUAGCCAAGGUGGGAUCCCCUCCAUCACGCGUAUGCCAUGUAAUUUAUGGAUAUAACAAACAUAUCCAUACGUACACAACUGGUUGGUACUAGCUUCUUUCAGCAUUUGAUAUUCAAACAUUAUUAGUGUCUGAUCAUUUCCCUUACUAUCAUAGAAUGUAGACUGAAAGUUUAGGGAACGUUCUACAACCACUUGAAAAUUCACGAGAAUGCUUUACUAUGUGAAAUUCAAGUUUUAGAUAUUACCAAGUUUACAUUCCAAUCAAUUUAUUAUUCGACCUCACUGCGGAAUUGAUUAAUAAAAGAAACACAUCACUUUAAUUAGUUGUCUGGGUAAUUAAACAUACAGUCCAGUUAAUUCCAAUGUUGAACUGUCGAUUUAUGUAAAGUAAAUAAAAUAAUACAAAACACAACUUACGAUAUGAUGACAGAGAAACCCCAACGUGGGUAAAACUCUGGGACCAAGCCAGUAAGUUCCACUAUACCAAUUCAGUCACUACAAGUUCUGUCAAACUCUGUACCCAGUUAGACCCGCUGUUCCAGUCUCACGAUCUACUGUCGUAAAUAUUACUAGUCUCUUGCUAGCUUCCUCGAUCUACCUCUUGCAGUCUAAUCUACUGUCCAUUACAGCCUCUUGGUCUUUAGCUGAUUGUAUCGCCAAGUAAAAUUCCAAGAACCUCAUGUUCUUGUUCAGUUCCUGUGCUUGUCGUUCACCUCCCUCAAUCCCCCUUUGAGAGAGUCCCUUCCUCAACAAAUGAAGAAGUACCGGUGUGUCUUCACAAAUUGAUGUUUUUCCCCAAAAUAUUGGUUGUCGGAUCACAAGAAUAAGAUUGAUGAAUUCUCCAGUUGGUUGUGUUCUUGGAUCUCUUCACAAUGAUAUGAACGUGUUAUAACUAAAUUAAGCCUUCGAUUGGCCACCAUUUUCAUUCUCAUUCUUUUUCUCUCUCUUAUUUUUAACCACACAAUCUUCCAUAAAAUAAUUUUAUACGCAAAUAAAAAACUUUUCAUUAUUUUUCAACUACAUAUUUAAAAAAAAAUACUACUUCAACCAUUAAAAUUUGGAAAGAAUGGGGCCAAACGGGGGCUAAGUUUUCAACAACAUUUUAGUUUGUUUGAUCUCCAUUUUUUUCAAAAUAUAUUUUUCUCUUUUUUCUUUUCAACCACUCAUUUUUCAAUAAAAUAACAUUACACGCAACCCAAAAAAUUUUCCUUCAUUUUUAACACCAUACAUUCUCCAUCAAUCUACUAUUUCAAAAUACAUUCUACACUAAAAAUGGGGCUCGAAUAUAAUGUCAGACUUUAGAAGUGUUAUUGAGGUCCUAUUUGGGCCGCAUUCUUUUAAAAAAUGAAUUCUUAAACAGUGAUUUGAUAUCAUUUUAAUCACACAUUUUUCAAUAAAAUAAUAUUAUACGCAAAUUCAAAACUUUUUCUCAUUUUUUAACCACAUUUUUCAUUAAUCUAUUAUUUUAAAAUAGAUUCUUGCAAAAUAAUGUGCCUCAAACACACUGAUUAUGCCUCAUCCCCAAAUUUCGACACUAAAAAUAAGCAAAGCUUACACAAGUUUCGAUAAGAGACUCAUGUCCACCUACCAUUACGCUUAAAUGUUGCUAAGGGAAAGAGUAAUUCCCCGCUCCACCCUCAAUAAAUCCUUAUGAUAGAAGGGAUAUUAGAGAAAACUAAUAUAGGUAUGAAUACCCCCAUAUGUAACGAUCUAGGCCCCGUGCCCAAUUCGUUGUAUCAUACAUACUAUCCGCUCCUUUACUUAAUUUGAAAUGUUAAGGGUUCGAAUCAUGGUACGCGAUAGAAAUUCUAAAGGGUAAGAUGGGCUUAGAUUUUUUCAAAUUGGUUAGUAUGUAUGAUAUAACGAUUUGGACAUGAGGCUUAGGUCAUUAAAACGCGUCUUUUUUUUAUUUUAUUUUUUAUUUUGUAAUGACUCCGUUGCUGUGCUCAUAUCCAAGCUGUUAACUUACGUGCCGUCCAUUCUGGGAGAGUUUGAGUCCAUUUUACCCUUCACAAAUUUCUAUCGCAUCCUCAUGAUUCAAACCCUUGACUUUCCCAUAAGAAUGACAUAAGUUAAAUUCAAUUACAAUAGAAAAGUGUGCUUAAAUACGAAAUGCAAAUUCUAAAAAUUGUACUGUUGGCAGCCGAAUAAUUUGGAUGUGGGAUCCAGCUAGAAUGCGAUAGCAAGCUUCAUCAUGCAAAUUUUCUUUUUAUAUUUAAAUCAUGAGACAUUUGAUCUUCAUCAUUUUCGAAAAUAGCAAGCAAAUAAUUUUUUGUCGUACAGACAAUGAUGUAUAGCCUUUUUUUUUUUCAAGUGGAACUAGUGGUCCAAUCCGACUAAAUGCUAAAAUUUAGUGAGUGAUAUUCAAAAUUUUUUAAUAUUGCACUAAAAUAUAUACAUUCACAAUUGAAAUAUCCAAUUCCCAAUGAACAUGUUAUAUUUGCUGUCAAAAAUAUUUUUCACUAUAUGCAAAUGAAAAAAAAAUGGAAAUUACUUUCUGUAUAUUUUGAAGAAGUUAAAUGGGUGUAUCUGGGAUACGGCUGGAAUCGGACACUGAAGGAGUAAAUUACAAGGGUUCUAGCAGUUCUAUGUUGUAUUUUUCAUUUAUUAACAGUUAAAAAAAAAAAAAAAUUAGUUCAGCAUUUCUUGGCAUUUUAUACAAAUGGAUUUAUAAAUUUUCAAUAUUUCAAAGUAAUGAAAACGAGGUCUAAAUUAUCUUGGCCUACGUACUCCUGAUAUCCUAGUACUACAAAUACCCUUCAAAGGAACUUGUAAAUUCAAACAAGACCACUGAAGUGGGAAGCAUUUCUUCGAUUUACUGUCCAAAUUUCAAGAGUGAAAUACAAAAAUGGACAUCCAAAUCCAUGCAUCUGCUGCCCCAUUUUCCUCCAAAAAUAUGAUCAUCUAGGAUACUCAUCGCUCUGUCACAUAUCAUCCUACCAUUUGGAGAGAUUAUUUCCUUGCGUAUAGUUCUUGUAAGUGUUAUGCCCUAAAUCCAAUCAAUUUAAGUUGUAAAUACUUUUAAUAUGUUUAAUGCAUUAAUUUUUGGCAAGAUCUAUUAUUAUUUAAAUUAAUAUUUUGAUGAAUAAUGUUAAAUAAUAGAAUCCAAAUAUUCAAGUUUCAGUAAAUUGUUAAUCACAAAGAGUUGUGAUUGUGAAAUGUAAAUUACAUAUGAUUGGAUCUUAAAUUAUCCAUAGUCGUAAGUAAUAACGAGAUACGAAUAUUGUUCUUACGGAUAGACCAUCACGUGUGGCAUUUCUUACUUGUGAAGUAAAUAGUUGAUCUCACAAUCUAAAAUGUGGAAACACUUAAAUGAACGCGUUGAUAUUUUGUUAUAGAACAAAACAUUGAAAACCCGCUAAAAGAUUUCACAUGGAUAACUAUCUGAGUGUCAGUGGUUAAUCUCUAACGAUCGAUAGUGAAAUUGGUCCUUUGACUAGAGGUUGUUAUAGUGUCUUGUAUGAGAAUAGUCAUACUUUCACGGUGUUGGAUGUUUCUCUACCAAGGGCCGCUAAUACUACAUCGUUCGAAUAUGUCAAGAAUCAUAUGAAGGUUGUAAAUGACGGAUAGAGGAUUUGUCAUUCUUAGAUUGUAAGAUAUUAUGAUCUGCAUUUCAUUCAAUUAAGUCAAUAACGAAAUUCUUGGCCAAUAUAUACUGAGAAAUCGAAAAGGAGUUUUCGACUUAUAUAGACUUAAUAGUGGAAUAAAAGAUAUGAUCGAUGAUUGAAAUUGAUACACUUCCAUUUCUCGUAAUUGAUCAGAUCAUAUUGACGAUAGGAUUAUAGUUUCACGAUAAACGAACAAGUUUGGUAUUGAUACCACGUGAUAUUUUUCGUCACAUGUAUUGUCUUAACACAUUGCUAGAUAUCAAUCUGAGACGGUGAGUGUGAACUAGUGAUAAAUUAAAAGGGAAUUUUAAUUUAUCUAUUUUGAUUAGAUCAAAAUAAUAUUUUACAUCGUUAGGCAUCAUGAUCGGGAACCUAACGUAACACACACAAAAAGAGAAUUGUAAUAUUGUAAUUUGUCAAUUAAUUAAUUUAACAAUCAUUGAAUAAAUUAAUUAAUUGGAUUGGUUAUUUAUAAACCCGAAUUAAUUAAUUCAUAGACCAGGAUUAAAUAAAUAAAUUAACUAAAUAUUGGACCGGGUCAAGUCAAGCCCAUUUGGACUUAUAUAAAUAAAUGGCUAGGGUUUUCUAUUUGUAGAGAUUCUCAUAAUUCUUUGCUAGCACAAGAGGAGAAAAUCUCGGUGGCUACAAUAUGUUCUCUGUGUGGAAUUUUAUUGGAGGCUGGACAAUUGGACAGCUGUUGGAUUGCUAGGCAGCACCUAAGUGAAUAAAAGAAAAAAAAAAAAAGGGGUUUGGGGAGAGUUGGAGGCGGGGGCCUCUCAUGCAAUUUAUGAAAUUGCAGGCCCCCAUAUGUAAAUUGUUUUGGGGAGUUGUCUUGCAAAUUUUAAAUAAAGGACUUGUCACGUAAAUUGCAUAGUUGAGGGGCCUGUUUUUAAUUCUGACUUGGGUCAAAUUGCAAUUGUUAAAAUGGGUUUUAAAUUUGAAUUCUAAAUGGGUUUUUAAAUUAUAAUUAUAAUUGGGUUUGACCCAUAUUUGUAUUUGGGCCCAAAAUUAAUAAUUUAUUUAAAAUUGACAACUUUUAUAUUUUUGUUAAAAUUAGAUUUUAACUUAAUUAUUUAAUUUUAACCCUAAAUUGAAUUUUUGUUUUACUUAGGAGUUUGUCUUAAAUUAAAAUAUUAAUUCAAUUUAAUUAGAGUUGCACUCUAAUCUUAUGUUAAUUAAAAUUUGAUUUUAAUUAAUAUUACUUCCCCCAUACAAAUAUUGAAAUUAGAGUAGGGCUUUAACUUAAUAAUUACUUAAAAUUUGAUUUUAAUUAAAUUAUCACACUCUAAAUUUUUAUAGAAUUAGAGUUGGACUCUAAUAAGGAAUUUAAUUAAAAAUUGAUUUUAAUUAAAUAACUUCCCCCUAUAAUCAUGGAAUUAGAGUUGGACUCUAAUUCGAAAUUUAAUUAAAAUUUGAUUUUAAUUAAAUAUGCCUGCCAAUUAAGUUAAUUAGUUAAUAUGAUUAACUAAUUAUUUAAUUAUUUCGAUCCAUUUAUUUAAAUGAGUUUUGACGACUAUAAUUGUUAGAUUUCUGAGACAUUGCAUGUAAUAUUAAAUAUUAUAUAGGAAACAUUUAUGUGAUGAAUGUCUAUUUCUAGAUGAUUAUGGACUCGAUCAUAUGGAUGUGUUAAAUGGUUGAUUUAGUUCUUGUCGUUUUACAGGUCUAGGAGCUCUCAAUUGUUUUGAAUUUGCGAGUCCGUUAGUAUUAUUAUUGUUAUGGGGCCUGCGAGCUCGUUAUUAUUUUUGGACUUGCAAGUCCGUUGUUGUUAUUAUUAUGGCCAUGCGAGUCCAAUUUCAUUUGGGUCUGCGUGCCAACUAGUAUGGGAUACAUGUUACAGCUAGACUAAUUGAAGGGGCAAGAAAAUGAGAAGACCAUGUAGAUGGUGCAUUGAUAUUGAUUCGAUGCUAUACUUCCUAGGAAUUGACCAACUAGUUUUCCUCUUGGCUCGGGAAAAUUAGGUAGAAUAAGUACAUAAUCAUCCAUACUAUUAUAUGUAUAUUUAUUUGCAUAGUUGAUGCAUGAUUAUAUGUAUGAGACCAUUGCAUGUUAAAUCCCUCGUUAAAAUAUUAAGUUGGUAUUAUUUUCUUUCCGUCAUUAUAGUGAAAAAUGAGAAUCCUAAAUCGAUCUUAACUUGUUGAGUACUCUCAAGUCUGAUCUAUUAGGGAUAUGUUUGACACUAUGAAAUAUUUGAUAUUUCUGAAUGAUUGACUUAACUAAAAUUUAUCGUUUGUUGAGUACACUCAUUUUAGUGGCAUGUUUGUCGGCUUAAUAAUUUGGGAGUUGUAUGGAGAUACAAUUGAUAAUAGUAAAUGUUUUAUUAAAAUUUGUUAAGUACACUCAAGAUCUUGAUGUAACAGAUGAGAUCUUAGCCUACUGGGAAUCAGAUGUGGAUUCCAUUCAUUUAUGUAUGAGGGCAUGAAUUCAUUUUAAACAUUGGGAGCACGUUUAAUAAAAUUCCAUAUUAAAUUUGUGCAAUGCAUUACAAUACAUAUUGAUUCUUUAUUUUUCGUCAUUUACAGUUUUCGAAUCAUGAGUAAUCAUAUGAAUUUGAGAGGCAUACUGGAUGCCAACAAACUGACCAAACCAAAUUUUCUCGAUUGGCACUGCAAUUUGAGAAUCAUUCUCAAGCAUGAGAAAAUUGGGUAUGUCCUUGAGCAGCUCCUUCUAGGGUUAUCUACUGAAAACUCCAUUAAGAAAGAGGUGGCUGCUUACAACAAACACAGUGAUGGCAAUAACACUAUAGCAUGUGUGAUACUUGUAGCUAUAUCACCUGAGUUGCAGAAGUAACAUGACGAUAUGGAUGCCUACACUAGGAUUUUUCAUCUCAAGGAGUUGUAUGAUGAACAAUCACGUGUGGAGAGGUAUGAGACCUUCAAGCAUCUUUACCGGUGCAAAAUAGCAGAGAGAUCUUCAGUUAGUGCUCAUGUGUUGAAGAUGAUUGGUUUCAUUGAGAAAUUGGCUCAAUUAUGUUUUAUCAUGGAUCACGAACUAAGUAUUGACUUGGUUCUACAAUCUCUACUAGAGAGUUAUUUACAGUUCAUCACGAACUUCAAUAUGAAUAAGAUCGAAUGCACACUCACUGAGUUGUUUAAUCUGUUUAAAAUUGCGGAUCCCAAUGUCAAUGCUAGCACUGGGCAUGUCUUAGCCAUUCAAUCCUCCAAGAGCACUAAGACGAAGAUCAAAAGAAGUUUUAAGAAAACAUCCAAGAAGGCUAAGGGCAAUAAUAAAGUAGUUAAAGCAAGCGAGGAAAAUACUAUGUCCGAUGACCCGUGCUAUCACUGUGGAAUGAAAGGUCAUUGGAAGAGGAACUGCAAAGCUUACCUCGCAAGCUUGAAGGGAAAGAAGUCUAUUUUAGGUAUUUUUGUUAUCGAGGCUAAUAUGUCUACUUCAUUAGCGUCUUGGGUAUUAGAUAUCGAAUGUGGCUCUCAUAUUUGUAUAAAUAUACAGGGCCUAAAGAGAAGUAGACCACUAUAGAAAAGAAAAGUUAGCCUGCGAGUGGGAAAUGGAGCAAGAAUUGUUGCAUUAGUUGUAGGAACAUACUUUUUACCAUUACCUUCGGGCUUAGUAUUAGAAUUGGAAAAUUGCUAUUUUGUUGCCUCCAUUACUAAAAAUAUUGAUAUGAAUAGUUUUUCAAUUAAUGCUAAGAACAAUCGUUGUUCAUUUUAUAAAGAUGAGAUAUUUUAUGGUUGUGGUGUGUUAUAAAAUGUAAUUUAUAUUCUUGAUACUGAGUAAUCUAUAUGAGGAUAAAAAAUAAAAGGCAUAAAAGUGAUAAUCUAAAUAGUACCUAUCUUUGGUAUUGCAGAUUUGGUCAUAAGAAUGACAAACGCAUUUCCAAGUUACAUAAAGAUGGAUACUUAGGGUCAACUGAUUUUGAAUCAUUUGACAAAUGCGAGUCAUGCCUAUUAGGCAAAAUGACCAAAUUUCCUUUUACUGAAAAAGGAGAAAGAGCUGUAGAACUAUUGGGAUUAAUACAUAGUGAUGUAUGUGGACCCAUGUCAAUCACCGCUAGAGGUGAUUUCUCUUACUUAAUCACAUUCACUGAUGAUCAUUCUAGUAUGGUUUGUAUAUCUGAUGAAAUUCAAGCAUGAAGCAUUUGAAAAGUUCAAGGAAUUCAAACUUGAAGUGGAGAAACAGACAAGUAAAAAUAUUCUCACGCUGAUAUCAGAUUGAGGUGGCGAAUGCUUAAAGGGAAAAUUUUUAGAUUAUCUAAAAGUGAAUGGGAUUUUCUCGCACUGGACUCCACCAUAUACACCGCAACAUAAUGGUGUAUCUGAACGGAAGAAUCGCACAUUGUUAGACAUGGUGCAAUCAAUGAUGAGCCAUGCAAACAUUCCAAAAUCGUUUGAGGUUAUGCACUAAUUGCUAUGUGCUAUAUAUUGAAUUAUAUCCCGUCUAAAUCGGUCAACAAAACUUCAUACGAGUUAUGGAGAGAAAAAAGACCCAACUUAUCUCACAUAAAAGUUUGGGGCUAUGACACUUAUGUGAAGCGAAAUGAAUCAGAUAAGCUUGAACUUAAAUUUGAUAAAUGUAUAUUUGUGGGAUAUCGAAAGGAGACAAUUGGAUAUCAGUUCUAUAAUCCUAUUGAGAAGAAGGUGUUCAUUUUAAGACAUGUCAUAUUCUUAGAGAAAGUGUUUAUUCUAGGAAAGGGUAGUGGAAGCAAGAUAGAACUUGAACAAGUUCAAGAAUCCAUAGAUACUGUUGACCAAUUAGAUUAACUUGAGUCUGAUCCCACACUUGCUGAUGGACAGACUUUUGAUCAAGAUAUAGAAACUCCUAAAGGUACUCUAGCUUAGCGAAAUCAAGUAGGAUCAUUCGACCUCACAGAAGAUACGAAUUCACGAUUACUAAUCAAGUAUUAUUAGUCGAGGAUGAUGAACCUACAAAUUAUGCAGAAGCGAAGUUAAGUGUUGACUCAAAGAGAUAGCAAGAUGUCAUGGAAUUCGAAAUGAACUCGAUGUAUGAGAACAAGGUUUAAACAUUGGUCGACCUUCCUUAUGGGAUAAAACCCAUAGGUUGUAAAUGGGUUUACAAGAAAAAAGGUCGACGUGGAUGAAAACGUCCAUACAUACAAAGCAAGACUAGUAACAAAAUGUUACACACAAAGACAAGGUGUUAACUUUGAUGAAACCUUUUUUGCCUGUAACCAUGCUGAAGUUCAUUCGAAUUUUACUUGCUGCAUAUCAUGAUUAUUAGAUAUGGCAAAUGGAUGUCAAAACUACUUUCCUUAAUGGAAACUUGCAAGAGGAAGUGUACAUGACACAGCCAGAAGGUUUUGAGUCCAAAGAAGUCAAUAAGGUAUGUAAGCUUAAUUGAUCCUUUUAUGGAUUAAAAUAAGCCUCAAGGAGCUUGAAUAUUCGUUUUGAUGAGACAAUCAAAAAGUUUGAUUUCAUCAAAAAUGAAGAUAAACCAUGUGUUUACAAAAAGACGAGUGGAAGUACGGUCGUAUUCCUAAUAUUAUAUGUUGAUGACAUAUUAUUAAUGGAAAACGAAUCUCAAUACUUCAAUCGGUAAAAUUGUGGUUGUCAAAGAAUUUCUCCAUGAAAGAUAUGGGAGAAGCAGCAUAUAUCUUGGAAAUCAAGAUCUAUAGAGAUAAAUAUAAAAUAUUGCUUAGCUUGUCCCAAUCUUUGUACAUAGACAAAAUCUUGAAAAGAUUUAACAUGGAAGAGUCCAAGAAAGGUUUGUGUCCCAUAUCACAUGGGAUUUGCCUCUCAAAAGAUAUGUGUCCUAAAACACAUGAUGAAAGGAAUCGCAUGGAUGAGAUUCCUUAUGCUUCAACGAUAGGAUCUAUCAUGUAUAUGAUGCUAUGUACGAGACUAGAUGUUUCAUAUGCUCUAAGUGUUAUGAGUAGGUUUCAAGCAAAUCGUGGUGAGAAACACUGGAUACCGGUUAAGAACAUUCUUAAGUACUUGGAAGGAUUAAAGAUGUGUUCUUAAUAUAUGGAAGAGAUGAACUAAAGAUUUAUGGGUAUACUAAUGCUAGCUUCCAAUCUGACAAAGAUGAUGGCAAGUCUCAAUUUGGAUAUAUGUUUACUCUCAACAAAGGAGCAGUUAGUUGGAAAAGUUCCAAAUAGGAGACUAUCGCUGAUUCAAUAACAGAAGCUCAGUUUAUUGUUGUUUCUGAAGCAGUAAAGGAAGCUGUCUGGAUCAUGAAGUUCAUUAAUGAACUAAGAGUUGUUUCUAGCAUUGUUGAUCCUAUUCUUUUGUAUUGUGAUAACAAUAGAGCCAUCGUACAAGCAAAGGAACCGAGAUCUCAUCAACGAUCCAAACAUGUGCUAAGGCGAUAUCAUCUCAUUAGGCAGAUUAUACAAAGAAAUGAUGUAAAGAUAGAGCGAGUUCCCACAGAUGAAAAUAUUACAGAUCUAUUGACAAAGCUGUUGUCACAACAGAAAUAUGAUCCUCUUGUGGAUACUUAUGGUACUAGAUACAUGAGUGAUUAGAUCUAGUGCAAGUGGAAUUUUGUAAGUAUUAUGCCCUAGAUCCAAUUGAUAUUGGUUGUAAACACUUUUAAUAUGUUUAAUACAAUUAUUUUUGGCAAGAUCUAUUAUUUAUUUAAAUUAAUAUUCUGAUGAAUAAUGUUAAAUAAUAGAGUUUGAAAAUUCAAGAUUCAGUAAUUUGUUAAUCAUAAGGAGUUGUAAUUGUGAGAUACAAAUUACAUAUGAUUGGAUCUUAAAUAAUCUAUGAUCGUAAGUAAUAACAAGAUACGGAUAUCGUUAUCACAGAUAGACCAUCACGUGUGACAUUUCUUACUAGUGAAAUAAGUAGCUGAUCUCACAAUUUAAAGUGUGGAGACACUUAAAUGAAUGCGUGGAUGUUUGUUAUAGAACAAAAUAUUGGAGACCCACUAAAUUUUUUUACAUGGAUAACUAUCUGAGUGCCAAUGGUUAAUCUCUAACAUUCGGUAGCGGAGUUGGUCUUUUAACUUGAGGUCGUCAUAGUACUUUGUAUGAAGAUAGUUAUAUUUUGACGAUGUUAGAUGUUGCUCUACCAAGGGCCGUUAAUACGGUAUCGUUCGGGUAUGUCAAGAAUCAUAUGAAGGUUGUGAAUAACUAAUAGAGGAUUUGUCACUCUUAGAUAGUAAGAGAUUAUGAUCUGUAUUUCAUUUAAUUAAAUCGAUAACAAAAUCCUUGGUCAAGGUAUACUCAAAAAUCGAAAAGGAGUUUUCGACUUAUAUAGACUUAAUAGUGGAAUGAAAGAUAUGAUCAAUGAUCGAGAUUGACACACACUUCCAUAUAUCGUAAUUGAUCAGAUAAUAUUGGCGAAGAUAUUAUAGUUUCACGGUAAACGAACAAAUUUUAUUUUGUCAUAUCACGUGACAUUUUUCAUCACAUGUAUUGCCCUAACACAUUGCUAGAUGUCAAUUUGGGAUGACGAGUAUGAACUGGUGAUAAAUUAAAAGAGUAUUUUAAUUUAUCUAUUUUGAUUAGAUCAAAAUAAUAUUUCACAUUAUUAGGCAUCAUGAUCGGGAACCUGAUGUGUAGCACAUAAAAAGAGAAUUGGAAUAUUGUAAUUUGUCAAUUAAUUAAUUCAACAAUCAUUGGAUAAAUUAAUUAAUUGGAUUGGUUAUUUAUAUACCCGAGCUAAUUGAUUGGAUUAAUUAAUUUACGGAUCGAAUUUAAAUAAAUGGAUUAAUUAAAUAAUAGAUCGGGUCAGGCAAAGCCCGUUUGGGCUUCUAUAAAUACAUGACUAGGGUUUUCAAUUUAUAGAGAUUCUCAUAAUUCUUGCUAUCAUAAGAGGAGAAAAUCCUAUGGCUACAAUCUAUUCUCUGUGUGAAUUUCUAUUGAAGGCUGGACAAUUAAACAGCUGUGGAUGACAGAUCAAGGCUGCUGGAACAAGGAAAAAGUAAAGGAGUUUGCAGCUAUUGAAAAGGUAUAACUUUUAUCACAAUUCCUAUCUAAAUACAAAGAUGAUUUCGAGUGGAAAUUGAAAUUUGUUUUUUAAUUUCGCUAUGCAAAAUAAGUAAAUUCCCAACACUUCUAAAGUGAAUUAGCUAGACCUUUUAUUCCUCAUAAUUAACUAAAAUAUAAUUGUGUUAAAAUGUUAAAUGCGUACUUCCACUUACUUGACCAGGAUAUAUUGGCCCACGAAGAGCAAGAGCGUCAAAGAUUAAAAGAAGAAGUGAAAAAGUUGCUAGCGGCUGCCCCAGAUGAUUCAUUGUAUAAACUAGACCUCAUCGAUGCAAUCCAACGUCUUAGAGUCAGUUACCAUUUUGAAAAAGAAAUUGAAAAAUCUUUAAAAUACAUCUAUGAAACUUAUCAUGAAAGUCGCAGUAAACAAGACAAUGAUCUUCGUACAAUUGCUCUUCGAUUUCGAUUACUCAAACGACAAGGAUAUUAUGUCUCAUGUGGUAAGUAAUUUUUGUUUUCAUGAUUCGUUACAUGUUCGGAAAUUAAAUUGAUACAGUACAUGAAAAGAUAAUGUUCUCUAAAUAUGAACUUACACCUUACACAUUUAAGGGUACAUUUCAUAUUUUUUACGGGCUGAGGCAGAUGUGUUCAACAAAUUCAAGGACUGCCAAGGAGAAUUUGAAAAUUCUUUGAUUAGUGAUAUAUGGGGCUGUUAAGCUUGUACGAGGCUGAAAACUUUGUAGCACACGGGGAGGAAAUUCUAGAAGAAGCAUUGAAGUUUUCUGCCACUCACCUCAGAUCCACGAUCCACCAGGCGAGUAAUUCUCUCUCCGGACAAGUUAGUGACGCCUUGGAGAUGCAAAUUCAUAAAACUUUGACAAGGCUCGAAGUUAAGGAAUUCUUAUCCAUUUACCAAAAAUCAGGUGAAGACGUGCUCCUGAAUUUUGCAAAAUUAGACUUCAACAUAGUGCAAAAGAUCCACCAGAAGGAGUUCAGUGACAUUACAAGGUUAGUUUGUUGUGUGAAGCUUUACUACUUGCACUUAUAUAUCUGAAAAAUUGUUAAAAUUUUACUUUUGAAUAUAAAUUGCAGGUGGUGGAAGGCUUUAGAGUUUGGGAAAAAUUGUCUUUUGCAAGAGAUAGGCUGGUGGAGUACCGCUUUUGGAUAUUGUGUGUCUACUUUGAGCCCCAGUACUAUCUUGCAAGGAAAAUUCUAACGCAAGUAAUCGCCAUGACUUCUAUAAUUGACGACAUCUAUGAUGUUUAUGGGACCCUGGACGAACUUGAACAUUUCACAGAUGCAAUUGAAAGGUGAAUUAUUCUUUGUAUCUUAAUAGUUAAUAGCACAUUAUUUAUAUUGCAAUAUAUAGUCAAACAGAUUCAGAAUUGAUAUUGAAUAUUUUUGUGAACAGGUGGGAUUUUAGUGCCAUGGAUCAGUUACUAUCAUACAUGAAACAUUUUUACAAAUCUCUUCUAGAUGUUUAUCUCGUAGGUCAGAAAGAGUUAGAAAAGAUAGGAAAAUCGUAUAGUGUUCAGUACGCGAUUGAUGAGGUAAACAAUAUUGAUAAAGUAGCUUAACUUUUAUCAAAAUUACAUCCUAUAUAUCUAGUCAAAGUUUCAAUUUACAGAUGAAAAAAUUAGUCCGAGCAUAUUUCAAAGAGGCAAAAUGGAUACACAAUGGAUAUGCUCCAACACUAGAAGAUUAUAUUAAAGUCAUACUAGUAUCUAGUGCUUACAUGAUGCUAUCUACAACAUCUUUAGUAGGUAUGGGAGAACUGGUCACUAAGGAAGCCUUCAAUUGAAUUUCAAGUGAACCAUUAUUCGUACGUGCUUCAUCAAUAAUCUGUAGACUAAUGGAUGACAUGGUGGGAUAUGAGGUAAGAAGUUUGAAUUCUUAGUUGACUUUAUUCUACAUUACACAUGUUCAUCGCACAGGUUUUUUGUUCUCAUGGCAAACAACAUAUGAGAAAAAUGUAAUAGCCUGCUUAGUGUUAGAUUAAAAAGUUUUGUGUUGAGUUACUUGUCUGCAGUACGAGCAAAAAAUAGCGACAAUUUGAAUGUUAUAUGAAAGAGACGGGGCCUUCAAAAGAAGAUGCAUUUGCUGUAUUUCAAACACAAGUCAUGAAUGCAUGGAAGGAUAUAAACCAAGAAUGCCUUAGUUCAAAUGCAGUACCAAUGGCUGUUCUCGUACGAGUAGUCGAUCUUACACGUGUCAUCAAUCUUCUAUACAAAGAUUGUGAUGGAAACUCAAAUUCUACAACAAAGUUAAAAGAUUUCAUAACAUUGACACUCAUACAACCAGUGACAAUAUCCAAUUGAACGUAGUAACUGCGUGGGCUACUUUCAUUUUAAUGUAUCACCAUAUUAUCAUCCAUAUUUAGUGCCGUGUUGUCAAAUUCUACAACACAAUUAGGUCUUGGUUAAGGUUAUGCAAUCAUUGAAUUUCCUUGUAUGUAAGUGAAUGUUAUAUCUACUGGAAAGACCUUUGAGUAGUUAAAAACUUUGUAUUGGUCUUGUCUGAUGUUCUCAAUAAUGAUAUUAAAGAUUAAAGUUUUUUACAACCCCAAACAACUCAUAACUAUCUAAUACUAUAUACCAAACCAAAUUUCGUCCCAAAAGAAUGUUGAGCCAUUAUUCAUUGAAGAGGACAUCCCGUUAAAGAUUAAAUAUUGAUUCUAUAUUUCUCGUCUCAACGAGAAGAUAUAUACAACGAAACACCAAAAGAUAAAAAAACACCAAUAAACCUCUACCAAAUAUCUUUUAGAGUUUUAUACAUCCAGAGAAGUGAUUGGGGUUAUCGUUUGUGAAGAAUGAGUUCGUUCUUGAUGAUACACUUGGAGAAAAGAAGUCCAGAGAUUCUAGAGUUGGUGCUAGAGAAUACAAUCAAGGAGUUCUUGGGUGAUUACAUGUUGGGGUUUAGAGUUUACUGGGGUUUAGUUGUGUCUAGACCUACUGUAAGUGACUAAGUUCAAUAUUUUCUAGUGAAUUAUUUACUGGCACAUGUGCCUGGAUGUUUUUUCUCUUGAAGAGUUCUCCAAAAUUUUUCCUUCGUAAAUAAUUAUUGGUGUUCUUUAUUUUAUAGCUUCGAUAUUUAUGCUUGAUUGAUUACUAGGGUUUAAAUUGGGUAAAACCUAGUUUAUUACAGUAGUCAUAUCAUUAAGAAUAAUUUGUAUAACUGUAGUUCAAUUUCCAAAUGUUAUAAGCCCAUAUACUAUCUCAUACUUAAUUGAUAUGGGAUUUUCGUUGCACUUUCCCAAUAAUUUGAACCCACCUGUUGACUUCAUAUGCUCCAUUACAAUUUGUCCCAUCUGGAAAUAUUGUUAGCAUGCAUCAUGUUUUUAGGUACUUAAUUAGUGACACGCACAAAAAAAAAAAAAAAAAAAAAAAAAAAAAAAAAAAAAAAAAAAAAAAAAAAAAAAAAGAAAAGAAAAGAAAAGAAAAGAAGAAGAAGAAGAAGGAGCUUUUCACACAUCACGGUAUUUUUUUUUAUUUUUUUUUUGUGCAUAUUAUUGAUUUGAAUCCCCUUGAUUGAUUUUGUACUUUACUUGUUAUAAUUUAUAAUUCAAUACUUAGUAUAUAAAUUUUGUUUCAAUUAGUAGGUUAAAAACACGUAAAUUCUUCGUUUCAAAUCCAACUAAAAGGAUUCUUGUCAAUUUUGCAAUUUGAAUGCAAGAUUCAACUAGUGUGCAAUAAAAUAACGCUUGAUUAUUUUAAUUACAUAGGCUUGUUAAGUUUUGAAAUCUAAUUAUUGUUGUUGUACAGAAUCAGUAUGAGAAUCAACCUUCACGGCGAGGUCAUUGUCGGGUUAGAAGGCGCUGGAAGCCCCCUCCCAGGAUGUCUGGGUAGAGUUUUCGGACCAAAAUUUCAUUAAGGAUGGUUUAGAAAUUUACACUUGUAAUUUAGAUUUUAUUCUAGUUUUAUCUAUAAGUAGAGAACUAUCAUUAGAGUUUUGUAAUCAUCAUCAAAAGAAAGAUAUUAGAGAAAAAUAGGGUAUGCGAUAUUUCUCUUAUACACUUCUUUUCAUUAAAGUGAAUCAUCGGUAGAAGAGAAUGUAGUCUCACGUUAAAAUUGACCUCUAUAAAUUUUACGUGUUCUUGUGUCUAUUUUCUUUCUACAAUUUUAUUUCUCUCGAUGAUGUAGAAUUAAAAUUUCUAAUUAUCAAUUAUUGUAACUUUUUAUCAAUUGUUUUUAACGAUCGAAAAGCAGAUAACUGAUAUGUGGCCAAGACUUUCUAGGCCUACAUAUCUUAGUCUUCAAAUUAAAAACGGGCAUACAGUUGAGCUUUGUCCUUUUGGAUAAUGGAAAGCAAAUACAUUUUCAUUUUGCGGUGUUUUUGUUGCACAAUGGUACUGGUGGUCCAUCUACCUAAAUGUUUCAAUUUACUUGUGGGAUACUGAAGAAAAAAAUAUCCACAUUGCAAUAAAAUAUAAAUUGUGUCUUGCAUAUAACAAAUAUUUUAAGCUUUAAAACACUUGGACAGGAAAUACUUUCUCAUAAAGAACAAGAAAAAGACUACGAGAAGAGGUAAAUAAUUUGUCGCAGGAAAUGUUAAAUCAAAUAAGCACUAUGGGUUUCCUAACUUUAAACCAAAUAAUCACUAUGACUUCCCUAUGAUAUUUAUGGUAUCCUCGAUGAAUUUUCACUUUUCUCAAAUGCAAUUACAAAAUAAAACCAUGUAUUCUCUUGUGCAGCUCAUUCUUUUGUAUUGAUAUCGUUAGAAUAUUUAUUUAUUUCUACUAAUAUUUUUCUCGAAUUAGUAGAAAGUUUUGUGUGUCCUUAAAUAAAAAUGUAGUGGAAGUAGCAUUAAUAUCUUUAGCACUUUCAAAUUCUUCUUUUCUUUUCUCGUUGUAUUGUUUCGGAAAUAGAAUUAUAUUUUUCUUUCAAAUUUCGUACCGUAGAAUUAUAAUUUAAAAAGUAGAAUUAUACCGUCCAACUUCAUCAAAUAUUUUUCUUUUUCAUCGAUCAUAUAUUUUUUAAUAAAAUAAUAUGAAAUGUAAAUUUAAAAAAAAAAAAAUAUAUAUAUAUAUAUAUAUAUAUUUAUUUAUUUAUUUUUAAUCACAUAUUUUUAUGGAAUUUAUUAUUUCUUUCAUUAUAAUUUAAAAUAAUGAAACCCAGUAAUGUAAAGUCCCCGUCUGGUCCCCAUUGGAAACCAUUUUCAACUUUUUCAAACAAGCUGGAGCCCCAUGUCUGAAUAAUAGCAGACAGUACAGUUAUGUGGUUCAGAUGGGUUAAUUCGUAAAAUGACAUUUAUGCCCCUAGUUUUGCCACCGGUUGAUUGAUGGUAGGGGUAAGAAUGACAUUGCACAAGUAAAAUGAAGGGUAUAUAGGUCAAUGGGUUCCAACGAUUUAGUGGAUUUUUUUGGAUUCUCUGGCAUUUGAAUGAUAUGAACGGAAGUGGAUACAGUUGUGUCCACCAUGUUGAGUUGAACAAUGAAACAAAAUGUGAAAUAACGAGAGUUAAUGGGUGCCAAAGGGGGCCCAGCUACCAUGUGAUAUUUUGUCACUAUUAAUUACGACAUUUCUUUUUUCCUUUAGCAUUGUUUUCUUCCUAACACAGGAUGGUAUAAUUCUACGGUAGGAAAUAGCACUUGCAUUAAUACGGUAGGAAAUAGCUUAGGGGGUAAGGCAAAGAGGCCUCCAACCCCUCUUGUAUUUGACUUGUUUAUUUAUAAGACGCGGUCAGAGUCGAAAUUCACAUUGGAUCUGGGUGGAGACCUAGAAAUGCUGUCUAGGCUUUAAUAGUACUUUGAUUAAACAAUAAAAUAAAUGGAUAACAACAGCAACAAUUGAACUCAACACCAUUUGCAUCCUUAUAUAUUAGGUUGAACUAUCACAUUUAAAAGCUUAAAUUAUUCAAAAUUAGUCUCAUUUAUUUAACUUAAUUAAGUUUUCAACGACAUUUUAGCUUGUUUGAUAUCCAUUUUUUUAAAAAUAUAUUUUCUUUUUUUUCUUUUCAACCACUCGUUUUUCAAUAAAAUAAUAUUACCGCAACCCAAAAACUUUUUUUUUCAUUUUUAACCACACAUUUUCCAUCAAUCUACUAUUCCAAAAUGCAUUUUACACUAAAAAUGGGUCUCGAACAUAAUGUCAAAACUUUAGAAGUGUACCUCAGGUCCUGUUUGAGCAGCAUUCUUUUAAAAAAUACAUUUUCAAACAGUGAUUUGACAUCGUUUUAGCCAAAAAUUCUUCAAUAAAAUAAUAUUAUACGCAAAUCCAAAUUUUUUUUUCAUUUUUUAACCACACAUUCUCCAUCAAUCUAUUAUUUCAAAAUAUAUUCUUUCAAAAUAAUAUGCCUCAAACACACACUGAUUAUGCCUCAUCCCCAAAUUUCAAGACUAAAAAAAAAAAAAGCAAAGCCUACACAGUUUUCAAUACGAUACUCAUGUCCACCCGCCAUUGCACUUAAAUGUUACUAAGGGAAAGAGUAACCCCCCCCCCCCCCCCCACCCNNNNNNNNNNNNNNNNNNNNNNNNNNNNNNNNNNNNNNNNNNNNNNNNNNNNNNNNNNNNUGAUAGAAGUGAUAUUAGAGAAAACUAAUAUAUGUAUGCAUACCCCCAUAUGUAACGAUCCAGGUCUUGUGUCCAAUCCGUUGUAUCAUAUGUACUAUCCGCUCUCUCACUUAGGGGUGUUUGAGAGUCAUUUUUAUGUAAAAAUGCAAUUUAGAAUAGUAAUUUGAUGGGAAGUGUGUGGUUGAAAAAUAAGGAAAUUUUUUUGAUUUACGUGUAAUAUUAUUUUAACAAAGAAUGUGCGAUUGAAAAGAAGAGAGAAAAAAAUGCAUUUUGAAAAAAAUAGGUACCAAACGGGGGCUUAAUUUGAAAUGUUAAGAGUUCGAAUCAUGAGAUGAGAUAGAAAUUCUGAAGGGUAAAUGGGCUCAAACUCUUUUAAAGCAAAUAGUACGUAUAAUAUAAAAAUUUAGACACGAGGCCUGAGUCAUUAAAAAAAAGGCUUGUUUCUUUGUAAUAACUCGGCCAUUGUACCCGUACCCAAGCCGUUAACUAAUGAACUAUUCAUUCUGGGAGAAUUAGAGUUCAUCUUACCCCUUACGAAUUUCUGUUGCAUCCUCAUGAUUCAAACCCUUGACUUUACCAUAAGAAUGACUUAAGUUAAAUUCAGUUACUAAAUAGAAAAGUGUGCUUAAAUUCAAAAUACAAAUUCUAGAAAUUGUAUUCUUGGCAACUGAGUAAUUUGGAUGUGGGUUCCAGCUAGAAUGCGAUAGCAAAAACAUGCUUCAUCAUGCAAAUUUGAUUUUUAUAUUUAAAUCAUGAGACAUUUGAGCAUCAUCAAUUUUGAAAGUAGCAAAGCAAAUAAUUUUUUGUUGUACAGACAAUGAUGUAUAGCCGUGUUUGUUUUUCAAUUGGAACUAGCUGUCCAAUCCAUCUGACUAAGUGCUAAAAUUUACUGCGAGUGAUAUUCAAAGAUUUUUUAACAUUGCACUAAAAUAUAUACAAUCACAAUUGAAAUAUCUAAUUCCUAUUGAACAUGUUAUAUUUGCUGUCAAAAAUAUUUUUCACUAUAUGCAAAUGGGAAAAGAAAAAAAAAAAGAAAAAGGAAAUUAGUUUCUGUAUAUUUUGAAGAAGUUAAAUGGGUGUAGAUACGGCUGGAAUCCGACACUGAAGGAGUAAAUUAAUAGCGUUCUAGCAGUUCUAUGUUGUAUUUUUCAUUUAUUAACGGUUAAAAAAAUUUUAGUUCAAUAUUUUUUUGGCAUUUUAUACAAAUGGAUUUAUAAAUUUUCAAUAUUUCAAAGGAAGUAAUGAAAACGUGGUCUACAUUGUCUUGGCCUACGUUCUCCUGAAAUCCUAGGACUAUAAAUACCCUUCAAACGAACUUGUAAAUUCAAACAAGACCAUUGAAGAGAGAAGCAUUUCUUUGAUUUUCUGCCCAAAUUUCAAGAGUGAAAUACAGAAAUGGAUAUCCAAAUCCAUGCAUCUGCUGCUCCAUUUUCCACCAAAAAUACGAGCAUUCAGGAUACUCGUCGCUCUGUCACAUAUCAUCCUACCAUUUGGGGAGAUUAUUUCCUUGCGUAUACUUCUAAUGUGAAUUAGCUAGAGCUUUUGUUCCUCGUUAAUUAACUGAAAUAUAAUUGUGUUAAAAUGUUAAAUGCAUGCUUCCUCUUACUUGAGCAGGAUAUAUUGGCCCAUGAAGAGCAAGAGCGUCAAAGCUUAAAAGAAGAAGUAAAAAAGUUGCUAACGGCCGCCCAAGAUGAUUCAUUGUAUAAACUAGACCUCAUCGAUGCAAUCCAAUGUCUUGGAGUUGGUUAUCAUUUUGAAAAAGAAAUUGAAAAAUCUUUAAAACACAUCUAUGGAACUUAUCAUGAAAGCCACAAUGAACAAAACAAUGAUGUUCGUACCGUUGCUCUUCGAUUUCGAUUACUCAGACAACGAGGAUAUUACGUCCCAUGUGGUAAUUAAUUUUUGUUUUCAUGAUUCAUUACACGUUGGGAAAUUAAAUUGACAUAGUACAUGAAAAGAUUAUGUUCUCUAAAUAUGAACUUGCACCUUACACAUUUAAGGGUAUAUUACAUAUUUUUUACGGAUGAGGCAGAUGUGUUCAACAAAUUGGACUGCCAAGGAAAAUUUGAGGAUUCUUUGAUUAAUGAUGUACCCGGGCUGUUAAGCUUGUACGAGGCUGCACACUUUGGAGCACACGGGGAGGAAAUUCUAGAAGAAGCAUUGAAGUUUUCUGCCACUCACCUCAGAUCCAUGAUCCACCAGGUGAGCAAUUCUCUCUCUAGACAAGUAAGUGACGCGCUGGAGAUGCCAAUUCACAAAACUUUGACAAGGCUCGGUGUUAAGAAAUUCUUAUUCAUUUACCAAGAAUCCGGUGAAGACAUGCUCCUGAAUUUUGCAAAAUUAGACUUCAACAUAGUGCAGAAGAUGCAUCAGAAGGAGCUAAGUGACAUUACACGGUUAGUUUGUUUUGUGAAGCUUCACUCUGUAUAUAUGCACUUAUAUAUUGGUAAAAUUUAUUUACUUUCGGAUGUGAAUUGCAGGUGGUGGAAGGCUUUAGAGUUUGAAAAAAAAUUGCCUUUUGCAAGAGAUAGGCUGGUGGAAUGCUACUUUUGGAUAUUAUGUGUCUACUUUGAGCCCCAAUACUCUCUUGCAAGGAAAAUUCUAACCAAAGUAAUCGCCUUGACUUCUAUUAUUGAUGACAUCUAUGAUGUUUAUGGCACCCUAGAUGAACUUCAACUUUUUACAAAUGCCAUUGAAAUGUGAGUUCUGAGUUGUUCUUUGUAUCGUAAUAUCUAAUAGCAUAUUUAUUUACAGCAAAAUAUAUAAUUCAAAUAGAUCCCAAUUUGAUAUUGAAUAUUUUCGUGAGCAGGUGGGAUUUUAGUGCUGGAGAUCAAUUACCAUCAUACAUGCACUACUUUCACAAAUCUCUUUUAGAUGUUUAUCGUGAAGCUGAGAAAGAUUUAGGAAAGAUAGGAAAAUCGUAUCGUGUUCACUACUCGAUUGAUGAGGUAAUCAAUAUUAAUAAAGUUGCUAGAAUUUUAAGCACGGUUACAUCCAAUUAAUAGUAUCUAAUCACAAUUUCAAUUUAUAGAUGAAAAAAUUAGUCCGUGCAUAUUUCGAAGAGGCAAAAUGGACGUACAACAGAUAUACUCCAACACUUGAAGAGUAUAUGAAAGUCGCAUUGGUAUCUAGUGCUUACAUGAUGCUAUCUACGACAUCUUUGGUAGGUAUGGGAGAACUGGUAACUAAGGAAGCCUUUGAUUGGAUUUCAAGUGAACCAUUAUUAGUUCGUGCUUCAUCAAUAAUUUGUAGACUAAUGGACGAUAUGGUUGGUCAUGGGGUAAGAAGUUUGAAUUCUUAUAAAUUGAUUUUCUUUAAAUUACACAAGUUCAUCACAUGGUUUUUUUUUUUUUUGCCGUCAACAUAUGAGAAAAAUAUAAUAGCCUGCUUAGCAUUAGAUUAACAAGUUUUGGGUUGUGUUACUUUUAUGCAGUUUGAGCAAAAAAUAACGGCUGUUGAAUGUUACAUAAAAGAGAGAGGCUUCAAAAGAAGAUGCAUUUGCUGUAUUUCAAACGCAAGUCAUGAACGCGUGGAAGGUUAUAAACCAAGAAUGCCUUAAUUCAGAUGCAGUACCAAUGGCUGUUCUGUUACGAGUAGUCAAUCUUACACGUUUCAUCAAUCUUCUAUACAAAGACAGUGAUGAAUACACAAAUUCUAAAACAAAGUUAAAAGAUUUCAUAACGGCUAUACUCAUCCAACCAGUGCCAAUAUCCAACUGAACAUAGUUGUGGUGCGGACUUUCAUUUUAAUGUAUCAUCUUGUUGUCAUCCAUAUUUAGUGUUGUCUUCUCAAAUUCUACGACUCAAUUAGGUCUUAAUUAAAGUUGUCCAAACGUUGAAUUUUCUCGUAUGUAAUCAAACGUUAUAUCUACUGGAAAGCUCUUUGAGUAGUUAAAAACUUUGUAUUUGUUUUGUUCGAUGUUCUAAAUAAUGAUAUUAAUGUUGAAAUUUUCUUACGAAUAAUUAGAACUGGAAUCUAUCUUACAAUUCAUUGAUAUUCAACUACUUAUAUAACAAAUACAGGACAAAUCUUACAUGAAAAUCCAUGAUUCUACGAGCUAUAAAAGGCUGAAUCAAAUCUAUAAAUUGUUUGCUAUUUAUACAUAUUUGAGGCAGAUUUCUCCAGCAAUAUAUCAGCAAUAUUGAUUUUCUUGUGAUUGAUUGCUUCAUUGCCACCAGUAAAGGGAUCAUUGUCUUCAUCCUUUUUGAAUGCUUCAUUACCAAUAUUUUUGUGAUCAUUUCCUUGGAACUAACAAAGCGGAAUGGACAAGGAUAGCUUGCUUACUACUUUCUUGUCUCAUCCAACAUCUACAGUGGAGAAUUAGUUAUAGCGUAGGGGAGGAAAAAUAUGUGGUCUGAAAUUUAAGACAUUAGUUGGAGAAAGUAUAGACACUGAAUUUGACAUGCAAUACCAUGCACAUGGUCACAACACCAAGAUUGUUGUUAGUUUUUAUAUUGAAAUCACUGUUCAUUUUCUGUCCAAAUUCAAAGACUAAAAGUAAAUGAAUAUUUACAUUCCUUCAUGAUUUCCACAAAAUAUAUAUGGUAAAUGAGAAUACACGGUGCUCUGUCACAUAUCAUUCAACCGUUUCACAAUAUUUCAUUGCAUAUACUUUAGACCCCAUAAUAUAAUUAAUUAGUCCUUUAUCUGGAAAUAAUUCAUUGCUCUAGAUAUAAUAUUUAGGCAUUUAAUUUCUACAAAAACUGUAUUUUGAUGCACCACAAAUUUAUUUACAGCAGCAGUCCUAACGGUUAGUAUUUUAUGGAAAAUAAAUAUUCAAAAACAAAUAACAAAUUAGAAAAUUAUAGACACCCCUUGAGAAUAGUGAGUAUUACAGAUUCGUUCAGCCUCUACAUUUAAAAAUAAAAAAAAUUAAAAAAUUAAAAAAUUAAAAAAUUUAAAAAUUUAAAAAACCUCCAACAAGGUUUCAUUACAUAUUCGCCCGGUAAGCAAAAAAGCAAAUAUAUAUUUUUUGUUUAAUCCCUUUGCUUUGUACUAUUUUGAAAUUCUUAUUACAUACAAUUAAACUAUUUUUCCUUUAUAUUUCUUUUAAUUUCUUAAAAUACCUUACAUACUAUUAUUAGCCUUAGUUAAAAGAAUAUCAUUAUGAAUUGUGAUAAUAUCUUAAAAGAUUUUAAAAUACAAUUUACUUUCUAAAAACAUUAUAUGUUUUGGCUAAUAUGAUUGACGAAUAUUUAAAAAAUGAAAAUAAAAACAUGUUAUAGAAUAAUAUAAUAAAGAAAGAAAAUAAUUUUUAAAUAUUUUAUAUUUCUUGAUUUAGUAGCAUUUUCUAAAAUUUUUACUCAUUUAUACUCUUAAAAUUUAAACUACGUUUAGAAAAUCAAACUAAUAAUAUCAUAAUAAAGUUGGCAUUAAAGAUUUGUAGUUUCUUUUUAAGCCAAUAUUUUAGAUCUAUUUUUUAUUUAUUCAUUUUUAAAAUGAGAAAUUAAUUUUAAUUAGUGGUUUUUAUUACUUACUUUAACGAUAAGUAUAACUUUGUACUCAUUGAUCACGGCCAUAAGAAAAGGGACAUAUGCAAUGACUUUAAUUGAAUUGAUACUUAAUUUUUAUUGUAUAUAGAUUGAUUUAUGAGAAACUAGAUAUUGUAUUGCAUAUGAAGAAAUAGGGGCAGAAAUUGAAUGAUAAGGACUAAGAAUGAACAAAAUAUUGAAAAAAGAGGGAAAAUGAUAAGGACUAAGAAGAAACAAUUUGUGGAAAUUUGGGACUGAGGUAUAAAUAUUCGAUGAAGGACCAACAACGUAAAUAGGAAGUAACUUGAGCUGAAUUGAUAGGAAAACUUAGUGACUAACUUGAAUUGGAAGCAAAAAGGAUGCACCUUGCAAUCGCAAGACUCUACCUAUGCAAUCACAAGUUUCACCAAGUUCAAGAAUAUUAUCAUACGAUCACAAUCAACGUUACCCUGCUAUCGUGUUGAUUUCAAUCACGUGGUUUUACAAGGUAGCAAAGAUUUUAUUUCUUAAUUUAAAUCAAGUUCUACAUGGAAUGGGAUUGGAGCACAAAUUUCACCUAAUUCUAGGGGCUACAAAGACGAUUAUUCAUCGAGCAAAAGGGGAAGAGAGUUUUGGGGGAGACAAAAACAUACAUUCUAUACACUUUAACCAUCAAGAGCUUCUUGCAAUUACAUAUUCCCGGUUGUAAAUUCUCAAUUUAUUAUGUAUUUUUGUAAUUUAAACAUGAUAGGAUAAAUCUUUAGUAGUUCUCAAUUUAUUUUGUCCAAUGUUCUAAAUAAUGAUAUUAAUGUGUGGUUGAAAAUUUGAGACAUUAGUUUUGUCUUUAUGAUAGUUAGAAAGCAAGUAUAGCCAUUGAAUUUAAAAUGAAAUACCCUCCAUAAGGUCACAACAACACAUGUUAUUUUUAUUUUUAUUUUUAUUUUUUUAACUUGAAUAAACUAAAAUAAAUCACCAUCAACACAAACUUCCAUUUUUAAAAAAGUAAGAUUGACACUGUUUUUAUAUUAAAAACACAGUUCAUUUUCCGAUCUAAUUCUAAGACUAAAAGUAGGUAUUUAUAUUCAAAACACAGUUUAUUUUCUAUCCAAAUUCUAAGACUAAAAGUCAAUUAAAAGAAUAUGGAAUGAAUAUUUAAAUUUCUCCAUCGACUGCUCCCAUAAUUUCGACAAAUGUGGCAUUGAGAUUCCAUGGUGUUCUGUCACAUAUCAUUCAACCCUUUGAGGAUAUUUCCCUGCAUAUAAUUCAGACCUCACAAUAAAAUUAAUUAGUCCCCCUACCUUGAAAUAAGGCAUUGUUCUAGAUCUAGUAUUUAGGCAUUUAAUUAUUACAAAAACUUUAUUUUGAUGCACAACAAAUUUAUUUACAGCAGAUAGUAUUUGUUAGAACAAAAAUAUCCAAAAAAUUAAUUUAUUUGAAAGUAUAUAAAAAAAUUAGAAAAAUAUAGACAUCAAAGGUUAGUGACACUCCUUGUGAGCAAAAGCAAAUAUAUAUUUUUUGUUUUAUUUCUUCGCUUUGUACUAUUUUAAAAUUCUUAUUACAUAAACUUCAAACUUUUGAUUUAGAUGACAACAUGAUGUUUUAAUGAAAAGAAAUAUCAUUACAAAUUGUCAUAGUAUUUAAAGUCGUCGUAAAAUAUUAUUAUUUUAAAAUAUAUGUAUACACACACGUGCGCGCGUUUGGCAAAUAUGAUUGACAAGGAUUAACAAAUCAACAUAAAAACAUGCUACAAAAUAAUUUAAUGAAGUAGAUUAUUUUUUUAAUAUUUAUAUUUCUUGAUUAUGUAACAUUUUCUCUAAUAUUUACUCAUUUAUACUAUUUGACAUUUAGACUAUGUUUAGAAAAUUAAACUAAUAAUAGUGUUAUAAAGUUGGCAUCAAAAGAUUAAAGUUUAGAUCUCUUUUUAGUUUUUUUUUAGUGAAUAUUUUAGAUCAAUUUAAUUUAUUCAUUUGUAAAAAGAAAAUUCAAUUUUAACAAUAUAUUAUCAAGAUGAUGAGAGAGAGAGAGAGAGAGAGAGAGAAUAUUUAUUAUAAAGGGAGAGAAUUCUUUAAUAAUUAAAACAAGGGGAUGACCGUGUCUUUACUUUUUGUAAAUUUCGUGGGAGGUUUUUGGUAUUUACUUUAACGAAUAAGUAACAAUAUGUCUGGAAUUCCUAGGAGUGUAUCUCGACUGUGAUGACAACUGUGCCAAAAACAUUGGGUGAUAUAGGAUCUAGAACUGGGAAUAUACAGCUCGUGAGCUCUUAUGACUAUCACAAAUAGUGUUUGGUAGUCUCUGUUAUAUUCCUCUUUGUCCUUUAUACACGGUUUGUGGUGAUUUGAUUAACGCAAAUUUUCAUUUGCUUUCCUUCAAAAACAAAAAAAAUAAAAAAAAAUAAAAAAUGAGAUUAUCGUAAUGGUUAUGAGCAAGCUUCUUAAAGACAUAAGGUGUGCAAGGAGUCAAUAUCAACCCUCAAGCCUUACGAGUCUAGACGUAAUAAGUUGUUUUCUUGUUUUUAAUGUUAUUUUAAUUUUUCUAAGAUUAUUGAUAAUAUUUCUUUUUAUUCAAUUAGUUUAUGUAACUUAAACUAUUAAAAAAAUUAAAUAUAAAAUGUGCGUGGCUUGGCCUGAAUGAGUCGUGCCUUCUUCACUAAGCUCAACUAGACAUCACCAGCUUUUUCGACCUUUCAGAAUACUAAUUGUGAGGUAAAAUCACACAGAUUUCUACUAUGGGUACUCAAUCUAUUCUUCCACCUGCAAGUUGGUCUCAAAUUUUAACAAAUAACUUCUCAAUCUUUCAUUAGCAUUGCACACUAACUCUUAGUUCGAGAUGUCAAUAGGUGCAAGUUGUCAUCAAAUUGUUAGUUUGGUGCAUGCCUAUAAAUGGCAUUGCUCGCCUUUGAGGCAAGUCUUAGGGUGAGCCAAGUAGGGCUGCACAAAAAAAAUCGCAAAAUCGCAAAUCGAAUCGAAAUCGUUGAGUUGAAAUCGUUGGUUUGGGUCCACAUGGACCCGUGGUUUCUUUUCCCUCAAACCAAACCAAACCGUUUCAAAAUGAUUUGGUUUAGGUUUUGAUUUUCAAAAAUCGCACAAAACCGAACCGAACCAUUUUUAAAUUUUUUAAUUAAAAAUAAAUUUUAUUAACUUAAAAAUUUUAAUUUUUUUCAUUUUUUAAAACAAAAAAAUCAAUUUAGUAAUACGAAUUAUAACUAACCUAUUGAAAUAAUCAUAGAAAGUAAAUUAGGUUCAUCAUUAUUGGCCUAUGAUUUAAUAGGCUCACAACACAUAUCUUCACCCGAUAUCUAAGCUAAACUAAAAUUAUUCCAAAAUCAUAUGAAAUGAAAAAAAAAACAUAUAUUUUUAACAAUCCAAAUUAUAAUUCAACAAAACUAUGUCAACAAAUCACGUCCAAAGUUUCAGAAACCCUAAUAUAAACUCUCAUUUCCUAACAUUUGACAAUUGUUUGCCAGUGCUAAACGAAUCGCUAGUCGCCUUUGCCUGUUAGUUUACUCAUCUCUACCUGAAUCGUCUCUUUCUCUAUUCUCUUUUGGUAAGUCCUAGAUUUUUAUUUAAGUCAUUUGUCCAUUGUGCUUUCUUUUAUUUGUUUUAUUUGAAUUUAUUAUACACUUAUGAUUGCUGGUUUGGAUAGAAAAAUGAUUGUUUGUGUGCUUAGAUAAUUAAUGAACUUAUUUGUUAUUUAGAAAGAAUGAAGGACGAAGCGUAUUAAUUGUGAGAAAUUGUUAAAGUACCCUAAUUAGUACUACUGUCUUCUACUUUUAUAAAGUAGUUAGAUGAUGAAAUUUGUCAAUUCUCAAUAAGCCGAAACUCUAUCAAUCUUUGUACAUUUAAACAUAUCAUGUUCAAUCCUUAUUUAAUAUCUCACUAGCAAAAUGAAAAGAGUUUUAACCAAACUAUAAUAGCAGAAUGUAACUCUACUUUUACCAACCGUUAUAUGACAAUAUGAAUAUCAAGCAAGAAAAAGUAAAUAAAAAUGAAGAAAUAUGUAUUUGUUCUAUUAACAUCUUUUAGCAACCAAUUUUGAAAAUAAUUUAUUCACGAGUUUCAUGGUAAAUAUGAAUGUAAUUUAACAUUUAACGUUAUUAGUUCUCGUUUAAACUUAUAUUUAACUUAUGUUGAAUACAUUACUAUAAUGCCGAAAGGUAAAUCGCGAAUUAAAAUCGAAUCAAACCGCAAAUUAUGGUUUGGUUUGAAAAAUAAAAUGGUUUGAUUUGGUUUGGUUUGAAAAAAUUUCAAACCAUAUAAAAUGGUUUGAGUUGAAAAUAUAGCACAAAUCGUCCAAACCGAAAUGCGUUCACCCCUAGAGCCAAGUCAAGAACUUCCCAUGCAAGGGCUGCCUCAUUUUUGCAUUUCAUUAUUAUUAUUUAUUUAUUUUAUUUGUCUACAAAUGCUGCAAUUUCUCAAACAGUUUCUUCACACCCUUAUCCAUUGUUCAAAAUUUCAUAUACCACUCAAUAGUAUUAUAAAUUUGCAAUUAUUCUUACUGUUGUCAUUUGUUUGCAAUUAUUGCUUCUACUUCUCACUACUCCCCAGUCUCCUACCCUUUAUUGCCUUUUUUCUUCUAUUUUCUACAAAAUUUCUAAUGGAUUUUAGAGGAUGAACCCCAGUUAGGAUCUCCAAAUAAGUAUUUCUAAAUUUAAAACAAAAAAAAAAAACAAAAAAUAGGGGCAAAUAGUUUUGUUUGGUUUCAAACGUGUUUUAACUAUCAAAACCUAAACCUAAUAAUUAUUAUGUGGCACCUCAAUUUGAAGUCGAAGAAGUCGAAAUAUUAAUGGAUACACGUGGAACAAACCAACAGUUUCGUUGUGAUUUCUGUUUACGUAAAGGAUAAACCAUAAAGAUAUAUUUGAGCGACCACCAUUACAAUUAGUAUGUUGGGGAUUAUACGUAAAAUGAUCUUUGCAUUUAAGGUCAUUGAGUGUCUAUACACUAUAUUAAAUGUUAACAAUGGGUAAUUUUCCUAACAUUUUAAUUAAAUGUAGGUGAUUUUUAUUAUUUUUUUGUUUUUUUUUUUUUAAAGAGAGGUAUUUUUCAGUUUUUAAAGAAAAUAAGGCUUAUAGCAUUAUUAUCACUUAAGAAAAUACUCAAUUUGGACUCUUAAAAACUUCUUUCAAGUGACAGACUAGUGUGAAAUUCGUAAACGUGUACUAUCUUUUAUAAAUUUCAUGAAAAUUUUUCAUAUCUUCUAUAAAUUUUCUUUUAAGGGCUUCUAUAAACUUCAUUAGACUUUGAAAGACUACUACUUUAAGGGGGAGGGGGGACUUAUUGCAUAUUCAGCAAUAGUAAUAUAUUAUUCAUCCGUAUCAACUGAAAGAACAUUUACAAUGCUCGUUAGGGAGCUAUCAAGUCACACAUCACCCAGAAAUCGGGAGAGAGCAGCAGCAUUAACUUCCCUUCCCUUUGAAUUGAACAUUGGAGGUCAGCAAAUAAGGCUAUCAUUCCAAAUACAAUCAUCAUGAUCCUUAACAUAAUGACACAUUUAUUAUUGGACUGUUUUAAAUACAGCCAAUUUUUUCAUUCAAUCACAUCUUGCCAAUAUCGAUUAUGACAUUCUAUCUAUCAACCAUUUUCUGGUAAAGUGGUAUAACUUUGUUUCGAUCGUACAAUCAAUGGUGAAUCUAGGACGAAAGGUUAGCUAGGGCAGACAGUGAAUGUUGACUGUUGACAAUCAUCGACGGUAAUAGCGAUAUUGUUUAUUAAUUUUUAAUUAAAUAAUUUUAAAAAUUCUUCAAUAUAUAUGAAAAUGCACUAAAACGUAAAAAUUCUACACAUGGAAUAUAAUUCAAUACAACAUUUUUUAUUUACUUAUGAAAAUAUAAUUCUACACAUGGGUGAAUUGAGCUCAACAUCUUUUUAUUUACUUAUCUUACAUUUCCUAAACAUAAAUAUCCAAAUCACAAAUCAAAAUUCAUAAAUGAUAAAUUGUAACUCGUAAUUCAUACAACAUAAAUUAUUUAUCAUAGAUCACAGCUUGACAAUUACAAUUAUUUCUCUGUCAUUUUGUCAAUUAACUUAUAAAACAUAAAUCAUAGAUUCAUAAGAAAUUAAGAAUCAUGACACAUUUAUAAUAAAUCAGAUAAUGAAUUAUAUGAUUACUAAUUAUGCGAACUUGUGACGUGUCAACACAGAAAAAACCCAAAAAAAAAGGAGAGAAGCAGCUCACUGACUUGAACAAGAAAGAUGUGUACUGGCUGCUCAAAAACUCCGCGUCCGAGAGUUUACCGAUAGCGACUUCUUGUUGUCGCCACUCGUUCGUCGACAGCAAGUCUGCAACUACUUCCUUCAGCCCUCGCAGAUCGCAUAGAAGUGGCCAGGAGAAGGUGGAAAAGGGUUUGUGUUGGUAAUUGCCUUCAUUUGGUCUUGGACUUCUGUUAUAUAUAUGAUGCAUGGAUUCAUUGGAUUAGGGCUAGUUUAAAAAAAAAAAAAACAAAACAAAAGGCCCACAACUACAACCAUGAGGCAUUAACCCCAAAAAAAAGGAAAAAAUUCAUAAUCCAAGUAUACCAUUUACACCAAUUUAAAAAUCAGGUAGAUAAUUUGAAAAUUCAAAUUCAGGUACAUAUUUAAUUAACUAAAAAUACUUAUUAAAUAAAUAUAAUAAAAUCACAGUUAUUCAAUUAAUGGUCACAUAUCUGAUUAAUGGUCACAUAUCAUCAAAUUAAUUAGUUACAGAUUAUUUCGUGGUCACAAAUCAAAAAUUUUGAAGGUCACGGAUUAUUUUUGAGGUCACAAAUCAUUCAAAUUGCAGGUCACAGUUCAUCUGUAAGUCACAUAUUUUCAAUUUAUUGGUCACAAAUUAUUUUUUUAGUUACAGAUUGUCAAAAUUUAAAUAUCACAGACCAAAUCAUUGGUCACAUGCAUAAAUAACUCCACCCCCAUUUCAAUUCACCACCAAUACUUGGUCACAAAGCAACCAAAUAAUUGGUCACAAUCACCAUUACACCCCACCACAACACCUCUACAACGAGCCAACAAUAACAAAAAUGAUAACCAAAACACAACGAACGACUGCACCACACCAUCACACAAUCAUUGACCACCAUCUCGUCGCCAGCACCACCACCCACCACUAGCAUCACCACCAUUACCCCGAAGUCCCCAACAAUGCACCACCACCACAAUCUCCAUCGAACACCGACCGCAUUAACGGAACGUACUGCUCUUCAUAAAUCAGUAAGAACUUCCUGAUCAGAAGGAAGACCUACAACACCCUACUCAUGUGUGCCGUCUUCACAAAUCCAUCUAUGGCCUUAAACAGGUCCCCAAGCAAGCCACCCAUAAAUGCAAUUUUCUAAGACUUCUUAGAGGGAAGGGUUUCCGAAACCAUAGUUCUUCACCUUCUCUCUCCCAUACAAAACAAUGAGGGUUUCCUAAUAAUUAUUGCAAAGACAAUUUAUCCCUUUAGUUCUUCACCUUCUCUCUCACACACAAAACACACACUAGGUGAGUGGGGUUUAUAGAAGAAGACGCCGCAAAUAGGAAAUAUAUAAAAAGAACUACGAUUUCGGAACACCGAUCGCACUGCCGCUAACCAGUGUCACCGCACCCACAGCCACAGCAACGUCGAACUAGCACUUGUCAGAGCAUCGAUGCUCAUCCUGCACCUAAUGCUAGUCACGACACCAGCAAAGAGAGAAUGUUGGUAGAGAGAAGAUCGAGAGAAUGGAGAUAGAGUAGAGAGAGAAUGGAGUGAGUUAGGGUUUGGAAUUGAAUUAAUUAAUUAAUAAAAUAUCCAAUUAAUACCUGAUUUUUUAUUAAAUAAACUUUAUACCUGUAUUUUAAAUUUGAAAGUUUAACUACCUGGUUUUAUGUAAUUUCCUCAAUAAAUAAAUAAAAUAAAAAAUUACAAGACCCAACUCCGAGACCUUGCCUUCUUCAUCAUUCGUCUACGGUCUCCCCUGCAACUGAUCUGGUGCCCGACGGUCAGUGGAAACUCAAAGUUUCGAUAGAGUCCAACACGUGCGAUCACGCCCCCUCGUCGAGUGCUGGCUCCGCCAUAUAAUGACAACCAGUCUGCUCUAGCACGUUGUGCCCCAAAAAAUAAAAAUAAAAAAUUCUUCUCUCUCACUCAAAAUAAAAAUAAAAAAAAAUAAUAAUAAGACGACGACAAAGAAAAAUUUAAAUUAUCCCAGUAUUAUUCCUACCAGUGGGCAAAGUAGGUAAUUGUCAGGUGUGGCCAAGGGCGACAUCACAUGUACAGCGAGAUUACAUCCCCCAUCAGAAUAUGUACUAUUUUGGUUAUAAAGAGGUCGACUAGACUUUAGAAACCGACGGUGGUUCAAGCAAAGCUUUCAGUUUUCAGUAUUUAGAUUGAUUUCCUAAUGGAGCUUUUAGCCAUUCGCCAAACCCGUGUUCUGGAUUUCGGAGGAUGGGCAAGCCCCCCCCAUACAUUCGGGAAAAGUGUGGACAUAUUUCCAGCAUAGGGUGCAGUAGGAAGUUUUUCAUAUUUGUAGUUCAGUUUAACCAGGGGCGAAGCCAAGAUUUUAGUUUAGUGCGGGCAAAAUUUUUUCGAUGUGGGACGUCGAGAUUUUGGUCAUUGAUUUAAUAAUGAUAAAGAAAUAAAACAAUAUUACAACAAUACUAAAAAACAAAGUGCUAAUUUCAUAUAUUAAAAAAAUAAAUAUUAUUACAAUUUACACAAAUCAAACUAACAAAAAAUAAGGGAAAAAAUUCAAUUGAAUGAAUGGAAGUGGCGAAGUGUGAAGGGACGAAGUCAUAGACUCACAAUUCACAAAGAGUUGAAAUGAAUGAAUGGGCAUGGGUAAAUUGAUUCAAUUGAAUUUUGAGGGGAAUGGGUCUAAAAUGGGCCAUGGGCUUCUCUCUCUUGGCUGGACAAUGUACACAGAAGUAAGAAAAAAAAAUUUACUUGGCCAUGUGGAGCUGGGCCCAAAAGUCCAAUAUAGGCAUCUAGGGAAGUGAGUUAAACAAACAAACAAAAAAUUUACUUGGGCCUGUGGAGUUGGGCCAAAAGUUUAGUACAGGUCCGCACUGGACAUAAUUAGGCUCCGCCCUUUAGUUUAAUAGUGACUCUAUUCUCGCUCAAUUGCAUGAAAGAGUUCAUCGGAGAGGUUGCAAUAUAUAAUCUUCACACGAAUCCGUUAAAAUGACAAUCAUUAUUUAAAAACUCUUUUCAAAAUACUCAUUUUCAACUACACAUUCAUACAAUAAAAUAUUCUACAUGUAAACCUAAAUUUUUUUACUACUUUUUAACCAUACAAUCUCCUAAAAAUAUUAUUCAAAACAUUACUUUUUCCAAAUAAUGACCAUCAAAUAUAUGCUAAUUUAUGUUAUAUUUAUGUCACUAGUAUCAUUGUUUGAAACCAAAUCAAGCCGCAAAUAACGGUUUGAUUUGCAAAAUUAAACGAUUUUGUUUGACUUUAGAUUUUUUCAAACCUUUGAAAAUGGUUUAAUUUUAGGCCCUGUUUGAUAAUCUCCUUUUUUCCAUGGAAAAUGGAAAACAUUUUUCAUUUCCAUCCAAAAUUGUGUGUUUGAUGGCACCCAAAUUCCAUGUAAUUGGUUUUCCAUUUUCCCACCCAUGUGACCCCCUUUCUAGCUUUUCAAGGAAAACCAUUGGUUUUCACGAGAAAAUGAUUUCCAGAUUUUUUUGGUUUAACAUUUUAUUAUUUAGUUGCAAUGGGAACAAAUUCUAUGCACAAUUGUAAAAAAAAUUAUUCUUUUAAUUGACAAUUUUCAUGGAAAACGAACAACAAAAGAUCCAAAUUUCAACAUUUUCCAAGGUGGAAAAUUAUAUCAAUCAAACACAUUUAAUUGACAAUUCCCAAUAAAAUAAGUUCUAGGCAAUUCAAUUUCCUGGAAUUCAUUUUCUUUCCAUCCAAAUUUCAUUCUUGCUAUCAAACAAACCCUUAGUAUAAUUUAAAAUCGUUCAAACAAAACUUUGUUCAACCCUAAGUGAUUAUUGCAUUAUGAUGUAGAUUGUUGUAGAGGUGGUCUUAGUGAUGGUGGGUGAUACAUAUUGUAUUACUGGUAGUGAGUGGAAAGUAUUACGAUGUAACACGAAAUGUUACGAGGUGAUGAAGACUACGACAGUGAAUUUUGCAUAACAUUGUAUUGCAAAGUGUAGUAUAAAAAAAAUUAAGAAUAUAUAUAUAAAGUGACGUGGAGAAUAAUUUUAUUUUUUUAGCUUAUUCGUGUGAAGGUCUUUUCAAAUUGAAUGGUAUAAAAAAUAAUAUUAUUCAACAUCAUUGGUACUUAGCAUUAAUUAGGGAUUCAUUAAGUAACAUUUUAAAUAAAAAUAUAAAUGAGUCAUAUUUAAAGUUAAAAUUACUUAGCACUAAUCUAGGUGUUUCGGGAUUAAAUUGGAAUAAUUGUGUGAACUCUUCCACAUACAACGUCCACACGUACCAGUGAUGUGUAGAAUCAACAUAUGACUCAUCCCCCAAGUUCCCUGCCCGCAAUGUAUUUGGUCAACAUGUUGGUAAUUGUUCUUUAGCCCUGUUGGGGAUAUUAAGCCCCGUUUGGUAAUAAUUUUUUACUUAAAAAAAUCAAAUUUUGACUGUUAUUUCAUUGUUCCAGCCAUCAUUUUUUAUCUUUUCACUCACAAGUAAAAUUCACUUUUCUUUCUAACGAUCAAAAAAUCAAUCCUCAUAAUUACUACCGAUCAGACCCUAAAAUUAGAUUUUUAAUAGAUUUUGAUAAAAAUUGAUAAAAUGUAUGAUUAAAAAGUUGUGAGUUUAAUAAAUUAUGUGAUUAAAACUAAUUAUUGAUUUUGACUCUAAUUUUAAUCCGGAUCAAAUUGGGGUUACUAUUUAUUAUUUAAGCACUCAAAAUAGUGCUUCUCCUGUACUCAUUUAAUUGCUGUUGGCUUUUUGAUACCCAGUAAAUUCCGGGCUAUGAUGUUAACGUGGGUUAAUAUUAUUUCAUAGGCAUAGGCCGAUGAAUGAAAUAAGUCCAACAACCAAAUCCAUGAGCUACACUCGACCCAAUUGUAUUCCUUAUGGAUAGCUUGAAUCUUGGCCCGUUUACCACUUUAUUGGCCCAACUUAAAGCCUAACCCUAGAGUAUAUAUAUGAAUAUAACCCUAGCCACUUUGAUAUGAUGAUUGUGUGAUUUUGAGAGAAGAAAUAGUGAAUCCCGGCUGCCCCCCUUUUGUGUGAGAAAAAGGUGCCCAGAAGUGUCCAGAACGCUUGUAUAACGUGUGCAAUUGGUGGUUCUUUCAUAGUAUACAUUUGUGGUGUCUUCUCUUAGCCUUUGUGGCCAUAAAUCAUCAUCCUUUCUUGUCCUACGUGGGUAAGAUUGCAUAGCAACCAAGGUGAAUCAAUUGGCUGUAGUUUGGAGCCGAUUGGACUGGUUGUUGGUUGAGAAAGGUACGUUGGACUGAGCCUGAAAAACCACCGUUUGAAGAUCCUUUUGAGAGAGCUUCCGCAACAAUUGGUAUCAGAGCUUCAAGGUGAAGGUUUUGGCUCGUGAAAUCUACCAGAAAUCGUCCAGAAAAUCGGCAGAAACGCAGCAGAAAUCAGAUCGAAGAAGCUGUCCAAAACUGUUAAAAUCAGUCUUCGUUUUUCGUGUUUUUUGAUCAAUCCAGAAGGGGUUUGGGAAAAUGGAGACCACUGGCGUGACGUGCAGGAGGAGGCGAACCCUUCAAGCCGACGCGUGUCAGUCUAAGGCUGCGCAUGAGGCCCACGCGCAGAGGGAAGGAGACGGAUGUGAGGGCGCGUGGAGCGUUUUUUGUGACGGUCUCUUCAGGCAGUUUGUUCCUCAUAUUAUUUCUGACAUUUUUCAUGUUUAAAGUUUUCUGUUUCAGGGUACGCAGAAGAAUCUGGACAGCGUUGUUCUUCGGGCGUUCGGGACUCGAUCGUGAUUUUUUGGUUGCUGCAGUUUCCAGAGACUUUAGGACGAAUAGUGGUGGUCCUAAAGUGUUAAAUUCGUGUGUCUCAUAAUUUACGGACUCAGAUAGGUCCGCUCUGGUAUAUUGGCUUAACUUAGUUUAAAUUUCAACAUUAGCAGAUCAUCGUGUGGGGUGAUCGUCAGGAUUGGGGGUUGUCAUUGUUUGGCAACCAUUGCUUGUGCUAGAAAAUUUAGGAAUUAUUUGCUCUGUUUUUGAAGUGUUGAGUUUUGAUUGCAAGUUGGUAGUUGAUUUUGUGCUUUACCUGUCAUAUAGUCACUGUGUGAGACUUGUUGCGUGGAAAUUCGAACUUUUGUUUACAUACCUUCGUUUUGCAUUGAUUUUCCUGUUAGAACACCUGGACUUGACCCGUUCGAACAUUCCCUUGAUCUAAAAUCGGGAAUCUUACAAAACCCUGAGAAUCUAGAACGGUGUAUAUUGAGGCCGUAGGAUAACUUCGUGUGACCUAUCUGUGCUUUUUGGUUGUUCUAGUUUUUUAAAAUAGUCUUCACGCUUUGAAGUUGGAAUUUUUAAUGCGAAGGGGGAUUUUUCAAUUUGGCAACAAAAGAUGAAGGGUAUUUUGGUCCAACAAAAAGUUUCAAAAGCCAUAGAUGGCAAAUUUUCUGCAAAUUUAACAGAAGUACAAAAAGAAGAGUAUGAUGAACUUGCAUACACGUCAAUUAUUUUACACCUGUCUGAUACUGUUUUGAGAAAAGUAGGAAAAUUGGAUUCUACAAAACAACUUUGGGAAAAGUUGGAGGACUUAUAUUUGCUUAAGUCAACUCCUAGUAAAUUGUACUUGCUUGAACGAUUUUUCAGCUUUAAAAUGAAUCCUUCAAAGGAUCUUGAUAAUAAUCUGGAUGUCUUUAACAAAUUAGUUCAAGACAUCAUUAACUGUGAUGAAGAGGUAUCCGAAACGUAUAAGGCUAUUAUCCUGCUUAAUUCCAUGCUUGAUUCAUAUAGGGAAGUUAAGAAUGUAAUUAAGUAUGGUAGGGACACAUUAACACCCGAGAUUGUCAUAGACUCACUUAGGAGUAAGGAGAUGGAGAUUAAGGUUGAAAAAUAGGAUAACAUGAGUGGCGAGUUACAUAUGAUGAAGAGUAGAAUGAAGUUUAAGCAGAUGAAUUUGGGUAGAACUCAAGACGGUAGUGAUUCGAGUAGUGACUCGAGUGUUGAGGGUAGUAAGAAGAAGGGCAAGGGACGAGACAAGUCUAGUGAUAAAAGGUGUUACAGUUGUGGUAAGUGUGGACACUUUAUUAGGGACUGUCCCAAGAAGAAAGAUAAGCUGAAAGGAAAGAUGAGAGGUGAGACGAAUUUGGUUGAGGGGUCGAGUUAUGACCCCAGUGAGGUUUAUUAAGUGUAAACCUAGUCACUGCAUAUGCAUCUGUGUGUGAUCCUUUCUGCAUGUGUGUGAUUGUCUAAAUUUUGUUGCAUGAUUAUCUGCUACAUUUCAAUGUGUUUGAUAUGUGCAUUUGCAUGAAUUUGAGACAUUAGGAUUAUUUGGUGUAAUUGCUUGCAUGCAUAGUGGAUUAGGAUGCAUUAGCAGUGCAUUGUGUGUCUUUUGGUGAGGUGGAGUAUAGAUGCCUAGAGGUACAUGGUGGUUUGUACCGGGGAUGUGGAGAGUGACAUUUGGAUCACGAGUGGAGAUGUGAUCAAAUGUCUAGAAUCCUUUAUCUGGAAAGAGACCUUGAUCAGGUGGAGUGUGAGAAAGACACUUCUAUCACUUCUGUUAGGUGGAGACCCAUUAUCCACGUAGGUUGGGAGAAGUGAUGUGGAGAUAGAGGAUUAUCCCGUGGACUUAGGAUCUAUUGUGACUUACCAGUUAGACAUCAGUUGAGUGAUCUGUCUAGUGAGCCGUGGUGGGCGAUGAGAGGAGAUAUGUGAUCUCGAGGUGUGAGCAACACGGAAUGGGAUAGGAUAAGUGUGGUGAGAUCUUUUCUUAGGGUCAUUUAUGCAUGUGUUGCAUAUGUGGUUGACCGUGGUUUGAUUGACUUGGUGUUAAUCUAUGGUUCUAUGUGAAUGUGUUUCUGAAAUGAUCUGUGUGUGUUAUCCUAUAGUAUAUCGUCAACGCAUGUGUAUUUACUCUUGAUUGUUUACUGUUAAAUAUUUGCUUCUACUUGGGUGUUUUUGACCUUAGCCCCAGUGAGUACAUGGAGCAGGUAUGGUAUGUGUUUCAAGUUGGAAACACGAGGUAAGAUCUGUGAUCCAAUUCUAUUGGCGACCUUGAUUAUGCAAGUGUUAACUGUAUGUUUUGAUUGCUUGCAGAUUUAUUGGGUAUCAAGGUGGAGAUUUGUUGGGUUUUUGAUACCCAGUAAAUCCCGGGCUAUGAUGUUAAUGUGGGUUAAUAUUAUUUCAUAGGCAUAGGCUGAUGAAUGAAAUAAGUCCAACAACCAAGUCCAUGAGCUACACCCGGCCCAAUUGUAUCCCUUAUGGAUGGCUUGAAUCUUGGCCCGUUUAUCCCUUUAUUGGCCUAACUUAAAGCCUAACCCUAGAGUAUAUAUAUAUGAAUAUAACCCUAGCCACUUUGAUAUGAUGAUUGUGUGAUUUUGAGAGAAGAAAUAGUGAAUCUCGGCUGCCCCCCUUUUGUGUGAGAAAAAGCUGUCCAGAAGUGUCCAGAACGCUUGUAUAACGUGUGCAAUUGGUGGUUCUUUCAUAGUAUACCUUUGUGGCCAUAAAUCAUCAUCCUUUCUUGUCCUACGUGGGUAAGAUUGCAUAGCAACCAAGAUGAAUAAAUUGGUUGUGGUUUGGAGCUGAUUGGACUGGUUGUUGGUUGAGAAAGGUGCGUUGGACUGAGCCUGGAAAACCACCGUUUGAAGAUCCUUUUGAGAGAGCUUCCGCAACAAUUGCCUUUAGGCCCCGGUGAAGUACAAAGAAGAAACCUGCAGGUGACUAACAUCUAUGUCGACAACGGCGGACUGUGGAUCUUUGGGCCUCACUCAGUCUGACCUUUGGUCACCGCUUCUCAUUAAAGGUGUGUUUGAUUGCAAGCAUGAAAAGAAAAAAAAAUCUAAGCAAUUCAAUUAUUUUGACCUUAUUUAUAUUAAAAUUGUUAAUUAAAUGUGUUUGGUUGAUUUAGUUUUCAAUUUUAAAAAUAUCACACUUAUCUAUUUUUUAUUGGUGGAUAGAUGAGAGAGAAUGAAUAGAUGAUAAAGAGAAAGAGAGUGUAAAUUACCUGAAAAAUAAAAACUACAUCUCUCUAAAGAAAAUAUUUUCCUUGUUUUCAAGGGAAAUAAGAUCGCGUCACUAGAAGUUGUAAAAUAUUUCUCAUGAAAAAAAUUGUCAAUCAAAUAACACAAAAAUAAGAAAUUAUAUAGAAAAACACAUUUUCCAUGAAAAAUAUUGAUAAUCAAAUGCACUCUAUGUAAUAAAAGCAUGUAAAAAUUGAUAUAAUAGAAAUUAAUACAUAGUAGCAUAAAAUGAAGGGCAAAAUGGAAAAUAAUUAAAACUAUAUAUGUUACAAAAAUGAAAAGUGACACUGUUCGUUACUUUAAUUUGGUGUGAAGAUUUGAAGUCCGAUUGGAGCAUCAUUUUCACACCAAAUUGACAUUUUACUCCAUUUUGAACUUGAGUCUGAGAUGCCCUAAUGGAAUGUUGUUUUAUUAAAGAUAUGCACCCACCACUUAAUUAUAUUAUUUCUAAAUAAAGAAGAGUAUAAGGAUGUACUUAAACUCGAGUGAUAAACAUAAAUUCUCUCGACUAAAAUCUGCUGUCACAUUUGAAGCCUAAUUUUUUUUUUUUUUUUUUUAAACAGACUUCUUAAUGUGCUUUAGGAACUUAAGUUUAGUAUAAUCUGCUGUAGGUUUUAUGCCUUCUUAUUCCUUUCCUUCAUAUGUUGCAUUUCUUCGCUUUCGGGAGGUCAAGAUUAUGCCCACUUCAUCUUGCUUUUGAAAGUUUGAUUUUAUAUAUAUGGUUGGGGAAUCCAAACCCCCAUCAGCCUUCCCUGGUGGAGCCUGAAAAUCCAUUGAAUUUGUGUUGUGUUUUCCUUAAAGGAAAAAGUCCAUAAGUUUUGCAUGUCCGAUAGCAAGACUCCUGAAGGAUAGAAGUUCAUAACUAGAGAUUAAUGAAUAGAAGAAUUAAUCAAGUAUACACUAAGUGUUGAAUUUGGAUCGUGAAUGUAAUUUUUUUUUCUUUUUUGGGUAUCGUGAAUGUAAUACUUGUGCCUUUUACAGGUGCAGGAGUAUCUGGUCAUCUCUCAGACUCUAAGUUGGGAAGGAAAGGCUCGCUAUUAGUUGUUUGUAUCAUGAAUGCAAUUUUCGGUUGUCUAAGAGCACUUUCUCCAGCUUACUGGACUUAUGCCCCAUUACGCCUUCUGACCGGCUACAGCACCGAAGGAGUGGGCCUCUGUGCUUUUGUCCUAGCGACAGAGCCUGUCGGCCCUACAUUUCGUGGCAUUGCCGAAAUGUCCACGUUCUAUUUUUACUCAGGGGGAAUAGCUACUCUUUCUGGUAUAGCUUAUAUUUUUCAAUCAUGGAGAUCCCUCUAUAUUGCAUCUUCUAUUCCCUCCGUUCUAUUUGCUGCUAUUAUACUUCCUUUCUUGUCUGAGUCCCCUUGAUGGUGUCUUAUUGGAGGAAAGAUGAACCAGGCUAUGAAAACUAUGCACAGAAUCGCUAAAACGAAUGGAAACCAUCUCCCUGAUAGCACCCUUCUUGCCCUUGAUGAAGAAGCAAACAGUGUUCCAGAUAAUGUUCACAGUGAAAGUAAAGUAGAAUCGGAAUCACAAUGACACAAUCAGCCAUAACCGGAUCCCUCAUAGACGUGCUUCACUUACCACUAACACGAAUUCGUUUACUUCUAAUAGUGGCCAUCAACUACUUGUGUUCUGUUGUCUACUACGGCCUAAGUUUGAAUGUGGUCAACCUUGGAACCAGCAUUAAGGUGAUCCACUAAGUUUAAUUUUGGAUUAAUGGGUAUUAAUUCUCAUGGGAUUAAUAUGUAGAGAUCGGAAUAAUUAUUUUUUGAUGAGGGGCCAAUUUAAAAUAAGUGAAACAGAAUAAUCAAUUAUUUAAUAUCGGGUCAUAGUCCCCAAUUGCAAGUGACUUUUCACAAUUCUUUGUAUCCCCAUCAACAAAGAAGAGAUUUCAAAAAAUCACAUAGCAGUUGGAAGAUCAUAAUCCAUUUAGAAAAAUUCAGAUAUAUGGAUUAAGGUAUGCUUCCGCAAUUUUGUUCUCAUUGAUUUCAACAUGGAGAUUUAUAAAUAUAUGUGAAAGGAUUGAUAUAUCUGGUUCCUAUCAAUUUGCUACAAGUGGUAUCAGAGCCACUCCAUUGUUGAAUUCUUUAAGAAAUUGCAACAUAUAAUGUUAUUAUAGUUUUUUUCUUUUUUCUUUUUAUUGUGGAUUAUUAUUUGGAUCUUCAUCAUGCUAUUAUGUGAAAAAUAGAUAUUUCAAUAUUUUUAAAGGAUUUUCAGAUUUGACCAUUUGUAAUUGUGUUUGUUGAAUUUGAAAAUCAUUUGGGAUAUUAUUCAUGGUUAUUUUUCAAGAUCUAAAUAAAUUUUUUGGAAAAUUCGUGGUUGUUUUACAAGAUUUUGAUUAAAAAUUUUGACAAUCAAGUUUUUGUGGAUUUUUGAGUCUCAAAAGAAAAAAAUUUAGAUCCCGCCGUCGGUGUUGCUGUCGGUUGGCGCCGGCUGUCGGCACCGUAAAAAGGGAGAGAGAGAAAGACAGUUAUAGAUUUGAAUGGAUUUUGGGGACGGGGGCCUGAGGUACAAUUUUGGUAUUCUCAGGCCUUUGCUUGCAAUUUAAAAUUAGGGUUAAUUAUUUUUUCAAAAUAAAAUUUUAAAUUUCAAUCCCUAAAGUUUAAAAUCAAUCCAAAUUGGACCUUUAAGGUUAUGGGUUUAAUAAUUCAUCCCCCUAAAUUUUGAAAAUUAUUUAAUUUGGACCAUUAAACUUCUAAAAUUUGCAAUUAAAGCCCUCAAUGUUUAUAAUUAAUUAAAAUUGGCCCCCAAAGUUUUAAAAAUUUUCAAAUUUUGAUCCUAAGGUUUUGAAUUAUUAACCCUUAGGUCCCUGAAGUCUAUAAAGGCAUCUAAUAAUGCAAAAUCAAUGAUUCUCUUUCUCAAAUUAUGGUACUAAUGAUUCUUUUAAGAGAAAUAAUUAAGGUUUAAUUAUGUGAGACAAUCAAAUUCGAAUAAUUUGGUAAAUCAUUUAUAAUGAAUUAAGGUUAUCUAACAUUUUUAAUAAACUAAUUGAAACAAUAUGUCACCAAAGUGACCUCUUUUGUGUAGAUUGGUUUGUUUGCGAUGUUUAGAUGUUGUGUGCGUGUUUCUUCAUGCGGGUAUUAGCCGACCCAAAGGAAGUUUAAUACUUGGUUGAAUUACAUACACACCUACGGUGGUAAUUAUGUGAUAAUUAUAAGAUUUCCAUGUGAAUAAUAAAUCAAUUCAAAGAUGAUUUUAUUAUUUAACGAGAGUUAUUGUCAAUGUUUGAUCACUGUACUAAAAGCACCAUUAGCAAUUAAUAUUACUAUCCAAAGACUUGAUAUUAAUGUUGCACUAGGAAUCUUGAGAUAGGAUUUACCAUUAUUUGAAUUUAUUGUACAUUAAAUAUGGAUAUGAGCAUGAUUAUUUUUUUAUUUUUGUUCUCUGUACAGCUAAUUCAUCUGCUACCACAAUAACUGCUAAUAUCAUUUCCAUUUUCAUGCUUAAUGGGAAAAACUUCAAGGAUUGGAAGGAGAACGUAUUGAUCGUUCUUGACUGCAUGGAUCUUGACCUAGCACUUCAGAUUGAGGAACCCACUAUUCUUACAGAAGAAAUUCUCCUGAUGAAAAGAGGAACUUUGAAAAGUGGGAUCGCUUAAAUCGCAUGAGUCUAAUGAUCAUUAAGUGCGGCAUUCUGAAAGCCUUUAGAGGUGCAGUAUUCGAAGGGAUAACUAAUGCUAAGGAGUUACUUGACAAAAUUGAGAAAAGUUUUGCAAAAAAUGAUAAAGUUGAAACAAGCAUGCUUUUGUAAAGCUUAAUUUCAAUGAAGUAUAAAGGUAAGGGGAACAUGACGGAGUACAUCAUGGUGAUGUCUCAAAUUGCUUCAAAACUUAAAAGGCUAAAGCUUGAGCUAUCUGAUCACUUGCGUAUACAUUUGGUAUUGAUCUCACUUCUUGCACAGUUCAAUCAAUUUAAAGUUAUUUAUAACUGCCAGAAGGAGAAAUGGUCUCUAAAUGAGCUCAUUUCAUAUUGUGUGCAAGAGGAAGAAAGGACGAAACAAGAUAGAACUAAAGUUGCUCACUUGGCAAGCACUUCUAAGGAUAAAGGCAAGAAAAAGAUAAAAGAAUAUGAAACUGCUCCUAAGGGUUCCAGUACAAAAGAAACAGAAGGAUGAUAAAUGAACUUGUUUCUUUUGCAAUAAGAUUGGACAUUUAAAGAAGGACUGUGCCAAAUAUCAUGCAUGGCAUGUAAAGAAGGCUAUAAUUCUUACUUUGCUCUGUUCUGAGAAUAAUUUAGCUUCAGUACCUAGAAACACUUGGUGGAUAGAUUCUGAUGCUACUACUCACAUAAAUGUCUCUAUGCAGGGCUGUUUAAGCUAUCGAAAGCCAAAUGAUAGUGAAAGAUACAUUUAUGUGGGUGAUAGCAAAUAGGUGGAAGUUGAUGCAAUAGGCACUUUUAGGUUGUUAUUGGGAGCUGGUUAUUAUUUGGACUUGAAGGACACUUUUGUAGUACCGUCUUUUAGAGGGAAUUUAAUUUCUGUUUCUUCAUUGAACAAAUCUGAAAUUUGUUGUUCAUUUGAAAACAAUCAGUUUAGUCUUUCAUUAAAUUACAAUAUUAUUGGUACUGGUUCAUUAUCUGCAUAUGAUAACCUAUAUUUGCUUAAUAUUAUUGCAUCAUCUAAUGAAACCUUGCAUGUGGAAUCACAUGGUACUAAACGCAAAUUAAAUAAAGGAAAUUCAGCAAAAUUAUGGCACAAGCGCUUAGGUCACAUCUCAAAAGCUAGAGUUGAACGACUUGUAUCAAAUGGUAUUUUGGAUUCCCUUGACUUCACGGAUUUUGAUGUAUGUGUUGAUUGUAUCAAGGGAAAACAGACCAAAAUAAAGAGAUUAGGUGCUAACAGAACUUUGAACGUCUUAGAAUUGAUACACACAAAUAUUUGUGGGCCAUUCCCUACGGCUUUUUGGAAUGGUCAACAAUAUUUUAUAUAUUUCAUAGAUGAUUACUCACAUUAUGUACCUAUAUCUCAUCCGUGAAAAAUCUAAAUCAUUGGAUGUAUCCAAAGCCUUUAAAGCUGAGGUUGAGAAUCAACUCAACAAAAGGAUAAAGACCGCUAGGUCUGGCCAUGGUGGUGAGUACUACGACAGAUAUGACAGAUCAGGUGAACAAUGUCCAGGACCAUUUGCUAAAUACCUAGAGCAGUGUGGAAUUGUCCCAUAGUACACCAUGCCAGGAUUGUCUAGUAUGAAUGGUGUAGCUGAAAGACAAAACAAGACUCUUAAGGACAUGUGAAGGAGUAUGAUAAGUCAUUCCACCUUACCAAAAUCACUCUGGGGAGAGGCAUUAAAGACUACAGCUUAUAUUCUGAACAAAGUACCAACUAAGGCUACUGCUAUAACGCCUUUUGAGCUUCGGAUAGGUAGAAAGCCUAGUCUAAAGCAUUUUCACAUUCGGGGAUAACCAACUAAGGCAAGACCUUAUAAGCUACAUGAAAAGAAAUUGGACUCCAAAAUAGUUAGUAGCUAUUUUAUUGGUUAUUCUGAGCGAUCUAGGGGCUAUAAAUUUUAUGAUCCCACACUUAAGUCAAUUUUUUAAACAGGAACCGAAUCAUUUUUUGAGGAUGUUGAGUUUGGGGGAGAAAUAAGGUUAGGGACAUUGUCUUUGAGGAAGAAGUUGAGGAAGGAUUGGUUCUAAUUCCUACUAUUGCUUUUAACAAUGUACAGGUUUCUGUACCUGUCAUUGAUCAAGAAGCAUAUCCAAAACCUCAACAUGAUAAUGUUGAAGAAGAUCCCAUCCAAAAUGAGGUAAUUAUUCCAGAAGUACAAACUCAACAACCAAUGCAAUUGAGCAGAUCCAUGAAAGAGGUGAAAAAUGCUAUUCCGGAUGAUUUUAUAGUGUUUCUCCAAGAACACGAGGAAAAUAAUGGAAUAGCGAAAGAUGAUCCAACUAAUUUACAUCGGGCCAUGUAGGGUUCUGACUCUCAAAAGUGGAUUGAUGCCAUGAAUGAGGAGUAUAAGUCUAUGCAAGAUAAUAAGGUUUGGGAUUUUGUCCCAUUACCCGAAGGUGUGAAGCCGAUUGGUUGUAAAUGGAUUUUUAAAACCAAAAGGGAUUAAAAUGGUAAUGUGAAAAGAUAAAAGGCUCGUCUUGUGGCUAAAGUCUUUACCCAAAAGGAAGGCAUCAAUUUCAAAAAGACUUUCGCUCCGAUUUCAAUGAAAGACUCUUUUAGGACAAUUAUGGCACUUAUUGCGCACUUUGAUCUUGAGUUACAUCAGAUGGAUGUUAAGUCGGUAUUUCUCAACGACAACAUUGAUGAGAUGAUCUAUAUGGCGCAACCAGAAAACUUCGUGUCAGGAAACCCAAAGAAUAUGGUUUGUAAAUUAAAGAAAUCGAUCUAUGGGCUCGAGCAAGCUUCCCGUCAAUGAUACCACAAAUUUCAUCAAGUCAUUAUCUCAUUUGGUUUUGAAAUGAAUGUCGUUGAUGAUAGUGUGUAUCACAAGUUCACUAGGAGUAAGCAUAUUUUCCUAGUUUUGUAUGUUGAUGACAUACUGCUUGCCACUAAUUAUCAAUGUUCUAAAAAGCAUAAUGCGUGGCUAGGCGUAUAGGCCAAGCUUCACGCAUUACGAGCCUAGGCUAGCCUAGGCGUUAAAAAGCGUGUUUUAAUUUUAAAUUUUUAAUCAUUGUAAAAGACAUUUAAUAAUUCAAAUAAUACAUACCAAACAUCUAAAAUUAUAAAAUAUUGUAUUUACUUAAUAAUUUCUACAAAAAGAUAAGAUUCUAAAUUAUAAUUACAUAACGGAUAGCUUGUAGUUUAAAUCUUAUCUAGCUCUUUAUCGGAUUCCAAUUCAAAAUCUUCUUCUUCAUCCAAUUCGUCCUCUGUGUCGUCCGAUACAAAAUCAUCUUCAUCGGGCUCCCUUAUUUCAUUUUGAUCAUUUCUUGUACCUCUUGUAGGUUGUGAGAUAUCAUUCCCCAACCUAUCAUUUUCCUCCUCACCCUCAUCAUCACAACCCUCUACAAUCCAAGAUUGUGCAUUAGUAGCAUCACUUGCUAGUAAAGUCUCUAUUUUGGCCUUCUUCUUCUUUUUGUUCAUCAACCUUGCAUUAAAUUGGACAUAAACAAGAUUGUUCAUCCUCGUAGUAUCAAGUCUAUUCCUUUUCUUGGUGUGUAUCUACAAACAAAAGAAGAAAAGAAACAAAAAGAAAGGUACAUUUAAUGGAGCAUAGCAUAUUCAGGUAAUUAUUCAUUGGCCAAAAGAAAUGAGUUGUGUACAACCUAAUGAGUACUUACCCCUUCAAAAGCACUCCAAUUUCUCUCACAACCCGAUGAACUAGUAGUCAAACCAACUAUGUCUUUAAAUUUGGUGCUUCAUUGCCAUAGAAAUCCCACCAACUCACUAAUACAUAUAAAUGAAAGAGAAAUAUGUUACAGGGUAAAUUCAAAUUCAAUGAAGAUAUAAAGUUAGGUAUAGAUCUUACUCGGAUUGUAGUUUGCAUCAUUGUUCUCACAUCCACUUAUUGCCUGCUUUUUUCCAAAUGAACUUUCUUUUUGAACAUAUUUUUGCAACUCAAUGUUUACCACAUGAUGUUGCAUUUGAUCAUCAGGAAAGAAUUUCUAAACACAAGCAAUCAAAUUAUUUAUAAUCAAUUGGUCAUCUUUGAUACCUGGAUUCUUGAAAAAAUAGAACGGAUUCAACAUAUAAACUGUUGUAUGAAGUGGACUAUCAAGGCGACCCUUGCUUUUAGCAUCAAUAAUGUCUAAAAUAGGCCUAUAAUCACACUCCCUCUUCAAUGUCCUUUUAAUGUCAUCAUUUGCCUUUAGUAGCUCUCCAUAAACAAAGCCCAUUGAAGACUUUGCUUCUCCAUCAACAAGUCUAAGCACUCUCACUGGUGGAGUAAACACUCUCAAACACAACUCUAUCAUGUUCCAAAAAUCAUUCAGAACAACAAUAUCAAAUGCCUCUUUUCCUUUUUUACUCUUAGACCAUUUCAUGGUAUCCCAUUCAUUGCUAGUCAUCAUACUUCUCAACUCUUAUUUUUUAUCAAGCAAACUUUGCAAUGUUAAGAAAGAAGUUGCAAAUCUAGUAACUCCCGGCCUAACUAUCUCUUUUUUUGUGAACUUUCUCAUCAAAACUAAAAUCUUGUGAUGUGCAUAAAUGAAAAUAUUGAAGGAUUUUGCUUUGUUAAUCACUCCCUUGAAGCUAGGAAGUUUUGAGAUUCCUUCAAGCAUAAGGUUUAAAGUGUGAGUGGCACAUGAUGUCCAAAACAUGUUAGGCCUUUCUAAUUCCAUCAAUUUUGGGGAAGCCAUAUUAUUGGAAGCAUUGUCGGUUACAAUCUGAACCACAUUUUCAACCCCAACAUUUUUAAUAUAUUCAUUGACAUAGUCAAAUAUGUAUUGACUGGUAAGAGCAUCAUUUGAAGCUUCCUUUGAUGAAAUAAAUGUGGUCUCCAAUUUACAAUUCACACACAAAUUCAUGAUGCUUCUUCUUUUUCUAUCAAUCCAAGCAUCAGUCAUGAUUGAACACCCAUUAUUUUUCCACUCUUCUUCUUGCUUCUUUAAAGUUUCUUUUGAUCUCUCCACCUCUCCCUUCAAAAGUGGCUCCCUUAGUUGGUAUUGGGAAGGAGGAUUGUAACCCGGGCCAUAUUGACCAAGAGCUUCCACAAAUAGUUUAAAACUAUCAUUGUUAAUGGCAUUGAAAGGAAUUCCGGCUUCAUAAACCCAUCUUGCCAAAUAUUGAUGAACCUCUAAUAACCUUUUCUUAGAAAUUGCAUCACUCAUAUUUUGUUGUCUCAAUUUUUUACUUGCAUUCAUAGAAGCAUCAUUAACAUUGGUAGACCUUGCAAACUGAUCUAUGGGUCCCACAUUAACAGGCCUUUUCCUAGUUCAUCUUUCAAUAAUCGAAAUUUCAUUAUCUUCUUCCUCCUCUAGCUCCUCAUCUAUUGUAGGCAAAGAUACACCCACAUCUUUUGUCAACCAAGCAUCAUUCACUAGCUUCUCUAAUUUUUUAGACUUAUUCCCUUGAAUCGCCUCUACACACUUGGCUUUUUGUUCUUCAUUUGCCUUAGGACAUGAUGCCCCACACCUUUUCCCUUGAUUCUCGCUACGUGAAUUUUAUGCCUAUAAAUUCUUCCCUUAGUAACCUUAUCACAUAACGUGCAUUUCACAUUAUUAAGAUUUUUUGGAUCUACCAAAACCGCAGUUUCCCAACCAACAUCUCCGGAAUCUCUUUUUAGUUGACUCGCAUGGAAUUUAGAUGCCGUUGAGGAAUCAUCUUCCUCCAUUGGUUCCUAAAAAAAUAUGAACAAUACAAAUUUUUAUUAUUCAUAACAAACUAAUAAUAACUGAAAUUAGACACAGAAGCUGAAGGCCUAAAAGCAUAGGAAAGUGGAAACAUAGGAAAAUUUAGUUACAUAAACACUGGAAAAUUUAGUUUACUCUUCCAUGUUAUUAAUGUAACUGAUUGAAAGACAAAAAAAAUUUCAACAAUGGUAGCAAAUGGAGUUUAUCAAGUGCCCACAUAAAUGAAAUUUCAGCAACAAUUCCAAUUUCAAUACACACAUAAAUGAAAUUUAUCAAGCACCCACAUAAAUUUCAGCAACAAUUCCAAUAGUUCAUGGUAAGAACUUGUAAUUUCAGUCAUGUAUUUGCAGCCGAACUCAUGAAAAAUAGUAAAAUACACAAUCAAGUUAAUUAUAAACCCCCACUAAAAAAUGGGCAAAGCUACAAAAAGCUGAAACUGUAAUUUUUCAUGGCAAGAACCUAUAAUUUUAGUCAUGUAGUUGCAGCCAAACUCAUGAAAAAUAGUAAAAUACACAACCAAGUUAAUUAUAAACCCCCCACUAAAAAACGGGCAAAGCUACAAAAAGCUGAAACUGUAAUUUUUCAUGGCAAGAACUUGUAAUUUUAGUCAUGUAGUUGCAGCCAAACUCAUGAAAAAUAGUAAAAUACACAACCAACUUAAUUAUAAAUCCCCCACUAAAAAACAGGCAAAGCUGCGAAAGGCCGAAACUGUAAUUUUUCAUGGCAAGAACUGUAAUUUCAGUCAUGUAAUUGCUUGUAGCCAAACUCAUGAAAAAAUAGUAAAACACACAACAAAGUUAAUUAUAAACCCCACCACCACAAAAGGAGCAAAGCAGGAAAAAGCUAAAAUAAAAAAUACAAAAACCCACUAAUAUAAUUAAUAAUAUUACCAGGAAAAUGUGGGCCAAAGAAAUGGUCUUACUGGAGGAAUUGCGGAAAUGAUAAUUUGGAUUUGGAAGAGAAAUGAAAUUUUUUGAAUUUUUGUGUUGAAACUCUUGAUUUUUGAAACCGUGGUUUGUAAUUGUUGUAGACUUAUAGUAUGUUUGGUUGUCUAUAAACAAAAUAAACAAAUAACAAAGCCCACCUAGGUGUGUUUAAUAACUAAGCGCACCUAGGCACGCAUUAAGCAGUCAACAUUGUCGUUGAUCGCUUAAUUCUCGCUCAGCCCGUAGGCGAGGCUUUUUUACCACGCUUCGUGGCUAGGCGUGCUUUUUAGAACACUGCUAAUGAUAUAGGCAUGUUACAUGAAACCAAGAGAUUUUUAUCAAGAAAUUUUGAGAUGAAAGAUCUUGGUGACGCAUCUUUUGUAUUAGGGAUUCAGAUACAUCGGGAUUGCUCUCGAGAUAUUCUUGAGUUGUCACAAAGGAGCUAUAUUGAUAGAGUACUUAAGAGGUUUCGUAUGCAAGACUGUAAACCAGAUGACACCCUUGUCGUUAAAGGAGACAAAUUUAGUCUCAAACAAUGCUCGCAAAAUGACCUUGAAGCUAAGGAAAUGCAAAAGAUUCCUCAUGCAUCAGCUAUUGGAAGUCUGAUAUAUGCUCAAAUUUGUACACGUUCAGAUAUAGUAUUCAUUUUUGGAGUGCUAGGCACAUAUUUAAACAACCUUGGGAUGAUCAUUGGAAAGUAACCAAAAGAGUUAUGAGGUAUUUAAAAAGAACAAAGGAUUAUAUGCUCACAUAUAGCAGAUCGGACUAGUUAGAGAUCAUAGGAUACUUCGUUUCUAAUUUUGCUGGGUGUCAAGACAGUAGAAGAUCCACAUCAGGCUAUAUCUAUCUUCUAGCUAGAGGAGCUAUUUCUUGGAAGAGAGCCAAGCAAAGAUUCAUAGCUUCUUCUACCAUGGAAGUAGAGUUUGUACCAUACUAUGAGGCAUCUAACCAUGGAAUAUGGAUGUGAAAUACUGUCAUUGAGCUGCGCAUUCUAAAUGGAAUAGAAAGACCACUAAAGUUAUAUUGUGACAAUAACUCGAUAGCUCUAUAUUUUAACAACAACAGAAGCUCAUCUAAGUCAAAAUAUAUUGACAUUAAGUUCCUGGUUAUGAAGGAAAGAGUACAAAGUAGACAAACUUCUAUAGAGUACAUUGGAACAAACUCCAUGAUUGCGGAUCUGCUUGCUAAGGGAUUACCACCCAAAGUCUUUCAUGAGCACACUGCUAACAUGAGUGUUGUAUUUCUUGAGGAUAUCAUGUUUUAGUGGGAGUUUGUAUUCUCAUUGAUUUAUGCUUACUUUGGACACAUUUGUGUAUUUGGAUAUUUUUUUUUGUACAUAAAUGAAAUAUUCAGUUCAUUCCACUCUAUUAUUAUGUUCAGUAUUGAUCUCACUUAAGAAAUAAGGUUGGACCAGUUGGAAAUAGACUUGUUCGGAUCACAUAACAUGUAAUUUCCAUGCUACACUCCCAUGAUUGAUCUAUGUCAUUUGGUUGUAUAGCUGUAGGUGACCAUUGAUGGAUUUAGUCACGCUAAAUAUGACGAAAAUCGCCUUGAUCCUACAUUAAUAUGACUGAUGGAUGAGAUUGUUUGGAAAUACUCUUAAAAAUGAUGGCAAAAGUUUGAGCUCAUAAAGUUGUACACAUUUGUAAUAUUUCAUGUAUGCCUCAGUGGGAGAUUGUUGGAAAAAUUUCUAUCGUAUGAGGGCCAUACAUGUAUAUAUAUAUAUAUUAAAAUAUGUGGUGCUAUCUUUAAGAUUUAGUCGAUAAGGUGAUCCACUAAGUUUAAUUUUGGACUGAUGGGUAUUAAUUCUCAUGGGAUUAAAGUGUAGAGACCGGAAUAAUUAUUUUAAAUUGAUGAGGGUCCAAUUUAAAAUAAAUGAAAGAUAAUAAUCAAUUAUUUAAUAUGGGGUCAUGGUCCCUAAUUACACGUAACUUUCACAAUUCUCUGCAUCCCCAUCAGCAGAGAAGAGAUUUCAAGAAAUCACAUAGCAAUUUGAAGAUCGUAAUCUGUUCAGAAAAACUCAGAUCUAUGGAUUAAGGUACGCUUCCACAAUUUAGUUUUCUCAUUGAUUUCAACAUGGAGAUUUAUAAAAUAUAUGUGAAAGAAUUGAUGAAUCUGGUUCCUUUCAAUUUGCUACAAGAUCCUUCGAAUGGUCUAUGGUGUUCUGGGAAUUUUUGGCAUGGCCGGAACUUAUAAUCUGUUGUUCAUUUAUAUGAUGGAACUUUUACUUACAGUUAUAAGGAAUGCAGCUACUCAAACUACCCAAAUGGGAGCCAUAUUAUCACCGUUCGUGGUGGUAAUGGGCGACAAAAUACCCUUUGUGUUGUUUGGGAUUUGUGGGAUUGCAGGAGGAAUUCUAUAUUUUACUUGUCGAAAACUUUAAACAAGCCUUUGUAUAACACAAUGACAGGAAUACAAGGUGGAGAAAGCUCGAGCAUGGUUGUUUAAGGUCAUUGGAUGUGACAUACCUAGACCUACUCAUAAAAUUUUAUAUUGUACUCUAUACAAUCCUACUUAGUGUUUUGUAUCAAACAUGCUCGUAAUUCAAAGUCAUCUUUACUUCUUUGUUUACAAAUUUCGAGGUAAGCAGAUCGAUAAUACAAAACUCAAAUAAUGUAAAAGAAACCAGAACAAGUCCAAUGUUGAUAAUUGCAUUAUAUGUAUUGAUUCCAUAUAAUAGGGGAAAAUGUAGGCAAUACUACUGGAACUAUAGCUCGUGUGUCAGUAAAAAUGUAAAAUAAUUCACAGUAAAAUUACCAAAUUAAUUUAAACAAAUGAUAGAUCAAAAAACAAUAUUAAUAAAUAUAUAAAUUCUGCAUCUAUGAGACAAUCAUCAACAACAAACUAGGCAUUAUUCUCAAUUUUAUUGAUGUAGGAGUUAGGGGAAAAUGUUAUCGGCAUUAUUUUGUUGAGACGAAUGGGCACGAUCUCUAUGUGAAAUGGGUGCUCCAGCACCCUUCCUAUUAAGGCUAUGCUACGGUGGCUAUUGAGUAUGUUGGAAAAUAUGGAGGAGAAAUGGAGUAGAGACAAGAAUAAUAUCACAAUAACGCAACAACAAAAUAAUUAACACCAGAAACUUGAUAAGAACAAGAUCAAAGGCUAGAACGCGUAAUCGCUAUCCUCAAACUACAUUUGCCUCCUCUCGGGAUUGAUUAAGAUGCUUAAGGAUUUUAGCAAGCGGUUUGUAGGAUUAUAUCAAGCCUUGUAAAUGAUCUAGCACUAAAUCACAAGUGCGACCCUCCAAAAUUUUAAAAACACAAUGAAGAAAAGAGUAUGAAUGUAAAUCAAGAAUUUGAUCUUUGAUAUUGGAAUGAUAUGGAUCACAAAUGUUUGUCACUUGUUUUUGGCUUGAAAUGCAUCGCCUAUAUAUAGGUCACCACCAAUGUGGACGAAUUAGUGCUAAACGAAUUAGUGCUAAAACAAGUCGAAAAGCCACCACAAUUUGGAGUUGCAACGGUAGGAAACCGACCUCCAAUGGUCAAUUUUGUAUAACUAUACGACUACAUAGUAUAAAUCUUUGCGAUAGCAUAGAACAACUUAAAGAGGUCCCAGAAUUCCCGGCAAUUGGCCAUGCGACUGCAUAGUACAAAUUUAUGCAACAGCAUAGAACAAGGUUUUACUUCUAAUACCCUUUUUUUAUUUUUCUUCACAUUUAUUCAUCCCAUUUCAUUUUUCUUGAAUAUGGAACAACAUUUCAACAAUCCCCCACUUAUUUAAAAUUCGAGAAAAAUCUUCGUGCUCAAAUCAUAUGAUACUCAUGCAUAAGGACUAGAUAUCUUUCGAUUUGAAUCUAGCCACAGUGUAAUCCAAACAUAGUAAAAUCGGAAUCAAAGAUAGUUGUAGCUUCGAACCAAUUAUUCUAUGUGAUAAUACUGGUUCGAACACAAACACAAGUACCAAGUGUUCUCAAGUUCCUUAUAACUCACUUAGCGCUGUUAUGGCCUUGCGCUCAUCCUUUUCGACAAACUUUUGAGAGAGAAACUUCAACUCUCAAUUGAGGCAACACCACCUCGAAGUUUGUUUAGGUAAAGUUCUUUCAGUACCUUUGUUAUUUUUAGAAGUACUUGUGUUUUAGCACUGAACUUCAUUAAGAACUUUAGUGCUAAAUCCUCAUUUCAAUAACAACUAGUAUUAUUUUACUUAGGAUAGGAUUAUUGUAGAUUUGAAUAAUGCUGAAACCAUCCCACAUGUCAAAUGACUUGUUUUUACCCUUUGAACCCAUGGAUUACCUUUUGAGUAAUGACCGGUAGGGUAGCCGCCAUUGAUGGACCUUUAUUGCAAAAUGAGUUUCAACCCCAUCCUACUCGAAGUAGAUGUCACUAAAUCUCUAUUUAGUGGUUUAGUAAAAAGAUCUACUAAGUUCUUUGUUGACUUCACAUAAUUUAGGAAAAUUAUUCCAUCUUUGAUUAAUUUCCUUAUGUAGUCCUAUCUUAGACUCAUAUAUCUAGGCUUUCCAUUGUAUAUCUCAUUGUAUGCUUUCGCUAACGUAGUUUAACUAUCACACCUGAUAGGUAUUGAAGACAUAUCCUUUGAUCCCAAAGGUAUCUCAUAGAAGAGAUCCUUAAGCCACUCAAGCUCUUCCCCGGUAUCCGAUAGUGCCACAAAUUCAGAUUCCAUGGUUGAGUGUGUUAUACAUGUUUGUUUCUUUGUUUUUCAAGAAACAGCACCUCCUCCGAGAGUAAAAACCCAACCCAAAGUGGAUUUACUUUCACCCAUGCUAGAUAUCUAACUAGUAUCAGUAAAUCCCUCCAAUACCGCUAGGAAAUUAUUAUAUUGUAGGCCUAAGUUCUUGGUUUUCUUUAAGUAUCCAAGAAUUCCUCGAAUAGCCUUCCAAUGAUCGUUGCUCAUGUUGCUAAUAAACUUGCUAAGUUUACUUAUUGCAUAGGCUAUGUCCGAUCUUGUGCAUUGAAUUUGCAUACAUAAGACUCCCUAUAGCACUUGCGUAUUCCAAUUGAACAAUCACUCUUCCACUAUUCUUUACAAGUGUCAGAUUUGGAUCAAUUGGGUUACUAUACUCCUUUAAAUGUUUGAACUUAUUCAUCACAUUCUCGAUAUAAUGUAAUUGACUCAAAUGGUAACCCCCACAAGUCUUUGUGACUUUGAUAGCCAAAAUGGUAACCACAUGUCCAAGAUCCUUCAUUUUGAAUCUGAAAGAUAGAAACCUCUUCAUUUAUUCUAUACCGUCCAUGUAAUUACUCAUAAUUAAUAUGUUGUCAACAUAUAAGCAUGUAAAUGUCACAUAAUUUUCACAUAUUUUGAAAUAUAAACAUUUAUCUAGACUAUUAUGUUUAAACCAGAAAGAUAUAAUUUCUAAGUCAAACUUUUCAUGCCAUUUUUUAGGUACUUGCUUCAAACUGUAUAAAGAUUUCACCAAAUUACACACCUUAUGUUCAGUCCCAGGUAGGGCGAACCCUUUAGGUUGUUCCAUAUAGACCUCUUCAUCGAGAUCUUUGUUUAGGAAUGCCAUCUUGACAUCCAUUUGAUGAACAUGCAAGUCAUACAUUGAAGCUAAAGCGAAUAAUAUCCUAAUCGAUAUUAUUCUAGCAACUGGUGCAUAAGUAUCAAAAUAGUUGAUUCCUUCCUUUUGUUGAUAUCUUUUGGCUACCAUUCUAGCCUUGAAAGUAUUUAGGGAUCCAUCAACAUUAUAUUUUCUCCUAAAUACCCAUUUGCAUUCAAUAGGCUUGGAUCCUGAAGGUAAAUCAACAAGUUUCCAAGUAUUAUUGGACAUUUCAUCAUGUGUUCCACUUGAGCUAGGGACAUAUUCAAGAUUAAUCCUCAAAGAACUCCACAUCAUUGGAUUUUAUAAUCACAUUGGAUUCCAAAUUUAGCAAUCUAUAAGAUUUGUUAUUAUUCACAAAUCCCACAAAGACACAUUUAAUGCCUCUUGGACCCAAUUAGGUCCUAUUUGGAUUCCUGUUCUUCCAAUAAGCAAGACACCCCCACACCUUGAAAUAUCCAAUGUUUGGUUUUCUUCCUUUCCACAAUCCAUAAGGAGAAACCUUAGUAUAUUUUGAAGGAAACCUAUUAUGUAUCCUACUUGCACUUAAUAAAGUUUCACCCCCACAAGUUAAAUAGAAACUUAGCAUGAAUAAGCUUGGCGUUAACCAUUUCAACUGAGGUUCUAUUUUUUCUUUCAGGUAAACCAUUUUGUUCGGGUGUCCUAGGUGUAGAACAUUGAUGAAUAAUUCCAUGUUGUUCACAAAACAAGUUAAAAUUGCUGAAAAAAUAUUCAGUACCUCUACCACUUCUUAAAGUUUUAUUUUUCUUUCCUAGAUAAUUUUCAACCUCAUUUUUGUAUACUUCAAACAUAUCAAAAGCUUCACUUUUAUGCUUUAUCAAGUAAACAUUUGUAGAUCUAGAAAAGUCAUCAAUAAAGGUAAUAAAAUACCUAUUUCCACCCCUAGUUAACAUGCCAUUCAUUUCACAUUUAUCGGUAUGAAUAAGUUCUAAAAUGUUAGAAGUCCUUUUUACACUAUUAGAAGACUUUUCGAUCAUUUUAGAUUUUACACAUAUCUUGCAUUUAAUUUCAUUAUUUCCAUCAUUGAGAUUAGUUCACAAUUUUUCAUGCGUUUCACGGUACUUAUUCCAACAUAACCUAAUCUAGCAUACCAUAAUGAAAAUAAAUCCACAACAUAAACAAAAUCAGUUUUAUUCAAUUCAUUGUCAACGAUAUAUAAUUUGACCAUUCCUUCACAAUAAUAACAUUUUCCAACAAAUUUCUCGUUAAGGGAUAAUACAAGUUUUACAGAAUUGAAUACACUUUUAAUGCUUGGUUUGCCUAAGAGAUUUCUACUAACCAAGUUCUGGUUCAUAUUCGGAAUGUGUAAUAUAUUUGUUAGAGUAACGGUUUUCCCGGACGUAAAGAUAAUAUCAACAUUUUCCUUGCCAAUUACUUUGGACUGCACUUCGUUACCUAUUUGAAUCUCUUGGCUUCCAUCCAUCUCAUGAUAUGUUUUGAAUAAAGAUUUAUCAUAUGAUAUAUGUAUGGUUGCACAAGUAUCAUACCACCACCUAGAUACUUUUCCUUUGAUAGCAUUUAUUUCAGUUAUGGUGGCCACAAUUUUGUCCUCUUGGAUAGAAUUCAUUUUACCCUUCGAGUUGUUUUGUUUUCGAAGUCUACACUCCUUAGCAUAGUGACCAGAUUUUCCACAAACAAAAUAUCCUCCUUUGGUGUUCUUUUUGGAUUUGUUAAAGUUCCUUGAAAGCUUCUUCUUGUUGGAUUUUGUAGGCCGAUCGGAUUUCUAUACAGCAUUUGCCUUGGAAGUUCUUUCCAAAGGAUUUUCACUCCUAUCACACAUUUUGGAUUUCUCCUCAAUUCGAAGAUUUUUUGCAAUUGUUUCAAGGAAUAAUCUUGGGAACUAUGCAUUAUUUUCUUCCGGUAUCCUUUUCAAGUCCCUGGGAGUUUAGUAAUUAUAGCCCUCACUUGAAAAGUCUACGGGAUUUCAAUCUUCACCGCCUUUAAUUUGUUGACAAUCACUUACAACUCAUGCACUUGGGGUAGAAGGGGAAUAUUUUCUAAAAAUUUAAAAUCAAAGUAUUUAGAAAUCAAAAACUUCUUUGUACCUUCCUCUUCCACUUUGUAUUUACUUUCCAACACGUUCCAGAUUUUUUUUGCCAAAGAAGUGUUGGUAUAUAGAUCAUACAAGCGAUUUGACAAAGCAUUCAAAAUAAAACCACGACAAAUCAACUCAUCUUCUUGGCAUUUUUGCCUCUCGACCUUGAUUGCUUCGGUUUCUCCAUUUGCUGAUUCCGACAAAGGCACCAAAUCUGGAUCAAGAAUUUAGAUGAUCUUCAAUACUGUUAAUAGAAAUUUUAACUUGUCUUGCCACCGAGAGAAGUUUGUCCCAUCAAACCGAUCCAAUUAAAUCAGAUCUUGAUUAAUAAAUUUGAUGGUCGCCAUGGUCAUCUCAUUCUCUAUCGUAGGAUAAGUAUAGUUUGAGAUUAUUGGAAAAUAUGGAGGAGAAAUGGAAUAGAGACAAUAAUAGUAUCACAAUAAUGUAACAACAAAAAUAAUUAAUACUAGAAACUUGAUAAGAACAAGUCGAAGGCUCGAACGCGUAAUCGCUGCACCCAAACUAUAUUUGCCUCCUCUCGGGAUUGAUUGAUAUGCUUAAGGAUUUUGGCAAACGGUUCGUAAAAUUAUAUCAAGCCUUGUAAAUGAUCUAGCACUAAAGCACAAGUACGACCCUCCAAAACUUUAAGAACACAAUAAAAAAAAGAGUAUGAAUGUGAAUCAAGAAUUUGAUCUUUGAUAUUGUAAUGAAUAUGGAUCACAAUGUUUCUCAGUUAUUUUUGGCUUGAAAUGCAUCACCUAUAUAUAGGCCACCGCCAGUGUGCAUGAAUUGGUACCAAAAUAGGUCGAAAAGCCACCACAAUUUGGAGUUGCAACAGUAGGAAACUGAUCUCCAACGGUCAAUUUUGUAUAACUAUGCGACUGCAUAGUAUAAAUCUAUACUAUCGCAUAGAACAACCCAAAGAGAUCCUAGAAUUCCUUGAAUAGGCCAUGCGAUUGCACAGUAUAAAUCUAUGCGACAACAUAGAACAAUGUUUUACCUCUAAUACCCUUUUUUUUAUUUUUCUUCCAAUUUAUUCAUCCCAUUUAAUUUUUUCUUGAAUGUUGAACAACAUUUCAACAGAAUAACCCUCUCCGACAAGACGUUGUCCUCCGAUAUUGAUGAAAGAGAUGGCUGCCAAUCAAUAACCCCACAACGCCUCUCCGUGGCGGCCCUUUCCUGCUUCCGUCCUACGCGGGGCAAGCUUCUGGCAGCACCUGCAAUCUCUACUUCUCCGGUGGCUGCUGUUGAGCCCCUGCACUACUAUAGCCAGAACCAUAACAGAAGAAAAACUUCAUAAUUACACACAAAACACCCAAUUGCAACAAAGAAUGGGAACAACCUAUGAGUAAUUAUAAUCUCUACAAAAUAGUGAUAAGUGUUAAUUUGAUUUAUCUUUUCUGCUUUUGUGUGUGUUUCAUAUGCGUGUUUCUUUUUUCGAAAAUCAAUUGUGCAAUUUGUAAUUUAGUGUUAUUAUAGAUUGGUGGCUUGGCUUUUCAACAAAAGUUUUGUUUGUCAUUAUCAUAUAAUCGAAGUUAAUGCUCCCCCAAAUCUCAAUUUUAUUACGUGCAAUUCCUGUUUUUAAAUAGUGGAGUUCCCAUGAAUCGCCGGUGGGAAAGAUCCAGUUUUUUUGGUGAUUGAAGAGUGGCAAUUACAGAUUGAGCCAACUUUAUAAAUGUACUGCUUAAAAUCCCUAUUUAAGUUUUCUUGGCAUAUGCAUCCUGACAUCGAGCCCAUGUUUGAUUUAGCUAAUUAAUAAAAAAAAAAAAGAUUUUUAACAAAAAUUGGUAAAAGUUAUAGAUCCUGUGAAAUGUGUGAUUCAAAAUAAGUUUUGAAAAAAUAAUUUUAGAGAAUGUGGAUCAAACAAGUCUAAAUUUGGCGUACAAAUUCAUUCAUUUUUAUAUUAACGUGACAUUAUUUACACAAUCCUUUUAUUUGAGAGAUUAUUAGAGUAGGGAUGUUAAAUAUGUGAAAGUUUAGCUCAAGAUUGUAGCUCAAUCGAGUCAACUAGACUGAACUUUAUGGCUAAAAAAAUAUGACCUGGCACAGUCACACAGUCUGCUAUAAUAGACAGACCAACCUGUGCAUAGGUCCAAUUUAAGUACCAGUAGCAUAGAUGGCAAACAACAUAUUAUAAAAUAAUAAUAUUUAACAUCAGUCUAGGUGGCCGUAUUUUUUAUGUUUAAUUAAUUGAGUUAUGUGGCUUUGCAAAUAAUUGAAUCUAUUUUUUAAUACCAUGCAAUUAUUAUAUAAACUGGUGUUUAACGCCAAUGCAUAUGAAUAGCAUUACACUACGGUAUAACUUCAUCAUUUCACUCCACACAAAAAAAUAAAAAUAAAAAUAAAAAUAAAAAAAUUAAACGAUUCGCUAUAACUCUACAGCGAGAUGGAUAAAGUUGCACAUCAAGGUAUGAUAACAAUCAUUUUCUAUCAACAAUAUGGACGUACAUUGUACCUAAUAGGUAUAUCUCAAAUUUAGAAAUGGUUUAUCUCAAAUUUCGAAAUGGGUUUAUUAUUAUUAUUAUUAUUAUUAUUAUUAUUAUUAUUAUUAUUAUUAUUAUUAUCAUCAUCAUCAUCAUCAUCAUCAUCAUCAUCAUCAUCAUCAGAAAAAUAGGCUUAUUCUUGUCGAUGAUAUUCUAUAGUUAACAUGAUUUUCUACAAUUCUAUUCCUCUAACUUAGAUUUUAUGUCAUCAUCAGAAAAAUAGGCUUAUUCUUGUCGAUGAUAUUCUAUAGUUAACAUGAUUUUCUACAAUUCUAUUCCUCUAACUUAGAUUUUAUGAAAUUUAUAGGCGAUUUAAUAUAUAUAUAUAUAUAUACUAGUCUUGUGCCAUGCAAUGCAUGGCUUGAAUUUUAUAAAAGGAGAUAUUAGCAUAUUAAAUAAGGAAACAAAGGGAGACUGCAAACAAUAAAAAACUGAUUCGAUUAAUUAAACGAUUUAAUUAUAUCAAUUAGAUAUUCAACAAUAAAAAAAUGAUUCGAUUAAUUAAACGACUUACUUAUAUUGAAUAUAGUAUUAUCAAAUACGUCAUUUAUAAGUAAAAUAAUCACUUAGACUAAAAUAAUAAUGUUUGAAAAAAUACAUUUGAAUUAUAGCAACAAGAAAUUGAGCCAACAAAUUUUUUAUCUUAAUUAUUUUAACAUCUAAAAAAAAUUUAUAUAUAAAAAAAAUUCGGUAAUUUUUAGGAAUUUUUUUUCUUAUUGUUACUUUUUCUUCUUGAUAAAUUAAUUUUUAAAAUAAUCUAAUACAAUUUUUUGCAUAAAAGAAUUAUUAUUAAAAAAAUUUACGUUAAAACCAAAAAAAAAAAAAAAAAUUUGACGUCAAACAAAAAAGAAUUAAAAAGGAAAAAAGAAAUAAUUUUUUUAAAAAAAAAUGCAUUUUUAACACAUACGUUUAAUCUCCGUUUAACUAUUUUCGAUAUUUAUUUAGAUCAUUCGAUAUCUCUACGAUAUAGUUCUCAAAAUGAGUUUCGAGAGAAUGUAAACAUUUACUGAUUCGACUAUCGUACAAUCGUUGACGAAUUUUUAAAGUUAACUUGUUAUCGAAAAUUUUGAAAUAGUAAUAAAAUAAUUGAUUUUUUUAAGAAAAACGAAUUAUGUGUAUUUUUUAACACAUACGUUUAAUGUCCGUUUAACUAUUUUUGAUAUCUAUUUAGAUCAUUCGAUGUCUCUACGAAAUAGUUCUCAAAAUGAAUUUCGAGAAAAUGUAAAAUAUUUAUCGAUUCGACUAUCGCACAGUCGUCGAUGAAUUUUUAAAGUUAACUUGUUAUCGAAAAUUUCGAAAUAUUGUUUGAAAAUGUCUACAUUGACGUCCGAUAACAUUUGCUAUGAUUGACCGUUUCACGCACCGUUAACGACGUGCAAUACUAUAUCGCGAGUAUUUCAAAAUGAUAUUAAAAAUAUAAUAUUUCGACUUCAUUUGAUAUCCCGUAAUGAGCCUGAAAAUAAAAAAAAACAUAAGUAAAAAAAAAAUUCGAGAGAAUGUAAAACAUUUAUCGAUUCAACUACCGUAUAAUCGUCGACGAAUUUUUAAAGUUAACUUGUUAUCGAAAAUUUCGAAAUAAUAAUAAAAUAAUUGAUUUUUUUUAAGAAAAACAAAUUAUUCGUAUUUUUUAACACAUACGUUUAAUAUCCGUUUAACUACUUUUGAUAUCUAUUUAAAUCAUUCGAUGUCUCUACGAUAUAGUUCUCAAAAUGAGUUUCGAGAAAAUGUAAAAUAUUUAUCGAUUCGAUUAUCGCACAGUCGUCGAUAAAUUUUUAAAGUUAGCGCAUUAACGAAAAUUUAGAAAUAUAGUUUGAACAUACCUACUUUGACGUCCGAUAACAUUUGCUAUAAUUGACCGUUUCACGCACCGUGAACCACGUGCAAUACUAUGUCGUGAAUACUUCAAAACGAUAUUAAGAAUAUAAUAUUUCGACUUUAUUUGGUAUUCCGUAAUGAACCUGAAAAUGAACACAAAAACAUAAGUAAAAAAAAAAUUGAAUUAAGGCACUUCGCACUGCGCGGAGUGCUUGCCAGUGAGCACUCCACGCAGCGCGGAGUGCUUCACAGCUUUUUUUUUAUUUUUUAUUUUUUAUUUUUUUUACGGAUUGUUUUGGUAAUUCGAACGUAACUUUGGCUACGGUUGUCAGAAUCGUGCCCAUGACCCCAAUUCGGAAAGCUUUUUUCGAUGCGCACGUCGUGGCCACCUCGCUAAGCUGGGUGGACAUCGUUUUCGAGGUCAAAAUUCGCUAUUUUUCCUUCCUCUUCAUUUACACGUUUGAUGUUUGUUUAACUAUUUUCGAUAUUCAUUUAAAUCAUUUGACAUGUCUAUGACAUAGUGCUCGAAAUGAGUUUCGAUGUAAUAUAGAAAAUAUAUUUUUUUAUACAUUUUACGUAAAGGAAUUAAGAAAAGUAGGGUGAUAAUAAUUUUAUUAGGAAUUUUUAUGCCAAAAACAAAAAAAAAAAUAUUUUACGCAACAUCUAUAAAAAAUAUAUUUUCUAUAUUCUAUCAAACUCAUUUCGAGAAUUAUAUUAUAGACAUAUCGAAUGAUUUAAAUGAAUAUCGAAAAUAGUUAAACAAACAUCAAACGCGUAAAUGAAGAGGAAGGGAAAAUAGCGAAUUUUGACUUCGAAAACGAUGUCCACCCAGCCUAGCGAGGUGGCCACGACGUGCGCGUCGAAAAGAGCUUUCCGAAUUGGGUUCAUGGGCACUAUUCUGACAACCAUAGCCAAAGUUAUGGUCGAAUUACCAAAACAAUCCGUAUACAAAAAAAAAAUAAAAAAUAAAAAAUAAAAAAAAAAUUGUGAAGCACUCUGCGCUGCACGGAGUGCUCACUGGCAAGCACUCCGCGCAGCGCGGAGUGUUUAAUUUUACUCUUCUUCUUCUGUUUGCUUUUUGCUUUUUUUUUUUUGGACUAAUUUUUUUUUCUAAAUUUAUUAUUAUUAUUAUUUUUUAAUUUGGCUAUAAGUUUUGCUACAGUUAUCGGAAUUGAGUCCAGGACCCCAAUUCAAAAAGCUCUUUUCUACACGCACGUCAUGGCCACCUAGCUUCGCUUGGUGGACAUCGUUUUCGAGGUCAAAUUUCGCCGUUUUCCCUUCCAAAUCUCCAAUUAUAGUUUGACGUCAAAUUUAAAAAAUGCGUAUAACUCGUCAUUUUUUUUAAACGCAACAUCUAUAAAAAAUAUAUUGUCUAUAUUUUAUCGAACUUGUUUCGAGAACUAUAUUAUGGACUCAUCGAAUUGAUCUAAAUGAAUAUCGAAAAUAGUUAAAGUUACAUCAAACGCGUUUCUUAAAAAGUUUACAAAAAAAUAUAUUAAUAGUAUAAUUAAAAAAAUUAAAAUUAAAAUUAAGAAAAAAACUUGUCUGUGCAAAGUCAACAACUGUGGGCGCAAGUGACCAUUAAGUCCUCAAUGUGUUAAUUAGUGUAGGGUGAGAUUUUCAAGGGUAAAGUGGGAAAACAAUGUAAAGGAGGAAAAAAAAAGAACAGGACAAACUACUGUAGCAAAACUGGAUAAAUUGGAAUCAAGUGUGAAAACGGCUGUGACAUAAAUGAACAGUACCAAAAGCCUCUCUUUUAAGAGAGUAAAGAUGUGUGUGUGUAAAGCUUAUACAUUUCUUCCUUCGAACUCCAUUUGUGGAAGACAAAGAACCUCCAAUAGUUGUAUUAACUAUUUCUGUAGUUAUUGAUUUCUAUUGUUUCAAACUUUGAAAUUAAGGAAUUGAAUGGACAUGUUUAAGAUUUCAUCGACGUUGUUUGUUAGUUUGUAGAUUAAAAUUUUAACAUCAUCAUUUUUUUAGUUUUUUGAGUUUAAACUUUAAUAUAUUAACUUCCCGAAAAAGAAUAAUCAAAAUACUAAUCAUAAUUUUUUUAGGCAAACGAAAAUAAGGUAAUCCAUUGCUAAUCAUUGACAAACUUUAGCCGUAGGUAAUUUGUGGCGGAAAAUUGUUGCUAAAAUUGUUGUAAUUAGAUGCAAAAAUUGUCAUUGGUAAGUACCAAUGAACUUUUUUUUUAUCGCUAAUUUAUCAAUGGACAAAUUAGCAACGAGGAUUUCAUCAUCCGAUAUCACCCAUUUGCAAAUCAAAGAACCAUUAAAUUCACGAAAAUAUAUAUAAAAAACUUGAAUAGUGAUUGACCAGUGCUACGACCUUAUAGUACAAUGUGUCAACCCACAUAAAUUUAUGGUGAAUAAAUUAUUUAUGACCAAAAUAUAAAUUGUGCCAGAAUGUUAUUCUCAAUUCAAGCACACUGUUGGAAAAUAUUUUAGACCCAAAUACAUGGAAUUAAUCAAUAAUAGGCAACACGUCACUUUAAUUAUUGUUCUUUGAUGUUUCAAGUAAUUAAUUCAAUUAACCCUAAGUUAAACAAUCACAUAAACGUAUAGAUCAAAAUCGGAAUUGGUGGCCAGAAGUUUGGCCUACACAAAUGCCAAUGCGGUCACAUGGUGUCAUGCAGGGACUAAAUGCCCUGCAUGACCUUGUUCAAUGCAACUGCAUAGGUUAGUUCUAUGUAGUCGCAUAGAACAAUUAUGUUAUCGUUGGUGACCGUUUUGGUUUAAACCAUUUUGUGGGGACUGAUCAGGGCAUAAACGAUUGAAAAUACUUAUGAUCUAUACAUCAUUCUACAAACAAAGAUCAAAACUCUAUUCUAUUCCAUAUUCAAUGUUCCUCCCUUGUGUUCUUCAAGUUUUGGGAGAUUUCACUUGUGUUGGUGAUAAUCUUCUUCAAGGCUUAUUAAGAUCUUGCAAACCAUUUGCCAAGAUAUCUUGAAGCAUCUUAUUCAAUUCACGAAGGACCAAAUAUCGUUUGAGGACAAGGAUAUCAUGUUUGGGCCUUUAUCUUGAUAUCUUGAUCCUAGAUUUAUAUUCUUGUUUUGCAAUGUCCUAAAAUUUCAUAGAUUAGAAUUUAAUUUAUAUGUACUAUAUUUUAAUAUUUUGGAAGUUUAGGGACCAAAAUAUAUAUAAAGUAAAUUUCAAUAUUAUCGGAUGUUAAAAUAUAGACGUUGACGAAGCGAUGAUAAGUAUAUGAAUAUUGGGCUUAUUGGAAAGAUCGUAAUUAAUCAUGCAUGUUAGGCUCGAGAAAAAAUUAAUUUGGAUUAGCGGAACCCAAGUUAUCGAGAUUGAAAGAUAUAGCUUUAAACUUAUAUUUUAAUUGAUUAUUUAAUGUAUCUAAAAUUUAAUGCAUCUAAGGAAGGCAAGUGGAAUUUACAAUUGAUUCGGUUCAUGGAGUAGCACCUGUAUCCAAAGCCCCAUACCGAAUGGCAACAAAGGAACUUCAAGAAUUGAAGUUGCAAUUAGAAGAGUUGCUGGAGAAAAGUUUCACUCAACCAAGUGUAUCUCAUUGGGGGGGCUCGUGUACUUUUUAUCAAGAAGAAGGAUGGGAGUAUGAGGAUGUGCAUUGACUACCGAGAAUUGGAUUAUUUGACCAUCAAAAAUAAGUACCCGCUACCAAGAAUAGAAGAUCUGUUUGACCAGUUAAAGGGUGCUGCAGUGUUUUCAACGAUCAAUUUGAGGUCAGGAUAUCACCAGCUGAAAAUCAGGGCAAGCGAUAUAUCGAAAAUUGCUUUUAGGACUCAUUAUGGGUAUUAUGAAUUCACUGUUGUGCCUUUUGGUUUGACCAACGCUCCAGCUGUAUUCGUGGAUCUCAUGAAUAGAGUGUUCCAUCAGUAUUUAGACCAAUUCGUCAUAUUGUUUAUUGACGACAUACUUGUGUACUAAAAGGAUAAGAAGCAGGGUGAGGAACAACUUCGAAUAAUACUCGAAACUUUAAGGAAUGAGGAACUACAUGCCAAAUUCAAGAAAUGUGAAUUUUGGGUUGAUCGCAUAGGUUUUCUUGUUCACGUGGUUACAGCCAAAGGGAUCAAAGUGGACCUUGCUACAGUGGAAGCAGUAACAAAUUGGCCAAGGCCGAGUAGUGUGGGUAAACUUCGCAGUUUCUUGGGAUUGGUGGGUUAUUAUAGAAGAUUUAUUGAAGGCUUCUCAAAAAUAGAAGGGCCAAUGAUUCAGCUAACAAGAAAGGGUAAGAAGUUUCAGUGGACAGAAAAAUGUGAAAAAUGUUUUCAAGAACUUAAGCAGAGACUAGAUUCAACUCCUAUACUGGCGAUACCUGAAGGUUUAGAGGGAUUUGUGAUUUACAGUGAUGCUUCCAAGCAGGGUUUAGGUUGUGCACCGAUGCAGCAUGGAAAAGUGGUUGCUUAUGCUUCCAGACAGUUGAAGCAAUAUGAACAAAACUAUCCAACGCACGACUUGGAACUUGCAGUAGUAGUUCACGCCUAAAAAAUAUGGCGUCAUUAUCUGAAUGGUAGGAAGUGUGAAAUUUAUACACACCACAAGAGUCUUAAAUAUUUCUUCACAUAGAAAGAAUUGAACAUGAGACAGGGAAGAUGGUUGAAAUAAGUGAAAGAUUAUGACAGCAUGAUUCAUUGCCAUCCGGAUAAGGUCAACGUAGUUGCAGAUGUCCUAAGCAAAAAGACGGGAUCACAGUUAGCAAUUCUGCCCAUGGUGCAGGAAUACUUGAUACGGGACUUUGAGAAACUAAGAUUGAAAGUUAUCACACCGCCGACUAAGACUACAGCAAUGAUUAAAGUGUUCAUGAUUCAACCUACACUUCAGGAUCGAAUUAAGGAAGAGCAAGAUAAGGAUCAAUUUCUAUGGAAGAUAGAGACUGAGAUUGGUUCAAACAAACGUAUAAGGUUUGAAGUAUCUGCAGAUAACGUGCUAACUUUCAAAGGAAGGUUAUGUGUACCUAAGGAUAAAAGUAUAAUAAAGAAAAUAUUGGAAGAUGCUCACUUUACCCCCAUAUUCGGCACAUCCAGGUGGUACAAAAAUGUAACGAGAUCUCCGAAAUACAUUUUGGUGUAGAAACAUGAAGAGAGGAAUUGGUCUACUCGUUGAAAAAUGUAUUAUGUGUCAGUAAGUCAAGGCUGAACAUCAAAGGCCAUCAGGACUAUUGAAACCGUUGAAUAUUCUAGAAUGGAAGUGGGAACACAUAAUAACGGACUUUGUGGUAGGUUUCUCAAGGUCAGCAAAAGGAUACAAUUAUAUCUAGGUAGUGGUGGAUCGUUUAACGAAAUCAGCCCAUUUUCUACCAAUCAAAGUAAACUUCAACAUGGAACAACUCACAUAGUUAUACAUCAAAGAGAUAGUCAGAUUACAUGAAGUUCCAGUCACAAUUAUUUCAGAUAGAGACCCAAGGUUCACAUUUAAAUUUUGGAAAAGUUUACAAACAGCCAUGGGGAUGAAACUGAAGUUUAUGACCCUUCGUCAUCCUCAAAUGGAUGGACAAUCAGAAAGAACCAUCCAAACUCUGGAUGAAAUGUUGAGGGCAUGUAUUUUGGAUUUUGGUAGUAGUUGGGAGACACGCCUACCUUUAGUGGAGUUUGCUUGCAACAAUAGUUUUCAGGCCACUAUAGGUAUGGCCCCAUAUGAAGCUCUUUAUGGUUGAAAGUACAGAUCCCCUAUCCAUUAGGAUGAGGUCGAGGAUAACAGAAUUUUGGGUCCUAAAAUCAUUGAACGAACAGUUGAGGCAGUUGAUAAGAUUAGAGCAAGAAUAAAGGCAGCACAAGACCGACAUAAAAGUUAUGUUGACAAUAGAAGAAUGAAUUUGGAAUUUAGUAUGGGAGAUAACGUUUUUCUUAAAAUAACACUCAUGAAGGGUGUAUUGAGAUUUGGUAGGAAGGGACAGUUGAGACCACGAUUUAUUGGACCUUUUGAGAUCCUUGAAGGGAUUGGUGUUGUGGCUUACCGAAUUGCCUUACCACCUGAACUUGCAGCUAUACAUAAUGUGUUCCAUGUUUCGAUACUCAGAAAAUAUGUUGGAGAUGCAAAAAGACUUGUCAAAUGAAGAAAUCCCGAGAAUGAUAGAAAAGUGCAUCAACUUAGAAACAAGGAAAUUUCCCUAGUCAAGGUCCAAUGGAAAAAUCAUGGAUUUGAUGAGUCAAUUUUGGAGAGAGAAGAGAAGCUAAACCAAGUAUAUUCAGAGCUCUUCGAUUAACUAAGGUAAAUUUUCAAAGGCAAAAUUAUUUUAAGGAGGGGAGAUUGUAAUGUCCCAAAAUUUCAUAGAUUAGAAUUUAAUUUAUGUGUACUAUAUUUUAACAUUUUGGAAGUUUAGGGACUAAAACAUAUAUAAAGUAAAUUUCAAUAUUAUCGGACAUUAAAAUGUAGAUGUUGACAAAGGGACGAUAAGUAUAUGAAUAUUGGGCUCGUUGGAAAGAUCGUAAUUAAUCAUGUAUGUUAGGCGCGAGAAAAAGUUAAUUUGAAUUAGCGAAGCCUAAGUUAUCAAGGUUGAAAGAUAUAGCGUUAAACUUAUAUUUUAAUUGAUAUAUAUAUAUAUAUAUAUAUUAUUAGUCACCAACCACCACCAAUAUAAAAGAAAAGGGGAGAGAGAGAGAGAAACUUUAUUAAUUCUAGUUUCAAUUUGUUGGCCAUGUGUAUGAGAUGUAUUGCUUGUUGAGUAGUAUAGUUGGUUGACAAGACUUGGUCAAUUAUUUUAUUUCAAAAGUCCGUUUCCCAAUUUUUAUCCACUCUCCUAUCCUACUUCUACAUGUUUCCCCAACUGCACACCUACCUUACUAGACUAGAUCAUGGGGUGAUAUAGAUGUAUAUCAAAAGGAGACAUAUGCAUAAGUACACAAUUGUGGAGAAAGAAGAAAGUUGAAAUCAGGUAAAUUACAGACUUCAUAUUUUAUGCAGUGUAAAAGGAAUCUUACUUUGUACCUUAAAAUUUAUAGAUACUUAUACCUGUGGUACUGAAAUUUAAAAUAAGAAGUCAAUUUCAAACUAUAUAAAUUCUUGAAGCGGGGAGAAGGAUUUUUGGAGUGUGAUUUCUUUGGUUUUGUCUUCCAAAAUUAAAACGAUCUAAUAAGGUAGGAUAUUAAAGUGCAAUGUUCUCUGUCCCGUUUAAUUAUUAUUUUUACAUGUUAAUGAAUUUUGUACUCAUGAAAGUUAAAGUUAUGAUAUGAAAUGCUAUGAUAUGAAUGAUAUGGCCAUUUCUGGUACAAUGAUAUGAUAUGAGCUUUUACCGGAUCUUAAAGAUAUGAGACGGUAUGAUAUUUUAACACGUCUUUAAAAUUAUUAUUCGGGAUCAGACCAUUAAAAAUUUAGAUCCUAAUGAGUAUUCCCACGUACUCACCAUUUUCUUUACAACUCAUCAUUUAGAUCGGAUCGUGUUGGAGCGUGAUGGUUCGAUGGUACGGUUGUGCCUCAUUUUUCGCUGGAAAAAAUUUAACACUUAAUUUUAUCUCUUUUAUUUUUGUUGUCGUGGACACUUAACUUGAUUGAAUUAUCGUUAAUGUUAUUUGUUGGAAUAUAGCAGUGAUUUUGCAAUUGCUCGUGCUUAUUGUUGGAUUUAAAACGAUGAAUUAUAUCUCUUUUGUCAUUGCCAACUAUUGCUUGAAUUGGAUUUUCACGUGCAAGACAAGGGGAGUUAAAUUACUUAAAUUGACUUAGAUGAUUUGAUAUUUAUUAUAACAUGUUUGGCCAUGCUCAAGCAACGCAUUAUUUCAUUGUUUGUGGAUGAGGAACAUCCUUUGAUGAACUAGUUGGCUUGUGUGUAACUUUAAUACUUCCUGGACAUUUGAUGUAGGUCAUAGGAUAUGAGAGUCAUAUAAAUCACCUGCUUGCUUACCAUCUUUGACUAAUUAAUUGGAUGGGGACAUAGUAUCCAAUAAAAUUUGCCUUUCAGUGGUUGAUGUACCCAAUAAAAUAAUAAAAAUGUGUGCCUUUCCUAAGAAUAAAUGAAUUAAUUUAUUAGUCUGUUAAGUUAACAUACAGAAUUGUAUUUGUAGAGACCUCUGCCUAUUUCCAUUUAUACGGUUCAGAAAUUAGUUCAUUCAUACGUCACCAUUUAGCCUCUUCUUUUCAAAUGAAUGAAUCAUAUGUGGUUUAAAAUAACAUUGACCAUUUUAUAAAUAAAUCUUUUGGUAGCAAUUCAAACCCUUAAUUAUUGGGUCGUUAUACGUUUCUCCAUUUCUCUUUUGUGAAAGAUAUAUUUUCCAAUAAUCCCAAAUGAUAUUUUGCAAUAGAGAACGAAACCACCAUGGUCACAAUUAAAUUGAUAGAUCAAGAUUUCGUCCAAUUGGAUCGCUUCGAUGGAACAAACUUCACGAGAUGGAAAGAUAAAUUGAAGUUUCUACCAACAGCGUUGAAGAUAUUCUAUAUUCUAGAUCAAGAAUUGGAACCACUACCAGAACCAAUGAAUGAAAAAAUCGAAGCCAUAAAAGCAGAAAGAUAAAAGCACCAAGAAGAUGAACUCAUAUGUCGUGGACAUAUUUUCAACACGUUAUCUAUAGAUUAUAUGAGUUCUACAACAAUACCUUUUCCGCAAAGGAGAUUUAGAAUGCAUUCGAAAGUAAGUAAAAGGCUAAAGAUGAAGGUACUAAGAAAUUUUUUAUUUCAAGGUAUUUUGGUUAGAUUUUAUACUGUAAUUCGCAAUUCUAUUAACAAAAAUGAUAUAAUUGAACUUUUGUAAAGUCAAGGACUUGGGUUGCAAUUUUUAUAGAUGAUUUAGGUUUGGGUUUGAGAUUGGAAUAAGGUAGAAGAUUCGCUGGAUUUUUGCUAGCUACUCGCCAAGUUGUUGCUCGAGCGUUAGAAACAGAACCAUCGUCCCUCGCUUGUCGUCCCUACGUCACUCGAGUGAAAAAGCUAUCGCUCGCUUUUCGUUAGAGUGUCACUCGAGGGACAGUAUCAUGUGGCCAAAGCUUAGGUCACGGUUUGAAGAAUGUUAGACGGCCUAUGACGCUUAUUUGCCCCCAACUCUAAAUACUAGAAUCAUGGAUGAAAUUCUAGAGGUUGUUACACUGUGCUUGCACUUCUACACCUAGUUAUAACAUCAAUUAAGAUCCAAGGAGUGCUACAUGUAUUGAUUCAUCGACAUUGUUCUUGUAAUCUGGCAACCAAGUUUUGGAAAACAUCUACAGUUUAAUAAUCCAAAACACCUGGCUUCCUCAAUUCAUUAAGGAAUGGACAUUCUCGUUGGGGAUUGAGAGAAGUGGACUUCAAGCGUAGAGAAAGCACCAAAGUAGGAGAUUCUUGAGAAUUCCACUUGGAAGAAGCAAUUUGUUUAAUGGUUAGUCUUCUCCUAGUACCACGGUUAAUAAUGUUGUCACUCCCAUCCCAUAGAAAACUAGUCUAAGGCUGAACUAGAUAAUUGUAACUAGAAUAGCAAAGCCCUACAUGCCCUUUUUAUGGUCGUGUCACCAGAAGAGUGUAGGAGAGUGUCCAUGUGUGAGGUUGCGAAAAAAGUUUGGGAUAUCUUAGAAACCACACAUGAGGAAACUCAGGUAGUUAAGAAUUCGAAGCUGCAGAUGCUGACCACUAGGUUUGAAGAAAUUAGAAUAAGAGAUGAUUAAACUUUUAAUUUCUUCUUUGCGAGCGUAACUGACAUAGUAUAUUCUAGCUUCAUCUUAGGAGAGAAAAUCCCCGAGCCUAAGAUAGUGAGAAAAAUUCUUAGUUCCUUACCUAAGCGUUUCAGACAUAAAUUCAUGAAAAUUGAGGAAAGUAAGGACAUAGGUACUAUCAAGGUGGAAGAGUUAGUUGGAUCCCUCCAGACCAAUGAGCGGACUUUAGAUAAACCUGUUUAGGAUAAGCCUUUGAGCCUAAAAUCUGUGAAGAACAAUCAGACUAAAUCUUUUGAUUCAGAUUCACCAAAUGAUAAGGAGUCAGCCUACCUAGCAAAGAAAUUUCAAAAGAUGAUUAGGAAUAAAAAGAAAUCUCAGGAGAGACAAAGAGGUGGCCUGAAUGAAUCUAGGAGAAAAUGAAAUUGGUGAGGUGCCAUAACUGUCAAGGCUUCGGUCAUGUAAGGAAUGAGUACCCUAGUACUAGAAGAGUUGAGGAAAAGGCUAUGAAUUCUACCCUCAUUGAUGAUGAAUCUAGUUCGGACAAUUAGAGUGAGAAAUCCACUCGUGAGGAAAGUGGAAGAUAUGUUACCUUUGUUGCUAGGGUUACGAGUGGAUUCGUCCAGGGAGUGGGAGAUAUGAGGACAUGGUUAGUGGUGAGGAAAUUGAAAAUGAGGAAGAUAUCUAAGAGGCAUAUGAGAAAAUGUAUCAGGAGAGUCUUAAAAUUCUUUGUAAGAACAAAGCCUUAAGUACGAUGGUUAAGGAGCUUUAGCUGGAGAAAGAGAAGUUAGUAGCAUGCAAUAAGGAAUCUUUCACAAUCCUGAGUGAACUUAAAAUGAUUAAUGAAUCUUUAUAGUCUCAGGUUAAGAAUCUUACCAGUGAGCUUGAGAGGUCCUCUAUGAAAGUCAAUGAGCUGACCGCCAAGAAUGAGACUUUAGAAAUCAAGGUUAUGAACCUUGUAACCGAUCUAGAACUUGAAUAGAAAUAGGAACAUGAACCUUAAUAGGAAUAAAAAUUAGAUGUAUGUGGGUCAUAUUGGAUUCCUUACUAAUCAAGUGAAUCAUUCGACCAAGCUGGUGACAUAGUUGUCUAGGAACUAUUCUCCCACUAGACAGGUAUGGGUGAAGAAGAGUGAUCAGCAAAACCUUGAGAUAGAUCACGAAGCUCUUAAGGGAAAGAGCACUCUUAUACCUAAAUGAAGAGGUAUUCUUGGUGCAUGCUUGUUUUUAACUAUCAUAUGAUUUAUGCAUGCAUCACUUUUAUUUGUUGUUUAAUUUAUUUAUUUAUUAUUUUUUUUGUAGUGGUUUCAUACAUGUGCAUUUCUAUCGUGUUUGCAUUGGCACAUGCAUAUUUUGUUGUGUUUUUGGGUGCUUAAAUUUUUUUUUCUUUUUUUGUGUGAGAGAUUCAUUUUUGAAAAAGAAAAACACAAAAAAAAAUGAAAAAUGAAAAACAAAAAAAAAAGGUAUGUUGGAAAUGAAAUUUUUACUGCAGCACAAUGUAUAAUAUUCUUAAAUUUGUAUGUUGGGAUCAUGUAUGAGCUUGUGGAGUACUUUGUAUAGGUGUUUUCAUGUAUCAUUUGCACUGCACACACUAUGACACUGUUAGUAAGACUCUAUCGCACCUAUGAGAUUUGGGAUGGUUGUCACAUGUUAGUAGGGUGACUUUGAACAUGAAUUGAUCGAAUUUAUUAGACCUAAACUCAAAAAUAUUCCCCGAUCAUAUAAAAGCUCAGUAGCUUAAUGUUUUUCUUCGGGGCCUACUUUACUCGAGUAAUUGGGCCAAUGGGGUUCUUUAAAACGUGGUGCCUAUGGUCAACUGACUUGAAUUAAUCGGUCUAAAGUUCGUUACAGAGGUCAUCAUAAUCACCUAAUGGAAAAGAACUUGUACUUAAGAUGAAACAUGAAUGAGCUUGGAAAAUGUGAAAGAUAUAACGAGCUAGAAAAUGUGAAAAUUUUAAAAAUAUAAAUGCUCGAAGUUAAGGGGAGAAAAAUGAAUAAUAAGUAUAUAUCAUAAUGCACUCACAUGGUUUGACAUUCAUAAAUCGGAGAAUAUACAUAUUGAUAGUGAUUAGCAUGUACCUUCUCACAAAAUUAAGGUUUGGAGUUCUGCUUGUAUUGGAUUAGUGACACUUAACACACACAUGAGUCACUUAUAUAAUUUACUCCACUCUAACUUAAAAUGAGUACGUGGGGAGGUUUACUGCUUGUCAAUUAUACUUUUGCAUGCUACCAACUUCAUUUCUAAAUGGUUAUUUGUUAUUGCUUUAAUUGAUUUGAUAUCAUUCCCUUCAGUAUCUGUGACAAAAGGAGGAGAAAAUAUGGAACUGAGGGGGAGAGAAUAAAAGGCAUAUACAUAGGGAGAGCGAUUACAUUGCAUUUGUUAAUAUUUUUGCAUUUUAUGUCUAGGGGUCGUUGGGAAAAGACAUAGAUACAUUGUGUUACUGAACAAAAUUCAUGAGAGAUUGUAGGAAGGGAGAGCAUUGCAUUACAUUCCUGUUUAAGUUUUAAUGCAAUCAUAUCCAUUACUAUUUGAGUUUUGAUGUUUAUUGAUGUUGGUGUUUUAGUUGACAUCAAUUUGAUGUCUCAAACUAGCAUGUUGAUUUGUGAUUAAGUGCUUUAUUUGUUAUAUGUCAUGUAUUACGUGUUUUAUACUGGGUAUGUGAGCGUUGGAUUUCAAGAAACAUGUUUAACAAGGAAUGAAGACUCAGUGAUCGGGUAUACUAGGUAGAAUAGGUUAUUUGUUUUCAAGUCUUGACUUAUUUUGUAUAGAUUUAUCACAGAAUGCCAAAGGGGGAGAUUGUUAGGUUUUAUAUUGUAAUUGGGAAUUUUGUGAACAAAAAUGACAUAAUUGAACAUUUGUAAUAGUCAAGGACUUGGGUUGCAAUUUGUAUAGAUGGUUUAGGUUAGGGUUUUAGUUUGGAAUAAGGUAGAAGACUCACCAAAUUUUAGCUAGCUGCUCACCAAGUUGUUGCUUGAGCAUUAGAAAUAGAACCGUUGUCGCUCGCUUGUCACCCCUGUUUCGCUCAAGUGAAAAAGUUGUCGCCUGCUUUUCUUUGCUAGAGUGUCGCUCGAGCGAUAGUGUCACGUGGGCAAAUCUUAGGUCGUAAUUUGAAGAAUUUUACACAGCCCACGGCACUUAUUUUUCCCAACUCUAAAUACUGAAGUCAUGGACGGAAUUCUAGAGGUUGUUACAUUGUGCUUUCACUUCUACACAUAUUUAUAACAUCAUUAAGAGAUCCAAAGAAUACUACAUUUAUUGAUUCGUCAACAUUGCUCUUGUAAUCUGGAAACCAAGUUUUGGAAAACAACAACAAUUAAAUAAUCCAAAACACCAGGCUUCCUUAAUUCAUUGAGGAAUGGGCGCUCUCGUUGGGGAUUGAGAAAAGUGGACUUCAAGCGCAGGAAAAGCACCAGAAUAGGAGAUUCUUGGAAAUUCCACUUGGAAGAGGCAAUCAAUUUAAAAUUAGGAGGCUGGAAGAAGAAGAUAGCAGAUCUUGUGGGCUACAGAAGGUAGAAUAGGAAGUCUAGUGGAAUGGCUAGACAGUAUCUACGACAGUAGAUCGUGAGACUGGAAGAUGGACAAUGGGUCUUAGAGAUUGUAAAAAUAACAACUGCUAGAACUGGAGGGACUUGCUAGUUUGGAAUCAUACUACAAACCUGAUUGACUAUAGUAGAGGUAACUGUUUUGCUCCAGGAGUUUUUCCCCACAUUGGGUUUCUCCGUCAACAAAUUGUGCGUAGCUUAUUUUUUUCCAUAUCAUUACAAUUGCGGCAUUCAAACUUAGGAAAAAUGGACUUGUGUGUUUAAUCAUCUAGAAAACUAAUUAAAAGUGACUUGUUAUUUUAAUCAGUAUAAUUUCACAUGUAAGGUCGAAAUAAUAAAUUGUCUAGAACGUAAACUUGGUAAUUCUAAAAUUUGAAGUUGUUUCUAGACCCGAACUCACAAGUAGUCAAGAGCGUUCUAGACGGUCCUUCAAUUUUGAUUUUAAAUUUCUUGAAAACAUUUCCCUCCUUUCCAAAUCCAUGAAUUACAAGUGUUUAUCAACAAAUUAAAGGCUGUCAAAAUUGAAAUUUUGGAAACUUUCCAAGUGGGAGCAAUUAUUGCAAAAGUUCCGGGGACUUGGAAAGGAUAUCGAAAGAAGAUCAUGCAUUAUUUCGAAGAUUACACUUUGGAACAAUUGUAGAAACAUCUUCGCAUCAAAGAGAGGUUUAAGAUACAAGAAUGACAAGUCUUAUGAAGGCACUUCAAAGGCCAAUGCCGUGGAAAAGACCGAGCCUUCUAAAUCUAACAAAGGAAAGCUUCAAGGAACUUUAACAAGUCCAAGAAGAAGACCAAAGGUGGUUGUUUUGUGUGUGAAAAACCUGGGCAUUAUUGAAAUGAAUGUCGACACUGGAAAUGAAACGACGCUGAAGGAAAGGUAAACUCCAUCAAAGAAGACAAUAUUGUGACCAACGUAAUCGAGAUCAACGCUAUCAAGGGAAAGGUUCCCGAUUAGUGGUAUGAUACAUGUACAAUCGUACAUGUAUCAUAUGACAUUAUUUGAAACAUAUAAUGAAGUUGAUGGAGGUCAAGAGAUUCAAAUGGAUAAUGAAGUCCCCUCUAAGGUUGUUGGGAAAGGAAAUGUAGAAAUUAUCUUCACUUCCGUCAAGACCAUUACUUUGACAAAUGUUCUACAUGUUCUUGACAUGAAUAUGAACUUAAUCUUUUAGGAAAAUCAGGCAUCAAAUGUGUUUAUGAGUCCGGUAAACUUGAAUCAUUGCUAAACGAAAAAUUUGUUCGUAAAUGCGAUUCCUGUGAAGGAAUGGUCAAACUCUAUACCGUUGAUAAAUUAAAUAAUAAUAAAGUUGAUUUUGCUUAUAUUGUUGAUUGUUUUACUUUGUGGCUUGCUAGGUUAUGACACAUGGAUAAAAGUACUAUGAAAAGAAUGUUGAAAUCUUAUUUGAUUUCAUACAAUGAAAAUGAGUUAUUUAAAUGUAAAAUAUGUGUUAAAUCUAAAAUGACUAGAGAGCCAUAUCAAAGUGUAAAAAGAACUUCUAACAUUUUAGAAUUAAUUCAUAUGGAUAUAUGUGAAUUAAAUGGCAUGUUAACUAGAUAUGGAAAUAGGUAUUUCAUUACCUUUAUAUAUGAUUUCUCUAAGUAAAUAAAUAUGUAUUUGAUAAAGCACAAACAUGAGGUAUUUGAUAUGUUUAAGGUAUAUAAAAGUGAAGUUGAAAAUCACCUUAGUAAAAAAAUAAAAAUACUAAGAAUUGAUAGAGGUGGCGAGUACAUCUCUAGCGAUUUUAACUUGUUUUGUGAACAAUAUGGUAUUAUUCACCAAUAUUAUGUACCUAGGACACCUGAACAAAAUGGCUUGGCUGAAAGAAAAAUAGAACUAUGGUGAAAUGAUAAACGUCAUGUUAACUUAUGCUAAGUUUCCAUUUAAUUUGUGGGUGAAGCUUUAUUGAGUGCAUGUAGGAUUAAUAGGAUUCCUUAAAAAUUUACAAAGGUUUCACCUUACGAAUAUGAAAAAGAAAGGAAACGAAACAUUGGAUAAUUCAAAGUGUGGGGGUGUCUUGCUUAUUGCAAGAACAUGAACCCUAAUAAGACUAUAUUGGGUUCAAGAGGCAUUAAAUAUUCUUUUAAUACAUAUGCUAGUAAUAGCAAGUCAUACAGAUUGUUAAACUUGAAGACCAAUGUGAUAAUUGAAUCUAGUGACAGAGUUUUUUGAGAAUUCAUUAUCUUCGGAUAAUGAAUUAAGGGAAAGUCAUAAAGAAAUUCAAAACUCUAGUAGAACACAAGAUGAAACAUCUUCUAAAGAUGUUAGUGAAUCUAGUAAAUCUUGAAUGAGCAAAAGAACUCGAAUUGAGAAGUCUCUAAGACCGGAUGAAAUUGGCUCUCAACAUAUUUUCUGUUACAUAGUAGAUAGAAGAAAGACGAAUGUUGUAAGAACGAUUCCUUUUAUUCUACAAGUGAAAAUCAACCCUAGGACUUAUAGAGAGGCUAUAGCUUCUCGUGAUAGCAUCUUUUGGAAAAGAAGUAACUAAAGAUGAGAUAGACUCAAUUAUGUCCAAUAAUAAAUGGGAGCUUAUCGAUUGACGACCAAAUCCAAACUUAUUGGUUGUAAAUGGGUAUUUAGGAGAAAAUAUAAUGUUGAUGGUUAUCUGAAUACCUUUAAGGUUAGACUAGUAGCUAAAGUUUAUCGACAAAUGGAAGAAAUAAAUUAUUUGUAACUUAUGCACGAGUAGCUAGACUAACAUCAAUUAUGAUAUUAUUUGCAUUGACUUCAAUAUAUGAAUUGCAUAUUCAUUAAAUGAUGUCAAGAUGGCAUUCUUAAAUGGGGAUCUCAAUAAGGAGGUUUGGGUUUGCACUAUUCGGAUAUGAGCAUAAGGUAUGCAAGUUAGUGAAAUUGUUAUACGGUUUAAAGCAGGCACCUAAAAUGGCAUGAGCAAUUUAACUUAGCUAUAGUAUCAUUUUAUUUUAAAUACAAUAGCGAAAACAAAUGGUUUAUAUUCGAAAGAAUGUGAUAAUUAUUUGAUAUUUAUAUGCUUAUAUGUUGAUGACACGUUGAUUAUAAGUAAUCACAUGAAUGGAACAGAAGGAACGAAGAGGUUUCUAUUUUUCACAUUUAAAAAUAAGGAUCUUACAUAGGUGGAUACCAUAUUGGGUAUCAAAGUCACUAAGACUAGUAGGGGUUACAAUCUAAGCCAAUCACAUUAUAUCGAGAAUGUGAUAAACAAGUUUAAACAUUUGAAUGUAAAAGAAUAUAAUAUCCCAAUUGAUCCAAGUUCAAAGCUUGUAAAGAAUUAUGAAAGGGCAAUUACUCAAUUGGAAUAUAUGAGUGCUAUUGGAAGUCUUAAGUAUGCUAUAGCACCCCGAAAAAAAAUGUGUGUGUGUGUGUGUGUAAUAGAAAAAAAUAUAUUAUUUGUUUUAUUAUAUAUAUAUUUUAAAAAGUUGGGGACUAAAAUGGAAUAAGUUUUUAAUUUCUAUUUUAGUUAGGCUAAAUAAUUAGAUAAUGAUGGAAUAAGUUUUGGUAUAUCAAUAUUGGACUCAUUUUGUAGGUUGUAAUUAAUUAGAAGUUUUCGACUCAAAAUAAAGUUAUUAUGGAUAAGAAUGCAUUAAGUUUGAACCAAUUGAAAGAAAACAGGAUAGAUAGAAUUUUAUAUAAGUGAUAAUUAAAUUCAAUUUCUCUCCCUAGAAACGUGUGAGGUGGGUAUUAAAUUUUUAAUCAUUUUUUCAGUUUAAUAUUAACCCAUUUUGAAUUUGAUAGAAUGGCUGCCACGUCUAUAUUGGAUAAGGAUAGUAGUUCUUUUAGGUGGAGUAAAACAAUGAUAAAGUACAAUCUUUUUUAUGAUACACGCAACAUUGGAUUUGACUCUAUCAAAUAAAUUUUUUAUAUAUCAAUUACUCUAGCCUACACUUAUAUAUAGGCAUGAUGGAAGAGUUUUACAUACCCAAAUUCAAAUAUACAUUUACUAGAGAGAGAGAGAGAGAGAGAGAAUAGUGUUGGAAAUCUAAUACUUUGCGUACGUCAUUGUCAAUCAGUACACUUUCAUCGGAGUAGAGAAGUUGAGAAAAGAAUUAGGACACGAGCAAUUAUAUUUCAUUUUAUUUAACAAGGUAAGAUACUUUUAAAAGUAUUUUCAUUUCCUUAUGUUUCUAUAUUCAAUUAAAUAUACAUGGAUUGUCAGUGGACCUUCAGGUUCUAUAAAAAGAGAGAAAAAAUCCUACGGGAUUAUAAGAGGACCUAAGAUGGAUGUAUUGUUUGGUCACCGAUAUACUCCAUAAGAGCAGAGUGGUAUGAAGUAUAGAUUUUAUUUGUUAUAUAAUUGUGUGUAAAAACUGCACAUAUCUUACUGAGUAUUUUUGAAUGCUCACUCGUACAAAAUUUUACAUGUUAGCUCGGGUUGUUUGGAACUGUGACGAAUUGGUGAUGCGGACUGCCAACGGGAUCCAAAGAAAAAGGAAAAUAAAUAUUUAGUUUUUCUUUUUAUGUCUCUAAAUUAUUUGUCAAUUUUAUUUGUUCAAAAACUCGUUUUUGUUUAUUUUAAAUUAAUAUUUAUGGUUGAAAAUAAAGAAUUUCUUUUAUUUGAGUCGUUCCGCAAUUAUUAAAAAGAAAAUUAAGUUUUUCGUAACACUCCAACUUUUAUGAAAAAAUUUGGGGCGUUACAUAUGCAGUUCAAUACAUGAGACCAGACAUAGCCCAGCCUUUGCAAUUAGUAAACUUAGUAGAUUUACUUGUAUUCCGAGCAAUGAUCAUUGAAAGGUCACUGGAAGGGUUCUUGAAUAUCUAAAGAAAACUAAGAAUUUAAGCCUACAAUAUACUAAAUUUUCGACUGUAUUGGAAGGAUUUACCGAUGCUAGUUGAAUAUUUAGCAUAGGUUCAUGUUGGGUGUUACUCUUGGAGGAGGUGCUAUUUCUUGGAAAUAAACAAAAAAAAAAAAGAAAAAAAGGCACAUACAUGUAUAACACACUCAACUAUGGAAUCUAAAUUUGUAGCACUAUAAAAAAAUCGAGAAAGAAGCCGAGUGGCUUAAGAAUCAUCUUUAUAAGAUACCUUUAGGACUGAAGAAUAAAUCAUCAAUACCUAUCAUGUGUGAUAGUCAAGUCACUUUAGCAAAAGCAGAUAAUGAAGCAUACAAUGAAAAGUCUAGACAUAUGAGUUUUCGACAUGACUAUAUAAGGAAAUUAAUCAAUGAUGGAAUAAUUUAAUUUUCCUAAAUCAUGUAAAGUCAAUCGAGAACUUAAUGGAUCCUUUAACUAAACAUCUAAAUAGAGAUUUAAUAGCAUCUACUUCGAGUAUGAUGGGGUCGAAACUCCUCAACUAAAAGGUCUACCAAUGACAGCAACCUUACUUGUCGUCACUCAAAAGGUAAUCUACAAGUUCAAAGGGUAACAAUAAGUCAUUCGAUAUGUGGAUGGUUUUAGGAUUAUUAAAAUCAGCAAUAACCAUAUCCUAAUAAGUAAUGCUAGUUGUUAUCGUAGUGAGGGUUGAGCUAUAAGCUCUUAAUGAAGUUCAAUACUAAAUACAAGUAUCCUUAAAAGUAACAAAGAUACUGGAACAAUUUCACCUAGAUAAACUUCGAGAUGGUGCUGUCUAAAUAAAGAGUUGGAGUUUCUCUCUUAAAAGUUUGUUGAAAAUGAUAAGCGCAAGGCCAUAUUAGCACUAAGGGAGUUUGAGGAAAUCGAGAACACAUGAUACUUGUGUAGGUGUUCUCACCGGUAUUGUCACAUGAAAUAAAUGGUUCAAACGUUCAUGUUACCUUUGAUUCCAACUUUACUCUGUAAAAAAUACACUAUGUUUAUAUUCAAAUCGAAAGAUAUUUAAUCAUUAUGCAUAAGUAUUGUAUACUUUGAUUAUGAAAUUUUAUUGAAUAUUGAACAAAUGGGGAAUUAUUGUAAUGUCGUUCAACCUUAAUAAAAUAUAAGUGUGGAAUGAAAAUAGGAAUUGAUGGUCGGAAGUUUGGCCUACCCGACCGCACAGGCCAGAUGCCCAUGUGGUUGCAUGGUGUCAUGCAGGGACUAAACGACCUACAUGACCUUGCUCUAUGUGAUAGUGUAGGUUUGUUAUAUGUGGUAUACGGUUACAUAGAACAAAUAUGUUAUUGUUGAUGACCAUUUUUGACCAUUUUGAUUUAAAUUUUUGGAGGCUUUUCACCACAUUUUGGCACCAUUUCGUGUGGACUGAUCCAUGCCUAUAAAUAGGUGAGUAUGUUCAACACAUAAACAAUUGAAAAACAUUUAUGACCUAUACAUCACUCACAAACAAAGAUCAAAACUAUAUUCUAUUCAAUAUUCAAAGUUCCUCCCUUGUGUUCUUCAAGUUUUGGGAGAUUUCACUUGUGUUUGAUGAUAAUCUUUUUCAAGGCUUGUUAAAAUUCUGCAAACCAUUUGUCAAGAUCCCUCAAACCAUUUUACUCAAUCUAAGAGGACGCAAAUAUCGUUUGAGGACAACGAUAUCGUAUUUGAGCCUUCAUCUUGAUAUCUUGAUCCCAGAGGUCAACGUUUUAGAUAACAAAAAUAUCCAAAAGCUUAAAAUUAAUACAUUUUAAAAAAGAUAACAAAUUCGAAAAAUAUAGACAACCCUUGAGAAUACCAAAUAUUAUAAAGACACUAUCUCUCUCUCUCUCUCUCUCUCUCUCUAUAUAUAUAUAUAUAUAUAUAUAGUACCAAGUAAUGUGGCACACUACAAUAGAUGAUAAAAAAUAAUGGUUAAUUUUAAGAUUAAUUACGCCACCUAUUUUAGUGUACCACCCAAGCACGUAUGUCAUUCCAAGAUGUUUAAAAAAUCAAGGCCAUUGAUUAUUUUAAAUGUUGUUAAAAUCAAUGGCAAAUAUGUGUAACAUGUCAUGAAGUGUAAACAAAGCUGUCAAUCAUGAUGUAAUGUAUGAAAACUGAUUUUGAAAUUCUUAUUACAUAGAUUUAAACUAUAUUUUCCUUUAUUAAUUCUUAAUUAUACUUUUUCACACUUUUAACUGAGAUGAGAUAAAUAGUUUUAGUUAAAAGAAAUAUCAUGAUAAAUUGUCAUAAUAUCUUAAAAUUUUGAAAAAUACGAUUUAUUUUUCAAAAAAAUUAUAUGUUUUGCCGAAAUGAUUGACAAAUAUUUAACAAAUCACCAUAAACACUUGUUAUAGAAUAAUUGAAUAAUGCAGAUUAAAAAUAGUUUGAAUAAUUUAAAUUUCUUGAUUUAGUAGUAUUUUCUCUAAUUUCAUGAUUUAUUAAUUGGUAUAUUAUUAAUUUGGUGGGAGUUGGUGGGGGUGGGGUAGGAGUAGGUGGGGAUAAUUAAUUCUAAUUAAUUGUAUAUUAUAUAUAUUAUUUACAAUUAAUUGGAAUUACACUUGAAUUUUGAAAUAAUUUGACAAGUUUGCUAAUUUUAAAAUGUGAUUCUUAUAUGUCGGAGUUAUAUAUUAUUCUCCUAUAAAUACCCAUCAAACGAACUUGUCAAUUCACCAUUGAAGUGGGAAGCAUUUCUUCGAUUUACUAUCCAAAUUUUGAAAGUGAAAUACGGAAAUGGAUAACCAAAUCCAUGCAUCUGCUACUCCAUCUUCCACCAAAAAUAUGAGAUUCAGGAUACUCAUCGUUCUAUCACGUAUCAUCCUACCAUUUGGGGAGAUUAUUUCCUUGUGUAUACUUCUAAUGUAAAUCAGCUUGACCUUUUGUUCUGUUGGGAAUUUACUUAAACAUGCAUAGCAGAAAUAAAACAAUUUCAAUUCACACCAGGAUUCAUCUUUGUAUUUAGAUAAGAAUUGUGAUGAGAAUUAUAACUUUUCUUGAAUUUGCGAACUCCUUUGCAUUAUCUUUGUUCCAGCAACUUGGAUCUACUUUCCACAGCCGUCCAAUUGUCUAGCCUCUAAUGAAAAUCCACACAAAAAAUAGAUUGCAACUGCUGGGGUUUUUUUCUCUUGUGCCAGCAAGAAUUAUGAAAAACUAUAUGGAUCUAAAAUCCUAGCCAUGUAUUUAUAAGCCCAAACGGGCACGGACCGAUCUGAUCCAAUAUUUAAUUAAUCCAUUUAAUUAAAUCCGAUCCGUGAAUUAAUUAAUCAAAUUAAUUAAUUCAAGGCUAUAAAUAACCAAUCCAAUUAAUUAAUUUAUCCAACGAUUGUUAAAUUAAUUAAUUGGCAAUUUACAAUCUUCCAAUUCUCUUUUGUGUGCAACCCAUUAGGUUCCCGACCACAAUGUCUAACGACGUGAAAUAUUAUUUUGAUCUAAUAAAAAUGAUAAAUUAAACACCCUUAUAAUUUAUGACAAAUUCACACUCGCCGUCCCAGAUUAACAUCUAGCAAUGUAUCAGGGCAACACAUGUUGCCUAACGACGUGAAAUAUUAUUUUGAUCUAAUAAAAAUGAUAAAUUAAACACCCUUUUAAUUUAUCACAAAUUCACACUCGCCGUCCCAGAUUGACAUCUAGCAAUGUAUCAGGGCAACACAUGUGACUGGAAAUAUCACGUGGUAUGACAAAAUCAAAACUGUUCGUUUACCAUGAAACUAUAAUCCAUUCGUCAAUAUGAUCCGAUCAAUUACGAGAUAUAGAAGUCUGUCAAUCUCGAUUAUCGAUCAUAUCUUUCAUUCUACUAUUAAGUCAAUAUGAGUCGAAAACUCCUUUUCGACUUAUGUGUAUACCUUGGCCAAGGAUUUCAUUAUUGACUUAAUUGAACGAAAUGCAGAUCACAAUCUCUUUCUAUCUAAAAGUCACGAAUCCUCUAUUGGUUAUUCACAACCUUCAUAUGGUUCUUGACAUACCCAAACGAUAUCGUAUUAGUGGUAGUGGUCCUUGGUAGAGCAACAUCCAACACCGUCAAAGCAUGAUUGUCCUCAUACAAGGCACUAUGAUGACUUCAAGUCAUAGGACCAAUCCCACUACCGAACGUUAGAGAUUAACCACUGACACUCAGAUAGUUAUCUAUGUGGAAUCUCUUAGCAGGUCUCCAAUAUUUUGCUCUACAAUAAAACAUCCACGUGUUCAUUUAAGUGUAACCACACUUUAGCUUGUGAGAUCAGCUACUUACUUCACAAGUAGGAAAUGUCACACGUGAUGGUCUAUCUGUAAUAACGAUAUCCAUAUCUCAUUACUACUUACGACCACGGAUUAUUCAAGAUCUAAUUAAACGUAAUUUGUAUCUCACAAUCACAACUCCUUGUGAUUAACAAAUCACUUAAACUUGAAUCUUCGUACUCUAUUAUUUAAUAUAAUUUAUCAAAAAAUUAAUUUAAAUAAAUAAUAGAUCUUGCCAAAAUUAAAUACAUUAAACAUAUUAAACGUGUUUACAACCUAAAUCGGUUGAAUCUAGGGCAUAACACUCACAUGUUCUUCGUUAAUUAACUGAAAUAUAAUUGUGUUAAAAAGUUAAAUGGAUGCUUCCACUUACUUGAGCAGGAUAUAUUGGCCCACGAAGAGCAAGAACGUCAAAGAUUAAAAGAUGAAGUGAAAAUGUUGCUAACAGCUGCUCCAGAUGGUUCGGUGUAUAAACUAGAUCUCAUCGAUGCAAUCCAACAUCUUGGAGUUGGUUACCAUUUUGAAAUAGAAAUUGAAAAAUCUUUAAAAUACAUCUAUGAAACUUAUCGUGAAAGUCACAAUAAACAAAACAAUGAUCUUCGUGCUAUUGCUCUUCGAUUUCGGUUAUUUAGACAACAAGGAUAUUAUGUCUCAUGUGGUAAGUAAUUUUUGUUUACGUGAUUCAUAACAUUUUGGGAAAUUGAAUUGACAAUAACAUAUGUAUGCACAUGUAAUAAAAGAUUGUAAUAUGCUUAUUUUCUUAUGCUUCUAAGCAAGUCAAAUAUACUUUAUACAAGUUAGUUAUGAUUUUUAAAGCUACUUUUUUACUUACAAAAUUAACUUUUCUUUAACAUGACCAAACAUGAAUAUGGUACAUUUAAUGAUUUUUCGGGCUGAGGCAGAUGUGUUCAACAAAUUCAAGGACAGCCAAGGAGAAUUUGAGGAUUCUUUGAUUCGCGAUGUACCAGGGAUGUUAAGCUUGUACGAGGCUGCACACUUUGGAGUACACGGGGAGGAAAUUUUAGAAGAAGCAUUGAAGUUUUCUACCUCUCACCUCGGAUCCAUGAUCCACCAGGUGAGCAAUUGUCUCUCCAGACAAGUUAGUGACACCUUGGAGAUGCCGAUUCAUAAAACUUUGACAAAGCUCGGAGUUAAGAAAUUCUUGUCCAUUUACCAAGAAUCCGGUGAAGACAUUCUCCUGAAUUUUGCAAAAUUAGACUUCAACAUAGUGCAGAAGAUGCAUCAGAAGGAGCUAAGUGACAUUACACAGUUUGUUUUGUGAAGCUUCACUGUGUAUAUAUGCACUUAUAUAUUGGUAAAAUUUAUUUACUUUCGGAUGUGAAUUGCAGGUGGUGGAAGGCUUUAGAGUUUGGAAAAAAAUUUCCUUUUGCAAGAGAUAGGCUGGUGGAAUGCCACUUUUGGAUAUUAUGUGUCUACUUUAAGCCCCAAUACUCUCUUUCAAGGAAAAUUCUAACCAAAGUAAUCACAAUGGCUUCUACUAUUGAUGACAUCUAUGAUGUUUAUGGCACCCUAGAUGAACUUAAACUUUUCACAGAUGCCAUUGAAAUGAGAGUUUUGAGUUGUUCUUUGUAUCAUAAUGUCUAAAAGCAUAUUUAUUUAUAGCAAAAUAUAUAAUACAAAUAGAUCCCGAUUUGAUAUUGAAUAUUUUCAUGAGCAGGUGGGAUUUUAGUGCCGUAGAUCAAUUACCAUCGUACAUGCAAUACCUUUACAAAUCUCUUUUAGAUGUUUAUCUCAAAUCUGAGAAAGAGUUAGGAAAAUCGUAUCGUGUUCACUACGCGAUUGAUGAGGUAAUCAAUAUUAAUAAAGUUGCUUGACUUUUAUCAAAAUUACAUCCAAUAUAUCUAAUUGAAGUUUCAAUUUACAGAUGAAAAAAUUAGUCCAAGCAUAUUUCAAAGAGGCAAAAUGGACGUACAACAAAUGUACUCCAAAACUUGAAGAGUAUAUGAAAGUUGCACUAGUAUCCAGUGGCUACAUGAUGCAAUCUACAAUGUCUUUGGUAGGUAUGGGGGAGCUGGUAACUAAGGAAGCCUUUGAUUGGAUUUCAAGUGAACCAUUAUCAGUUCGUGCUUCAUCAAUUAUUGCUAGACUAAUGGACGAUAUGGUUGGACAAGGGGUAAGAUGUCUUAAUUCUUAGAAAUUGAUUUUAUUUAAAUUACACAAGUUCGUCACACGUGUUUUUUUUGUUCUUAUGGCCGUCAACAGAUGAGAAAAAUGUAAUAGCCUGCUCAGCAUUAGAUUAACAAGUUUUGUGUUGUGUUACUUUUAUGCAGUUUGAGCAAAAAAUAAUGGCAGUUGAAUGUUACAUAAAAGAGAAAGGAGCUUCAAAAGAAGAUGCAUUUGCUGUAUUUCAAACACAAGUCAUGAAUGCAUGGAAGGAUAUAAAACAAGAAUCUAUCAAUUCAGAUGUAGUACCAAUGGCUGUUCUCGUACAAGUAGUCAAUCUUGCACGUGUCAUCAAUCUUAUAUACAAAGACGGUGAUGGAGACACAAAUUCUAAAACAAAGUUGAAAGAUUUCAUAACAGCGAUACUCAUUCAACCAGUGACAAUAUCCAAAUGAGCAUAGUAGUGGUGCAGGUGACUUCCAUUUUAAUGUACCACCUCAUUGUCAUCCAUAUUUAGUGCUGUGUUGUCAAAUUCUACAACAUAAUUAGGUCUUGGUUAAGGUUAUUCAAACAUUGAGUUUCCUCGUAUCUAAAUGUGUCAAUAAUUGAACUAUAUAUCUACUAGAAAGCCCUUGGAGUAGCUAAAAAUUUGUAUUUGUUUUGUCCAAUGCUCUAAAUAAUGAUAUUAAUAUUUAAAGUUUAUGUAGAACAAUUAGAAUUGAAAGCUUUGUUAUAAUUCAUUGAUAUUCACAGGGACGGAUCCUCCAAGACCGGGGCUACAACGUGAAAAAAAAAAAAAUUACACAUAAAAAACUGAUUUUUACCAAAAAAUAAAUAAAAAGUACCUUUAAAAAAAAGUUGUUGGGCCUGGGGGGGGGGGGGGCUACAACCCUGCCCUGCCCCCCCCCCCCCCNNNNNNNNNNNNNNNNNNNNNNNNNNNNNNNNNNNNNNNNNNNNNNNNNNNNNNNNNNNNNNNNNNNNNNNNNNNNNNNNNNNNNNNNNNNNNNNNNNNNNNNNNNNNNNNNNNNNNNNNNNNNNNNNNNNNNNNNNNNNNNNNNNNNNNNNNNNNNNNNNNNNNNNNNNNNNNNNNNNNNNNNNNNCCCCCCCCCCCCCCCCUCCAAAUCCAUCCCUGGAACUACUUAUGUACAAAAUAUAGGACACAUUAUAUAUGAAAAUACAUGAUUCUGGGAGCUGUAAAAGGCUAAAUCAAAUCUGUAAAUUGUAUGCUCUCUAUGCAGAUUUGAUGGAGAUUUCUCCAGCAAUAUGAGUAAUAUUGAUUUGCUUAAUUCUGGUGAUUGAUUGCUUAAUUUCCUUAGAUCCAAUAUUUAGGCAUUUAAUUACUACGAAAUUUGUAAUUUAAUGCACAACAAAUUUAUUUAAAGUCGCCGUCCUAAGCAAUUAGUAUUUUAUAGAACAAAAAUAUUCAAAAGCUUAAAAUUAAUAUAUUUGAAAAAAGAUUACAAAUUAGAAAAUUAUAGACAGACCUUGAAUAGUGACAAUUACAGAUACACCCUUUGCUUUGUGCUAUUUUGAAAUACUUAUUAAAUACAAUUACACAAUUUUUCCUUUAUUUCUUAAAAAUUCUUUUCAUAUUUUUUAUUAGUCUUAGUUAAAAGAAUAUCAUUAUAAAUUGUAAUAAUAUCUUAAAAGAUUUUAAAAUAUAAUUUAUUUUCUAAGAAUAUUAUAUGUCUUGCAAAUAUGACCGACAGCUAUUUUUAAAAAAUGAAAAUAAACACGUGUUAUAGUAUAAUUUAAUAAAGAAAAAAUAAUAAUUUUUAAAUAUUUUAUAUUUCUUCAUUUAGUAGCAUUUUCUAUAAUUUUUACUCAUUUAUUCUCUUAACAUUUAAAGUACAUUUAGAGUAUUAAACUAAAAUUCAGUACUAAAAAUCAGAUUUUCACCUACAUCCGUUGGUAAUUAGAAAUGGAUUAUCCGUUAGUAAAAGUUAUUACUUUCGCUACGAUAAUCAGUAACGAAUUUUCCGUUGGUAACAAUGAUAUCUUUUUACCAACGGAUAUUUUGUGCCUCAUAUAAUCAUUUAACAUUUGGAUCUUUCACCUAUGGAAUAUCUGUUGAUAACGUACUGAAUAUUACCAAUGGAUGCAAUCCGUUAGUAAUUAGAAAUUGAUUAACCGUUGGUAAAAAUAAUUUACUUUCAACUACGAUAAUCAGCAAUGAAUUUUUCAUUGGUAACGACGAUAUCUCUUUACCAGCAAAUAUUUCAUGCCUCAUAUAAUCGUUUAACAUUUGAAUCUUUCACCCACGGAUAUUUUGUUGGUAAUUAGAUACAGAUUAUUUGUUGGUAAAAGGAAUUCACUUAUCCUACAUUGAAAGUUCACAACAAAGUCUUUGGAAUUGCCCUCUAUAAAUUAAUUUGUGAUCCAGUUUUUGGUUAAACAAUCUUUUGGCCUUUCAAUUCGGUUGGCUAAAAGUUAAAAAAAUUAAAAUUAUUAAAUAAAUAAUAAUGACAAUAAAAAAAAAUUACCAUGCCUCACAUCUAUGCGGCUAUUUACAAAAUUGAUUUUUUUCCAAUUGUAAUUGUAGACAUUUACUAACGGAAAGUCAGUUGGUAUUGGUUAAGAUUUUUACCAACGGAAAUUUCAUUGGUAAAAGAUUCACACUUUACCAACGAAAAAUUCAUUGAUAAAAUGUUUAUUCUUUACUUACGGCAGAAUCCGUUGCUAACUAUCAGCGACCCUCAAAUUAGCAACGGAUUUGAGGUUGCAAAUAUUUUGUUGGUAAAGAGUAAUAGCAAUGGAUAUAUUCGUGCCGGAAGCCAUUUUUUUAAUAGUGAAUAUCGUAAUAAAGUUGGCAUCAAAGAUUUAGUAGUUUAUUUUUUUUAAGCCAGUAUUUUAGUUCUAUUUUUAAUUUAUUCAUUUUUAAAAUGAGAAAUUAAUUUUAAUUAGUGGUUUUUAUUACUUACUUUAACGAUAAGUAUAACUUUGUACUCAUUGAUCACGGCCAUAAGAAAAGGGACAUAUGCAAUGACUUUAAUUGAAUUGAUACUUAAUUUUUAUUGUAUAUAGAUUGAUUUAUGAGAAACUAGAUAUUGUAUUGCAUAUGAAGAAAUAGGGGCAGAAAUUGAAUGAUAAGGACUAAGAAUGAACAAAUUAUGGAAAAUGGGGACUAAGGUUUAAAUAUUUAAACGAUGAAGGACCAACAAUGUAAAUAGGAAGGGACUUGAGCUGAAUUAAUACAAAAAUUUAGUGACUAACUUGAAUCGGAAGCAAAAAAGAUGAAACUUGCAAUCGCAAGACUCUACCUACGCGAUCACUAGUUUCACCAACAAGUUCAAGAAUAUUAUCAUACGAUCGCAACAAAGAUUACCCUGCAAUCGUGUUGGUCACGAUCAUAUGGCUUUACAAGGUAGAAGAAAUUUUAUUCCUUUAUUUUAAUCAAGAUCGAUCUACAUUGAAUGGGAUUUUGGAGUACAAAUUUCACCUAAUUCUAGAGGCUACUAAGAGGAUUAUUCAUCUAGCAAAAGGGGAAGAUAGUUUUUGGGGUGACAUAAACAUAAUUCUGUACACUAACCAUCAAGAGCUUUGUUUCAAGCAAGAGAGAAAUGGGAUUUCUUGAGCACUCUAUUGAAGACAUUCAAAUAGACUAAAAUUAAUACUCAAAUUUCUUCUUGCAAUUACAUAUUCUGGGUUUGAAUUCUCAAUUUAUUAUGUAUUUUUUGUAAUUUAAAUGUGAUAGGCUAAAUCUUUAGUAAUUCUCAAAUUGUUUUGUCCAAUGUUCUGGAUACUGAUAUUAAUGUGUGGUCCGAAAUUUGAGACAUUAAUUUUGUCUUUAUGAUAGUUGGUCUGAAAAUGCAAUAUCCUCCACAUGGUCACAACAGCACUUGAAAGUUGGAUUUUUCUUAUUUAUUUAUUUUUAAAAACUUGAAUAAACUGAAAUAAAUCACCAUCAACACAAACUGCCAUUUUUAAAAAAUUGAAGAUUGAUACUGUUUCUCUAUUAAAAACACAGUUCAUUUUCUGAUCAAAUUCUAAGACUAAAAUUAGGUAUUUAUAUUCAAAACACAGUUCAUUUUCUAUCCAAAUUCUGAGACUAAAAGUAAAUUAAAAGAAUAUGGAAUGAAUAUUUAAAUUCCUCCAUCGACUUCUAACAUAAUUACCACAAAUGUGACAUUGGUGUUCUGUCACAUAUCAUUCAACCCUUUAAGUGUAUUUCCCUGCAUAUAAUUCUGACCUCACAGUAAAAUUAAUUAGUUCCCCUAUCUUGAAAUAAGGCAUUGCUCUAGAUCUAAUACUUAGGCAUUUAAUUAUCACAAACACUUUACUUUGAUGCACAACAAAUUUAUUUUCAACAUAUGGUUUUCUAGCAAACAGUAUUUUAUUAAACAAAGGGUAAUUGUCAAAAAAGUCCAUACCUUUUAAGUUUAUUGUGAAAAACGUCCCUAUUUUUCAUUUUUUGGCAUUUUUGCCCAUACUUUUCACAUUUUUUUGCGCUGGAUGUCCUUUUCAUCAAUUUCUAUCGUAAAAUGACUAAUAUACCAUCCUAUUUAAAUAAAACAACAAAAAGAAAGAAUAAAUUGCAACUAUAAGCCCAAACUUUUUGAAAAGUGCAAAUUAGUCCAAAUAAAUUAUUAAAAUAAAAAAAAAAAAUCUUUCUCAAUUCUCUUCACCUCCCCUUGCUUACGCCUCCUCCACCACCACCACCACCACCAUUGCCAUCUCCUAAACCACCGAAACUCACACCAUAAACUGUUGACAUCAACCCCAAACACUUAUGAUAAAAAUUGGAUACAAAUACUACUCAAUUAAAAUGGGAUCUAAACUCGUAUGCUUCAAACUGUCCCAAAUUAAAUCAAUUGCGUGAUUUGUACAAAAUUGUUGAAGACCCAGAGUUGUAAUAGCUUCACCAUGAUGAGAGAUUGCUGAAUAUGGUGGUCCGUGAUCAUGAUGUUCACCACUCACCAAAAUUUCGCCUAAAACCUGGGUGAUGAUUGCGUUCAAAAUGUUUGGCUUCAGAUGUUGAUUGGGUGGUUGAAUAGGUGUUUGGGGAUCAUGGUUUGAUUCAUCAUGAUGAGGGGAAUCUACCAAUAUGUUGGCUUGGGUUAGGAAUCGUCAAAAAGGAAGCUGUCAAUAGUUUUGGUUUGUGCGAUUGGCAAAUUUUGGAGAGAAAUUCCGGCCAAUUCACCUGGAGUUAGGGCCAACUAUACAACCUACGCAACAAUUGGCUUGAUUAAAAAGAUGGAUUGAUUAAAAAUUUAUUUAACAAUAAUUUAUUUGGUUGAUUCUAUCAAAGUUCGAUCUUAUCCAAAAUAAUUUUUUCUUGAAUUUAAUAUACAUGAUUAAUUAUGAGUUAUUGAACAAGUCUAAUAUUAUUAUGGUAAUAUGAUUUAAUUUGAAAAGCAAUAUUACAAUUCAGUAGUUUACUUUUAUACAAGAUAAAUUUUUCAUGAGUCCUUUAUGUCCAUAAUAUGAUUAUCGAAAACAACUAGAAUUUGCUACUUUACCUUUUGAAUCGUGCCAAAUAUUUGUUUAAAAUAUAAAUAUUUGAUUUAUUUAAAUAUUCAAGUAUUUUUAGGCAUGUACAGUUAUAUAUAUAUAUAUAUAUAUAUAUAUAUAUAUAGAAUUGGGAAUAUGCGGUUCGUGAGCCUUUAUGACUAUUCUCUUUUGUAUUCCAUUUCAUCCUUCAUACACGGUUCACGGUGAUUUGAUUUAUGAAAAUAUUCAUUUGCUUUUCUUCAAAAUUUAGUAAAUAAAAAUAAAAAAUUAUCGAAAUUGUUACCAAUGAGGUUCUCGACGCAAGGCGUGCAUGGCAUCAAUGUCAACCCUCAAGCCUUAUGAAUCCAAUAUAUUAAAAAAAAAAUUUCUUGUUUUUAACGUGAUUUUAAUUUUUCUAAGAUUAUUUAUAAUAUUUCUUUUUAUUUUAUAUAUAUAUAUAUAUAUAAUGUGCAUGCCUAGGCUUGAAUGAGUCGCGCCUUCUUCACUAGUGUAACGACCCAAGCACAUGAAACUAACUAGCACAAAUUAAUCAAUAGAAGAAACUCAUACCCUAAUAAAAUAUAUUCCAAACAAAUGCUAAAAACCAUGCAUAUCACAUUUAUUAGAUAAAUAAUAAAAUGUUAAUUUCACUAAUAUAGCUUGACAUAGAUUGAAAAUUAUAACCCAAUAAAUCAUAUUUGUUGUAAAAGAAAAGUUUAUUAGAGUUUAGAGAUAAAUGACAAUUACACCCCCGUAGUCCUUGAAAUAAUUACUGUUGUAUACCUGAUACUGCCCUAUAAAUACAGGGCUUUAGUUCUUAAUAAAAUACAUACAAGUCUAUUGACUUCUCUCUGUUCUCUUCACUUUUCUUCUCUUUUCACAACGUGUUAUCAGCAUAAAAGCUUAAUUUUUUCAAGGUCUAGUGAAGAUAGUAUUUCUUUUAAAAGCAUAAUCAUCUAUUGCGUGUAUCAAAACUAAUUUGAUUACAUGUAAAAUUUCUUUUACAUAUACACAGUUAAAUAUCCUAGUUAUGGUAUUGCACCCGCCGCCAGUACCUAGCUUCUUGAUUCUUUCAAAUUCAAUGAUUCACGCAAAUUUGAUUCUGCAUAUUGUUGCUACUAAUUAAAUCUGUUAUUGCGCCUAAAAGGAAAUUCUUCGGUAAUUAGUAGUUGCUAUUAAUUAAAUCCAAUAAUUCAAUUUUUUUAGUUAUGUACACGUGUUCCCAAGGUAACCUUUGUGCCAAACUUCUAUUUACUUUAAUUGACUUUUGCACGUUAAUUAAUUUAUGAAAAUUAGCUAUUGCUUCAGACACUUCAUAAUAGGUUUUUUAGAAUUCACGUCAUAAUAUGUGAACUGGUUUCUGUACUUUAAAAAAGAAAUUCAUGUUUACAUGGUAAUUAAAUAUUAUUUUCACGUGCAUGCUUGAAAGAUUUUUUUUCUUUACUUAUACAUUUUUUGUGAUUAAUGCUUGCAUGUAAAUUCAUAUCAUAUCUAUAUGGUAAUUAAAUAUAUUGGAUGUUCUUAUAUAAACUUUAACUUAACAAUUUAUCAUGUUGUUGCUCCUAAAGUAACACAACAUUAUAAUUAAUAUUCCAGAAGCAUAUUAAUUGAAAAUCUAUCUAUUAUAUAUAGUUUGUUGAUGCUUUUGAAGUAGCACAAUAUUAUAAUUAGUAUUCUUAGAGAAUAUUACUUGCUCCUGAAGAGCAUAAAUUAUAUUUUUCAAUAUUCCAGAAGAAUACUAAAAUAUUGCUCUUGAAAAGGUGACAGUAAAAUACGUGUUUCUGAAGUAGCACAUGUUUUGAAGAACAUAUUAUUUUAAAUUAAUGUUUAUCGCUAAGGGAAAACAUGCAACUUAUUUCAUGAUUAACUAUUAUGUGAUGUCUAAUAAUAUUCUUCGAAACUAAUUGUAUUCUCUUUUUACUUUACUGUGUAGUUAAUCAAAUGGCAAAUACCACAAAACUAGAGUUUAUUGCACUUGCAUCUCUGGCAAAAACUAUCUAUCAUGGAUACUUGACGAUGAUAUUCAUCUUGUCUCAAAAAAUUUGAGGGAGACAAUAAAAGAAGAAAACAAAGAAUCCCGCAGGAUCGUACAAAAGCACUAUAUUCCUUCGCUAUCAUCUUCAUGAUGGACUGAAAUUAAAUAUCUCACUGAGAAAGAUCCACAGGUUUUUCGGAAAAAAUUUACUUGAGAGAUUUGAUCAUCAAAGGACUAUAGUCCUCCUCAAAGCCCGCUAUGAGUGGAUGCACCUUUGUUUGCAAGAUUUCAAAACUGUUAUUGAGUACAAUUGUGAAUUGUUCAGAAUAUGUUCAAAAUUGAUAUUGUGUGGAGAAAAAAUCACUAAUAAAGAUAUGUUGGAGAAAACUUUUUCCACCUUUCAUGCAUCGAAUGGCUCUUGCAGCAGCAAUAUCGUGAGCGUGGUUUUAAAAAGAACUCAAAACUUAUAUCUUGCCUACUUGUUGCUGAAUAGAAUAAUGAACUGCUGAUAAAAAAUCAUGGAUUACGUCGAACAAUUGCCUAAAGCAAAUGGCACUAUAUUACCUGAAGCAAAUACAAUAUCAAAACAAGAACGUGGACUUGAAUACGGUUUUGGACGUGCACGCAGAAUAAACAAUGGACGAAAUAAUCAACAAAGUUUUCAACAACAAUGCAACAAUUUCUAAAGGCACAAAGCAGACAAAAGUAGUACAUUAAAAAAGCUAUGAAGAAAGUUGCUUUAGAUGUGGAAUGAAAGUGCAUUGGACACGUACCUGUCAUACAGCAAAACACCUUGUGGAUCCCGAUCAAAAAUCAAUCAAGAGAAAGAGAAAAGUGAAGACAAAUUUUGUUGAUUAUGAUGGUCCAAUUGAUAUGACUCAUUUGGAUGUCUUUGAUUUCUUUGCUGAUCCAAAUGAAAAUAUUUACCAUUUGAUUAGGGAUUGUGUGAUGGAAGAUAUAGAAUAGUUUUUUUUUUCUUUUUUUAUAUAUAUUUCUAGUAUUUCCCUUUAUUUUAGAAAUUUACUUUGAAAUAUGUUUUUACUUUUCGCAAAACUUUUGAACUUUAUUAUGCAUCGUUAAUUUUACAGUAUUCAUUAUGUUAUCAUUUUGAAUUUAAAUUCAAGUUUUUUUUAAAUGUGUCUAUUUUGUUAUAUUGAUAUAUUCAUGAUGGAUUGUCAAGAAACCUACUUGAUUGAUAGUGCAAUUACACAUGCUACUCUUCAAGAUAAAAAAUAUUUCUUGGACUUAACAUUAAAAGAAAAUAAUGUAAAUACAAUAUCAGGCGCAUCGAAUAUCGUUUAGGGCUUUAAAAGAGCUUGUAUUAUUUUACCAAAUAAUAGAAAAUUAUUUAUUGACGAUACACUUUAUUCUAGUAAAUCCAGAAGAAAUUUAAUUAGUUUUAAAGAUAUCUGCUGCAACGGAUACCAUAUUGAGACGAUGUAAGAAAAUAAUACUGAAUAUCUUUGCAUAACUUCUUUUGUAUCUGAUCAGAAGCAGAUAAAAGAAAUAAUUUAUGCACUCACAUCUGGCAUGUAUUAUACAUUUAUAAAAAUGGUUGAAUCAAAUAUUAUCAUGAAUCAGAAGUUCGUUGACCUAAAAAGUUUUAUACUAUGGCAUGAUUGACUUGGACAUUCAGGAGCUAUAAUGAUGAGACGAAUAAUAAAUAAUUCACAUGGACAUUCUUUAAAGAACCAGAAGAUUCUUUUUCCUAAUGAUUAUCCAUGUGUAGAUUAUUCGUAAGACAAAUUAGUCAUUAGACCUUCAACUAUAAAGGUCAAUAUUGAAUCUUCAACUUUCUUGGAAAGAAUUCAUGGAGAUAUAUGUGGACCAAUACACCCACCAUGUGGAUGAUUUUGUUAUUUUAUAGUAUUAAUUGAUUCUUCUACUAGAUUGUCACAUAUUUGCCUACUUUCCACCAGGAAUGUAGCAUUUGCUAGACUACUUGCUCAAAUUAUAAAAUCACGAGAACCAUUUUUGGAUUAUUCAAUUAAAACUAUUCAUCUUGAUAAUGUUGAUGAAUUUAGAUCACAAGUAUUCGAUGAUUAUUGUAUGUCAAUCAGGAUUGUAAUUGAACAUUCAGUUGCACAUGUCCAUACACAAAAUAGUUUGAUGGGGUCAUUUAUCAAAUGUCAUUGAUGGACCAUUACUUAUGAAAACAAAACUCCCAACUUCUAUUUGGGGUCAUGCCAUAUUACAUGCUGCAUCAUUGGUUCAUCUUAGACCAAUUGCCUAUUAUGAAUAUUCAUUUUUGCAACUGGCAUUUGGUUAUGAACCUGAUAUUUCUUAUCUACAAGUCUUUGGUUGUGCUAUCCAAGUCCCUAUUUCAACCCCACAACGCACUAAAAUGGGUCCUCAACUAAGACUUGGGAUUUAUGUGGGUUUUCAUUCAUCAUCAAUUAUUAGGUAUCUUGAGCCUUUAACGAGUGACUUAUUUACUGUACGUUUUCUAAAUUGUCAUUUUGAUUAAAUGACUUUCCCAACUUUGGGAGGAAAAAAAUUAUAUCCUGAAAAACAAGGUAAAAUUUAUUAGAUUGAAACAAAUAUAUCUCACUUUGAUCCUCGCAACAAUCAUUGUGAGCAAGAGGUUGAAAAAAUUAUUCAUUUGCAAAGAAUUGUAAAUCAAUUACCUGAUAUAUUUGUUGACACAAGAAAAAGUGUCAAAGUUAUAGAUACCAGCAGAAAAAUAUUUCAGCAAAAAUUGAUGUUCCUGAAUGACAAUUUAUUGUGGCAAAUGAAUCUCAAAUAAGCGAAGAGCAUGGUCGACCAGUUGGUUCAAAAGACUCUGUACCUUGAAAAAGAAAAGUACAAGUGAACAACCAACCAAAAAAUUUGGAAGAAGUCACAUCAGAAAUAAUUGAUCAAUCAAAUAUUGAAGAUAUGGUUCCUAAAGAACCACAACUGUUCGAAAAUAAUGAUAUUUCAAUAAAUUAUAUGUUAUCUUGUAAAUUAUGGGAAUGAAAUACUGUUGUUACAAACAAUAUUUUUGCAUUUAAUGUGGCUCUUGAUAUUAUGCAAAAUGAAGAUCAUGAACCACAGUUGUUUAAAGACUGUCAAAAUAGAAAUGAUUGGCAAAAAUGGAAAAAAGCCAUGCAGGCAGAAUUAAAUUCUUUGGAGAAAUAAAAAGUGUUUGGACCAAUUGUUCAAACACCUAAAAAUGUAAUCCUUAUUGGAUACAAAUGGGUUUUUAAUUGAAAGGGAAAUGAAAAUAAUGAAAUUACAAAGUACAAAGCUCGACUAGUAGUUCAAGAUUUCUCACAAAGGCUAGGAAUUGAUUAUGAGGAAAUAUAUUCUCCCGUAAUGGACACAAUCACUUUUAGAUUUUUAAUUAGUUUGACUAUGUCACAAAAUCUUGAUAUGCGCAUUAUGGAUAUAGUAACUGUAUAUUUGUAUGGUUCACUUGAUAGUGACAUAUAUAUGAAUGUCCUUGAAGGACUUAAAGUACCAGGAACAAACAAUAUAUGCCCGAGAACUAUGUUCUCAAUUAAAUUGCGAAAAAUCAUUAUAUGGAUUAAAACAAUUCGGACGCAUGUGGUAUAAUUUCCUUAGCGAAUAUUUGUUGAAGGAGGGUUAUAAUAAUGAUGAUGUCUAUCCAUGUGUUUUCAUAAAGAAAACAAAUAUUGGAUUUGCAAUAGUGGCAAUUUAUAUUGAUGAUUUAAAUUUAAUUAGAACUCCUGAAGAGCUCAACAAAAUUGCUGAUUAUUUGAAGAAUGAAUUUGAGAUUAACGAUUUGGGAAAAACCAAAUUUUGUCUCGAAUUGAAAAUUGAACAUUUCGCAGAUAGAUUACUUGUUCUUCAAUCUACGUAUAAAGAAAAAGUUUUAAAAAUUUUUUGUAUGAAUAAUGCACAUCCAUUGGCAUCACUUAUGAUUGUUUGAUCACUUGAUGUGAAAAAUGAUCCAUUUCGUCCACUUGAAGAUGGAGAAAAUGUUUUUGGUCCUGAAAUAUCAUAUUUUAGUGCAAUUGGAGUAUUAACAUAUCUUGUGAAUUGCACUCGAUCCAACAUAGCUUUUUCUGUAAAUCUCCUUGCAAGAUAUAGCUUUACACCAAUUUAACGAUAUUGGAAUGGUGCUAGACAUAUUUUUCGUUACCUAAAGGGUACUAUUUAUUUUGGAUUAUUUUAUUCUCAAAAGUUAAGGUCUACUUUAGUGGAAUAUGCAGAUGCAGGUUAUCUAUCUUACCUACAUAAAGCUAAAUCACAAACAGGUUAUGUGUUUACACGUGGAGGAACGACUAUAUCAUGAAAAUCUAUGAAAUAAUCCUUGACAGCUACAUCCUGAAGUCAUUCCAAAAUUAUUGCAAUUCAUGAAGAAGGCUGAGAAUGUGUAUGGUUGAGAAACAUGACCCAUCAUAUCCAAACAUCAUGUAGGUUAACUUCAAUAAAAGAUAGUUCAACAAUUUUGUAAGAAGACAAUGGAGCAUGUAUUGCACAACUCAGAGAAGGUUAUAUCAAAGAUGACGCGAAGAAUCAUAUUUUCUCCAAAAUUCUUUCAUACACAUGAUCUUCAAAAAAAUGGCGACAUCGAUAUCCAACGAAUCCACUCAAGUGACAAUGUGGUCGAUUUAUUCACAAAAGCACUGCUAACAUCUACAUUUAAGAAAUUAGUUCAAGAGAUUGGAAUGCGUUGACUCAAAGAUCUUCAGUGAUCAACAUCAGGGGGAGUAGCUGUACUCUUUUUCCUUUGCUUAGAUUUUAUCCCACUGGGUUUUCUUAACAAGGUUUUAAUGAUGCAACAUUUAUUUUUAGUACUCCAAAAUAAUUGUACUCGUUUACCUUCAUUUGAUUUUUUUCCAUUGAAUUUUUAUCAAAUAAGGUUUUAACGAAGCAGAAUUUUGUAAUGUGUCAUUUAAGGGAAAUUAUUUUAAAAGGAAAAUUUAUUAGGGUUUAGAGGCAAAUGACAGUUACACCCCUGCAGCCCUAGAAAUAAUUAUUUUUGUAUCUCUAAUUAUGUUUUAUAAAUACAGGGCUUUGAUUUUUAAUAAAAAACACACAAGCUUAUUGACUUCUCUCUGUUCUCUUCACUUUUCUUCUCUUUUCACAACAUAUCUUAAAUAUAUAACUAAAUCAUUAUGAAAUAACUAAGAUAAUGCAGAAAUUAAAAUUGUCUCUUUACAUCGGAUUAUUUUAUUGAAUCCCAUUAAUUCUGGCACCUCAAGUGCACAUCAUCGCUCGUCAACAAACUAUCCGUUCUAACAUGUGAGGAGUAGGGAAAAAUGGUAUGUGAAAAUACUCAAUAGGACACGAAAAUGGUGGUGCAAUCCCAAAUAAAAAUAUUUAAAACAUGCAUAAAAAAUAUCAUACCGUCUUCAUAUCUUUAGAAACUAGUAAGAGCUCAAUACAUAUCAGAUCUUUGGAGCCGCAUGGCCAUAUCAUACAUAUCAUAUUAUAUCAUAUCUUUAACUUUCAUAAACAUAAUAAUUUAACAACAUGCAAAAAACAAUUUAAAAGGGAUAAAAAUCAAUGGCUCCUCAUUAUCCUAUCUUGCUUGAUCAAUCAAAUUUUGAAAGGAGAAAGCAGGUUUCCAAUAUUCAUUUUUUUGCCUACCACUGCAGUCGUGUGCGUAUGAAUAUUCUACUAUAGAAUAAAGAUAUAAAUGAAUAGUCUUUAAGUUAAAAAAAACAAUUGAAUUUUUUGGUAAAAUAGAAUUACAUAGAGCCGUGUGCCACAAUGCAGAGGUCACUAUCAAGAUAAUGCCCCCGUUUAGCCUCCAUUUUCUGGAAAUGAAAAUGGGUGGAAUAGUAUUUUUUUGAAAAAUAAAUGGUUGAAAAAGAGAGAAAAGAUUUCGAUUUACGUGUAAUAUUAUUUUAUUGAAGAUUGUAUGGUUGAAAAAUAAGGGAGAAAAAAUGGAAUGUAAUGUAAUGAAAUUUAAUGGAGACCAAACGGGGUUAAUAUUUCAUCAUUAUCCCAUUCAAAAAAAUAAUAAUAAAUAAAAAAAUAAAUCUCAUUUGUAUCUAAUUCUACACAUGGGUCCUACCCAUUUCAAACCCAAUUUUUAUUUAUCAAAAACAAGUAAUAACAACUUCUUUAAACUUCAAUUACUUUAGCUUCUCUUAUUGGAAUUAACUUUUAUCGAACGUACCAUACAUAAUUAAAUACGAACUAUCCAAUGAGCCCCAUAUUGAUUUAUUUUUCAUCGCUUUAUCAAUAUCUAAAUAUUUGAUCCAAAAUUUGAAUUAAUUUAUACAUCAAUUUAGUCCCCCAACUUUUCAAACUAAUAAAAAUAUAGCAUAUAGAACAAGAAAUUCAAGUCUAUAAUUUUUCUUCUUAUUUAUUAAUCUAUUUAUUAUUAUUAUUAUUAUUAUUAUUAUUAUUAUUAUUAUUAUUAUUAUUAUUAUUAUUAUUAUUAUUGGUUUUACAACUAGGCUCAACUAGACCCCACAGGCUUCUUCCACCUUUUCGAAUACUAAGGGUGUGUUUGAUUGCGAGCAUAGAUUUACAUGGAAAGAAAAUAAGUUCUAAACAAUUGAAUUGACUAGAAAGUAUUUACAUGAAAAUUGUUGGUUAAAUGUAUUUGAUUGAUUUUAUUUUCAACCUAGAAAAUAUUAUAUUUUUCCAUUUUUUAUUGGUUGGUAGAUGAAAGAGAUAAAGAGAGAGUGAAUUACUAGGAAAAUAAAAACAUACUCCUCUAAAAAAAAUAUUCUCCUUGUUUUCAAAAUAAUAUAUAUAUAAUUAAGUACCAAUAGUAUGGAUUUGGUACUUAAUUUACUCUUCCACCUGCAAGUUGGUCUCAAAUUUGAGCAAAUAACUUCUCAACUUUUCAUUAACGUUGCGACCUAGCUCUUAGUUCGGAAUGUCAAUAGGCGCAAGCUGUCAUCGAAUUGUUUGUUUGGCUCAUGCCUAUAAAUGCCUUGGCUCAACUCUGAGGCAAGUCUUAGGGUAAGCAAAGUCGAGAACUUCCCGUGCAAGUGCUGACUCAUUUUCGCAUUUUUUUUCCGUCUAAAAAUGUUGCAAUUUCUCAAACAGUUUCUUCCCAUCUUUCUACACUGUUCCAUAAUUUCGUAUAUCACUCAAUAGUAUUAUAAAUUUGCAAUUAUUCUUACUGUUGUCAUUUUUUUUUGCAAUUAUUGCUUCAACUUCUCACUACUCACCAGUUACCAACCAUUUAUUGCUUUUUCCUUCUAUUUUCGACGAAAUUUCGAAUGGAUUAUAGUGGACUGAACCCCAGUUAGGAUGUCCAAAUAAGUAUUUCAGAAAAAGAGAAAAAAAAAUUGAGGCAAAUAGUUUUGUUUGGUUUCAAACGGUUUUUAACUAUGAAAAUCUAAACCUAAUAAUUUCUAUGCGGCACCUCAAUUUGAAGCCGAAAUAUAAACGGAUACUUAUGGAACAAACCAACAGUUUGAUGGGUUGCGAUUUCUAUUCACCUGAAGUAGAAACCAUAAAUAUAUUAUAAUUAGUAAGUUGUGGAUUAUACAUAAAAUGAUCUUUACAUUUAAGGUCAUUGGGUAUCCACGUUAUUCACAAAAUAUUAUCAACAUUUUCAUUGCCAUCUUUAGAGAUUAUUAUUAUUAUUAUUAUUAUUAUUAUUUUGUGAACAUAAAGUCAUAGUUUCACUUUUGAAAAUGCAAAUGAUAAUAAUAAUGUUAAAGAUUUAUUGAUUAACCUACUUCAUCCUCAUUUUGAUGCCCAACUUUUCCAUUUGUUCAGUGUUUCUCAUAUUUUUAAUUUAAAUGUACAAGAUGACCUUAUGUAUUUAAUCUACGGCAAAAAGUUUAGACAUCUUUUAGAAAAAAAAAUUGAAAAAUAACCCCAUUUUAAAUCUUUGUGUAUGUGUAACUAUUUUUUUUUCUCAAAACAAUACCAUGUUACUUCAGUUCACAGAAUUUAACAUAUUUUUGUUACUUUUGUAUUAAAAUCAAAAUUUCAAAUCUACAUUUUUUAUUACAUGUUAAAAAUCACAUUUCACAUGAGUUAUAUGCGUGUUACCAUGUUUACUUUUAUAUAUUACUCUAAUACUUAUUUUUUAUAUAAGAGUAAGAUAUGUGUUACUUGUAUUACUCAUGUUACUGCUAAUCCAGACUCUAACACCAUCCCAUCUAAAACAGUUUCCAACCAUUACUGCAAUCUUCCACCACCACCAUCACAUCCCAUUGCAAAUUAUUAGGUCGGAUUUCUCUGAUCUCAACCAACACCAUCCGAAUCAAAUCAUUCGAACUCACUUCAAAUUAAUUUCAAGUAUGGAUUAGCACAGGAAAAAGUUACAAGCAGAUUAUGCAAUUUUUGAAGUCUAACCCAGCCAUUGAAGGAAAACCAAAAAAAUAAAAAUAUAAUAGUAAUGAUUGAGAUUUAAAUUUGAAAACAUAUAGCAUGAACUUCAAAAUUGAAUUAUGGAACUGCAGCUUUCAUGGAACGAGAAAGCAGAUAUUGAGUCACUUUGGUUUGGACAAAAAGUCUGCCACUAUUUCUUCCAAGUCCAUUUAAUCAGCACCUAGAACGUCCAGUGGAUCCAAAAUAGGAGAAAAUAGUGCAGAUCUGGUAGUAAACGUGGUGACAAGUGACGAUCAGUGUUGUUAAAUUUGGGGUGGGAUGGUGCCGUAUUUAUUGGCCAACAAAAACUGGAUCGAAAGGGGAACAAAGUGUAGAUCUCACGAUGUUGGUGGUUGAAGAAGGUGAUGAAUUGGUGGGAGAAGUGUCAGCGGCGAUAGGCGUUGGAGGUGGUGAAAGUAGUGGUGGCAGGUUGAUGUCUGGAGGAUUAUGUUUGGUGACUACUUCUUCCAUUCCAUAAAGAUGAGCUUACUUUUCUUUUAUGUAUGUCCCAAAUUUUAGGCACUUUCCUUGGUGGUAUAGUUAAUUUCAUAAAAAUUACACCCAACCAUAAUUUUUAAGAUUCAACUUAAAAAAUCAAUUUUGAAAUUUUUAUAUACAAAAAUCAGAUGAUAAUAUAAUAUUAUAAAUAUUAAUAAUAAUAUUACAAAAAUUAAAUUAUUUUACAUAUCCGCUCCACUAUCAUCUACCAUCCCAAAUCCUAAUUAUUUCCCAAUCUAUUCUUUCUUUCUCUGGUGAACCAUCCAUUUUCUCUUCUUCUCACAUCUCUCUCUACCCUCCCCCUCCUAAAAUUGCCCCAUUGCCCACCAUCACUGUCACUACCACCACACCCAUGGGAAUGCAUCAUCCGUCGAUCUGAGAUCUCAUAGCAGCACGAUCUGAGAGCCAACAAGUGAAUCUAUUUUUUCGCUCUCUGUACCAGUGCCUCCUCCAUUUUCUUUUCAUCUCCCACAUCGCGAUGCCGCUGUGUCGCCACCAUGCCCAGCGCUAUACGUUGCUCAUCAAUCUGGGAGUGACGUUGGUCUGAGAUCUUUGAGCAACACGAUCUGAGAGACAUCGAUGGGUUCUAAUGGUGUGGUGCUGUGGUGGUGGUUUUGAGGUUGUUGUGGUUGCGGUACGGUGUGGUGUAGUUGAUUGUGUGAUUUGUGGUUGCGGUGUGGUUGGUUGGUUAGUUGACGUUGGUGGUGGUGGUAGUCAUGAUUGUGCUUUGUGGUGGUGUGGUUUUUGCAUUGUUGUGUGUGUGAUGGUUGUGGUUAGUGUUGUGGUUGCCGUGGUGUGGUGAUUGCAAGGACGGACAUAGUGGUGAUUAUUUGUUUGAUUGUGACUCACAAUUUUUUAAUCAGUGACCAAGAAAUAACUUGUAACUAAUUGAUUUGAUAAUUUGUGACCGUUAAAUAAAAUAUGACCUAUAAAACUUUUGAUUUGUGACCGUGAAAUAAUUUGUGAUCAAGUGAUUCAAUAAUUUUGACCAAAUUGUAUAAAAUUGUGACCUUAAUAUAUUUAACUAAUAAAAUAUGUUUAUAGUUAAUUAUUUUAUAAAUGAAAUUUAAUUAAAAUCUUAUUUUUGAAAUUUUAAACCUUAUUUCUGAAUUUUGAAAUAUAAAAUUUUUCCUUUUCUAACGUAUCCCGAUUUAAUGUGCAUGUUACCCAUAAAUAUGAGCUACUCCUAUUUAAAUCAUUAUUUAAUGUACGGAUAUAUUAAAAAAAUUAUAUUUUCAACUAUAUUAAUUAUAUUUUCUUAAUCAUGUGAAAAUGGAAACAAACCAAACUUUAUUGGAUGGAUUGAGUAAUUAAUAUUAGACUUAGGGUUUGCUAAAUAUUUGUACACUAUAAAAGAAGUAUUUAAAUGUUUGACAAUGGGUAAUUCUCCAAAAAAUUUAAUUAAAUGUAGGUGAUUUUUUUUAAAUGGGCUAUUUUCCAGUUUUUAAAAGAAAAUAAGGCUUAUAGCAUAAUUAUCACUUAAGAAAACAUUCAAUCUAGACUUUUAAAAUUUUUUUAUUACAAGUGACAGACUAGUGCGAAAUUCGUAAAUGUGUAUUGACUUUUACAAAUUUGUGUAAAUUUCAUGAGAAUCUUUCAUUCACUUCUCAAAUUUUUCUUUCAAGGGCUUCUAUAAGCUUCGUUAGACUUUGAAAGACUAUUACUUUUGAGAGAGAGAGAGGCCUUGUACAUAAUGUUAUAUUAAUUAUUGCAUAUUCUUAUUUUAUUAAUUAUAUGUUGCAAUGUAAUACUAUUUUGAACCGCUACUAAUGUAACCAAAUUAUGGAAAAAUAAAAAUAAAAGAUCAUAUGCAACUAUAAACAUUGAGUAAACGACAGUAAUAUAUUUUUCAUCCGUAUCAACUCAAAGGAUAUUUACAAUGCUCGUUAGGGAGCUAUCAAGCCACACGUUACACUGAAAUUCGGAAUGAGAAUCCACAUUAGCUUCCCUUUGAAUUGAUCAUCGGAGGUCAUUAAGGAGCCUAUCAUUCUAGAUAUUCGCAAAAGAACUGGCUCUUCUUGAGCGUAUAAAGAUAAGUUAUGCACGGCCUCUACUGACUUCAUAAAAGAGAUUAUUAUUGAUCCCAAAGGCAACGCAAUGAUUGAGAUUAAUGACGUAUGAAAUAUGUAACAAGAUCACAAAUUUGAAACAAGAUUUAAAGUAAGGUAAUCAAAGAGAGUCAAGCACAGGAAACGAUAUUUUAUUAAAAUGACGACAUGGAGAGAAAAUUACAACACAAUAAUUUAAGCUUUAAUUAAACUAAAAGAAGGGCCAUUUAUAGGUAUAAACCAUACCAUAAAGAUAAAAAUAAUGUGAAAUAAUGGAAUAAUAUAUUUCCAAUAAAAUCAUGUGAAAAUAAAGAAACAAUAUUUUUCCACGAGAAAAUAAUAAAACAAUUUUCUUUUUCCUAAUUUGAAUCAUAAACCCAACAAUCUCCACAUUGAUGUAAAUUCCGAUGCAACGAAAGAAGUUAAAAAAAUUCCCCUACCUGAGAAAUAAGUCUGUCUGCAUUGAAAUAGCCAAACUUAACACAAUAACCAAAACUCCCCAUCACACACACACACGCAAAAAAAAUAAUAAUAAAUAAACAAAUAAAUAAAAAAUCUUCCUCUGCCCAACAUCCACAAGCGAUACUGAAACCCAACUUCCGAGUUCCCAAAAUUCCACAAAGGAAUUACUAUUGAGCAAACAGGGUUGAAGCACACACCGGUAGCAGAAAUCACACCAAAUGCCUGAUCACAAGGACUUUUAGUAGAACUGUCACCUUCAACGAUUCUGAAAGCGUUAUAGACAUCACUAACACCAUUGUAUCUACUCUCCAUGAAUCCAACCCUAGCAACUGAAUACAGUAUAUCUGUUAAAAUUGGUGGCAAAGUGGAAUCACCAAUGCUCCCCUAAGCAAUGUUCUGAGCCGACCCAAAGCCCGUCACAAGAGGUACUGUACUAAAUUGAACAUCCACAACGGUAUUGAACUUUUCCAAAUGUCUCUUAACUAGUUACGUGCUUCUCUACUAGAUGUACAAUUGUGACUUCUUCCAUCCCUCCAAUACAACCCGGACACCCCUUCGGAGUUUCAAGACUCUACCUUGGCCAGAAAAAUUAUACCCUAGGCUACUUAGCGAGAUGAGUUUCCUUUUCAAGUCUGAAAAAUGUCGAACUUGAUCAAUUAUUCAGACCGUCCCAUCCUGGAAACUUAAUCUAACUCGACCUAUUCCAACAACAGGGCAAGACUGGUUAUUUCCCAUCAAAACUCCACCUUGCUUGAUAGCUCUAUAUGUCUUAAAGAAAUUUCGAUUGGAAUACAUAUGAUACGAACAUGCCGAAUCAAGAAUCCACUCCUCAUCAGGUUUAGACUCCACAAUCAGAUACCACGGUCAACAUCACAGCACCGCCAUCUAAAAAAUCCUCAGUAACAUUAGUCUCGUCCGAAUUGCGUGAUUUCCCCUGUGAUUUGCAGCUAAAUUACCUUUUGCUUGCAACCUAUUACAAUCUUUCUUAACGUGUCCUUUCCUCCUACAGUAGAAGUAGUACAAAUUGCUGAAUUUUGUCCUCGAUUUACCCUUCCGUCGAUCACCAUAAAAUACUAGAGCUUCCUCAUCCCCCGAAGUAGCUCCAACAUCGUAGACAUCCUCAAUGGUCAAAGUAUCACGGCUGUAUAGGAUGGUGUCCCGAAAUGGCGAAUAAGAAGCGUGGCAGCAAACACAACAAGAUCAAAGUUAGGUCCUCCUCAUUUUACUUAACCUCCAAUGUCUCUAAAUCUGCAACUAUUUUCUUGACCACAACAAUGUGGUCUUCUAGUGGCCCUCCUUCCGCCAUGCAAUGGGAAUAUAGCUUUUGCUUUAGAGCCAGUUUGCUAGUGAGACUUUUAGUCAUGCAUAAUUGCUCCAGUUUCAGCCACAAAGCAGCCGUUGUUUUCUCCUUUAAGAUGUCCUAUAGAAUAUUAUUUGAUAAAUGAAGAUGAAUCUACGAUAAAGCAUUUUGCCCUCCGUUGUAUCUCCUCUAUUGUCCAAUUAGUUAGCAUCUUCUCAAAACCCAGCAAUGCAUCGUCCAAAUUAAACUGCGCCAAAAUAGCCUUCAUCUUUACUUGCUACAGAAAAAAUCUUGUAUUGCUAUCCGAUAGCGAUAUAUCAUAUUUCAAUGUAGCCCUCUCUAAAAAUCCCAACCAAAUCACAAAGAACAUACAGCCUAACUCUGAUACCACUUAUUAAUCCCAAAGACGACACAAGGAUUGGGAUUACUGACGGUGCAUGAAAUAUGUAACAAGAUCACAAAGAUGAAACAAGAUUAAUAAUAAUAAUAAUAAUAAUAAUAAUAAUGAUAAUAAUAAUAAUAAUAAUAAUAAUAAUAAUAAUAAUAAUAAUCAAAGAGAGUUAAGUAGAGAAAAUGAUGUUUUAUUAUAACGACGACAUGGAGAGAAAAAUUACAUCAUAGUAAUUUUGGCUUUAACUAAAUUGAAAGAAGAAGUCACUAUUUAUAGGUAUAUACCAUACCAUAAAAAUGAAAAUAAUGUGAAAUAAGGAAAUAAUAUAUUUCCAAUAAAAUCACGCGAAAAUAAGGAAACAAUUUUCUUUUUCCUAAUUUGGCACAUAAACCCAACAAUUAUUAGAUUGUGAACUCCAGCAAAUUUGAGACCCUCUAAAAUGGCAAUAUAAUCCUCAAAAAAUGGAGACAUAUUACCCAGAAUGAUUUUGACAUUGCAGCAUUUGAAUCACCUCUUUAUAGUUCCUUCAAAUGAUCAUUCACGCCAUAUAAACUGACCCUAGAUCCUUGUGGCAACGUCACCCUUUAAUUUAAGCUUAUUUUUCAGUGGUGGUAGCCACCUACGCAUUGAAACAUCUACCUGAGGUUGCGGGUCAGUACCGCGGUUAUCAAUUAUCAGUAAGCAAGAAAACCAGUCGUCCCUUUAAGAAUUCUAGCAGUCUCACUCUUAUGUUGGACUCCAUUAAAAAAAAUUUAAUUUUUCUGUACCAACAAUACCACAAUGUUCCAUCACAAGCUUUGAAAACACUACACUAGACUGUUGUCGAUUUGGCUAACAAUUUCAUUUUCCAAACCUCGACAAUCCUUUCACACUUGAUUAAGGAGCGUAGUACCCUCCACUCCCAUUUUUACAUAUCUCCAACUAUCUUCAGAUGAAGAAUUUGAUUUACUCGGCAUAUUUGCACACCAUAACAAACUUCACCAUCCUACUAAUGGGUUUGAGCAUGCCUGGGAAUUUCCUAUCUUUUAGUGACACUACGAGCCAAUUUCCUAAUUUAAUUGUGUAAUUACCUUUUUGUCAAAUACCAUAUUUGUAUACAAUCAUGCUACGCAUACAUUAUUUUUUACUUCAUUUUUGACGUUGUGCCAUUUGGCAACACACAAUUAGUCAGUUUCAAAAAAAUAAAAAAUAAAAAAUUCUCGUCCACAACUUUUUGAAAACCAAUGAAAUGUAAAGAAUGAUGUCAACUAAACAAUGUACACUUAGCAUUAUUCUAUUGGUAUCUCUAACACAUAGUACGAUAAGAAUGAGCUCCGUAUCAAUUGGUAAAGGGUGUGUCAGGAACCCAAUGACAGCUAAACACGGAUAAACAAUAUGACAGUGGAGAAAAUAAUUGUCACGUUGAAUUCAAGUCGAUGAGGUGUCCAGGUUUAUUAUAAUGCGCCAGCUUUGUUCGACAUUGAAGAGCAUCAAGUCCUUGAAAUGGAUUCCUCUCAUUACCCUCUUUUGUUCCCGACCAGAAAGUUGCAUCUGAUCUUCUCAAGUCAUUGAACAAAUUGACAACUGAAAAAUGGUCAUAGUAUAAAUUGAGAUCGACUGUGCUACAGCCUUUAUAAGAAUAUCUUUUCCUUAAAUGGAGAAAACUUAUGCCUCAAAAACUACAGUUUCUUCUAAACUCUUUCCCCAACUCCAUCAUAAACACUUUUUUUGCGCGCCCAGUUACCGAUGGUAGCCCCAGGUAAUUGCCCUGCAAUUGAACUUGUUCUAACUCAUUAUACUUUACCGACUGCUGGAUAACUAUGCUGUGUUAGGGCUGAAAGUCAUGGCUCAUUUCGUGAUAUUAACUCUCUGUCCCCACGAUGACUUGUAUGUGUCAAAACACUAGGUUAUCAUCAGGAACUUUGUUAUUUGUCUACUGAUUUUUGACACGUUGGUUGACACUUACAUUGUCGUCAAAUGUCAAUUGAAUGGAAAAAUUAUUUGAAAUUUAUACUGUUCAAUAUAAUAAUGCUAUAUGAUAAAGUGUAAACUAAAGUGUACACCAUAGUGUACAUAUAACAAAGUUCUAUCAUCAACGAGAAACAGGUGAUUAACUAAUGGUCCAUUCCGAGAACAACUGAACCCUUAUCUUUCAGCUCUUUGAAGAAGUCUCAAGAACCACUUUGUGCACAAAGAUAAUAGAUAUAGCAAUCUUGCUAGAGGAUUUUAACACCUUGGAUAACAAAAUGCUCAUGGCGUUACAUCAUUUGAUUGUUUUAGAAAUAGUCAACAUUGCCAUCCAAUCAUUUUUUUGCUACAACUUCAUCUGUCAACUAAUUUGUUAAAUUCCUCUGGCAAAAUAGCAUAAUUCUAGAUAUGGGGACAAUGGACACCGUUGUCCAAGUCCUCUCAAUGGAACCGAUUGUCCAUGGUGGUCACCAUUAAUAAGAAAGAGAACCUUAAUGUGGUUAAGCAUUUUAAAAUCAGUUGUUUCCAUCGACUCGAUAACCCGAGUUCUUCCAUCACAUAUAUGAUGAAAUCCCACGUGACUCUAUCACACACUAUACUCAUGUCUAGCUUCAUAGCCAUGUACCUAAUCCUUAUAUUUGUCCGUCUUUUAAGCGAGUGCAUGAGUUCAAAACCCAAGAUGAUAUUAUAAGAAAUUAGCCGUACCAGGAUGAAAGCAAUCUCAUAUGGUGAAAUGAUAUUUGAAUGCAGAAACAGUUAGCAACAAUUUUUGAGAUCACUUCGAAGAUGACGUUACAUUAACUUAUAGGCCUCUACUUAUUGGUGCUUCUAGGAAAUUUAACCCAUCAGAAUAAGCGUCAUUACAUCACCUACUUAUCGUUUGGAAAUUCUAAUGAUUGAUGAUGAUUAAGAACACCCAAAUAGGAAGUGAUCGUGUGAUGGCCCAUUUUAUACUAGUCAAAAGUCAAGCUUUUGUUCAAAGGCAAAGAUUCAACUUGUCAAAGUCAAAGUCAAAGUCAAAGUCAAAUGGAACUAAAAUUGAAUAAAUUAUUUUAUUGAGGCAUAUUUUAUAAUGAAAAAUAUUUCGAGGGUUUAAGAUGGAUAAAAUUUAUAAUUGGGGAUUUAUUUUCCUAUUUUUGUAAGUUAAUGAUUUAAUGUUAUAGUAUAUGAAAGUUGGAGGACUUAAUUUUAAAUGUUGGUAUUACUGGACUACAAUUGUCAUUUGUAUAACUCAUUUCCUCCAUUUUAUGUAUACACACAGAAAGCUGAGGAACUGAUAUAGAGGGUAGAAAACAGUGAAAAGAAAAGAGGAGAGAGGAGAAAGAAAAGCAGAAAGAAAUCAAUUGUGCGUGUUUCUUUUCUCGAAAAUCAAUUGUGGAAUUGGUAAUCUGGUGUUAUUAUAGAUAGGUGGCUUGGAUUUUCAACAAAAGUUUUGUUUGUCAUUAUCAUAUAAUCGAAGUUAAUGCUCCACCAAAUCUUAAUUUUAUUACGUGCAAUUCCUAUUUCUAAACAGUGGAGGUCCCAUGGAUCGCCGGUGGGAAAGAUCCAGUUUUUUGGGGAACUGAAGAGUGGCAAUUACAGAUUGAGCCCCCAAACUUUGUAAAAUGUACUGCUUAAAAUCCCUAUUUAAGCUUUCUCGGCAUUUGCGUCCUGACAUCAAGCCCAUGUUGGAUUUAGCUAAAAAAUAAAUAGAUUUUUAAUAAAAGUUAGUAAAAUUUAUUGAUCCCGUAAAAUAUGUUAUUGAAAAUAAGUUUAAAAAAACGAAUUAUAGAGUGUGUGGAUCAAACAAGUCUAAAUUUGGUAUACAAAUUCAUUCAUUUUUCUAUUAAAGUGAUAUUAUUUACACAAUCCUUUUACUGGAGGGAUUAUUACGGUAGGGAUGUUAAAUAUAUGAAAGUCCAGCUCAAGGUUGUAGCUAAAUCGAGUCAACUAGAUUGAACUUUAUGGCUAAAAAAAAACUGACCUGACACAGUCACACAGACCGCUAUAAUAGACAGACCAACUUGUGCAUAGGUCCAAUUUAAGUACCCGUAGCAUAGCCAUCCAUUUUGGCAAACACCAUAUUAUGGAAUAAAACAAUAUUAUCUAACAUUAGUCUAGGUGACCGUAAUUUUUAUGUUUAUUUAAAUGAGUUAUGUGGCUUUGCAAUUAAUAGAACCUAUUAUUUAAUACCAUGUAAUUGUUAUAUAAACUGGUGCUUAACACCAAUGCAUAUGAAUUGCAUUACUCUAUAGUAUAACAUCUUCAUUUCACUCCAAAAAAAAAAAAAAAAAAAAAAAAAAAAAAAAAAAAAAAAAAAAAAAAAAAAAAAAGGUAAGAAAAUACAAAGAAAAGAAAAUAAAUCAGGAUGUUGCUUAAAUAAAAUGAUUGAGCUCCAAAUUGGUGUUUUGCUUGAGAUUCGAGAUCUCAAUAACAAUAUUCACUUUCAUUAAUAAUGUUAUCCUUUAAAAAUAUGAUUGAUGAAUUACAUUUUUUUAUUGGUUAAUACUAGUAGUCAGUCAUCACCAUUGGUUGGGAAUUACAAUAAAAUUAUGUGGUUUCUAAAAUAUCCUAUACUUCUUUAGCAAUCUCACACACUUUCCUAAAUUCUUUGGGGGAAAUAGUCAUAAAAAAGGCAUGCAAGGCUUUACUAUUCUAAUUGCAUCUAUCCAAUUCAACCUUAGACCAAUUCUCUAUGGGGGUGAAAGUGACAACACCAUCUACUAUGUACUUAGAGAUAAACCAACCAUUCACAAACACUCAACCAAAUCCGCUCAUCCACAGAUUUCAAAAAUGUUCUCAUUCUCACUUUUCAAUAAGCAUAAUUAUUCCCGUCAAAAUGGGGUGGCACACUCAACGAAGUACUCAUCUAGACUAUGUAAGGUCAGGACACAAACUCAGGCUCUGAUACCACUUCAAAGAAAUCUGAAACGUUCUAAUACCACUUCAACUUUUAGAUUUAUGGAGUUUACAUUCUAGAUUACCAAUUUAUUUCGACCUUACGUGCGAAAUUAUACUAACCAAAGCAACACGUCGCUUUAAUUAAUUUCUAGAUGGUUAAACAUACAAUUCAAUUUAAUCUAAAGUUUAAGUGCUGCAAUUAUAAUAUUGUAGAAAGUAAUAAAUAACACAAGAUAUGAUGAUGAAGAAAUCCCAAUGUGGGUAAAACUCUAGGACCAAACUAGUUACCUUCACUAUAGACAAUUCAGAUAAUACAAUAACAAGCCUAUCCUUGGACCCGUUAAGAUCAAUGUAGUUGUAUGUAAACCCAGAGCAAUAGCAUGAUGAACCAAAAAGUAUCCAGGACCUAUUGUCAAGAGUAAUGAAUUACUGUUUUCAUUAACAGCAUUUAGAUUUGAACCCAUGACCUCAAGGUUAUAAGCCUUGCUAGCUACCAAACUGCUCUACCCCGCACUGAAGAGAAGAAGUGAAAACUAAUAGACAAACAAGAAUUGAAUGUGCCUCUCUACCGCUGCCGCAGCCUUAUGAUCUACUUCCAUAGACACAUCUAGCACUAGAACUUCUGACCUACCUCCUGCAACCUCCUACUGUCGUAGAUUCUUCUAGCCUCCUGUUAAACCUCCAAGUCUACCUCCUGAAGCCUAAUCUGCUGUCUCCUACAGUCUCUUAGUCUGUACUGAAUGUCUCUCCAAAAUGGACCACCAAGAACUGCCUAUUAUUGUGCUUGUAGUUGCGCUUCAAUCCACCUCUCUCAAUCCCCCAAUGAGAGAGUUCCUUCCUCAAAAGAUUAAGAAAGACGGGUGUCUUGGAUUAUCGGACCUUUGAUGUUUUCCCCAAUAUGUGGUUGUUGGAUCUCAAGAAUAAAUAAAAUGAAUCAAUGCUUGGACAUGCUCUUGGAUCUUCAAAAAGAUGAUAUGAAUAUGUUUACUAAGAGAGACACAAUGAACAACCACUCAAAAUUUGUGCUAGGGCUUAGGUAUUUAUAUUUGAAGAUGUUUUGGUGGUAUGUGCUGAGUAAAACACUUAAAAACUCGAACUAAGGGUUUUGCCACAUAAGAAUGUCGUUGGAGCAAAGAUAUAGAGAGCAUUGAUCGAGAGCCAUUCUAUUUUUUCGUUCGAGCGAAAAGCCAAUGAGAAUCAAACGACAGCUAAACAGUCAUCAAUAUUUUCACCAUAACUUUAUCCCUCCGAUGUCUGAUUGAGGUGAUUCAACUUGCGUUGGAAAGAUAACUUAAAGGGAUACAAUUAUUUAGAACUUUGUCCAAAUUCUAAUGUUUUCUUUGUUAAAAAUGUAUUGCAAGUAACAACUGAGAAUUUGGAACAUAACUUGUACGUCUCUUUGAUAUCCUUUAGAUUUUUAAUUGCAUUCCGAUGGUCAUAUGUGAUAUUCUUGGACAUCUUGGACUCCUUCAAUGACUCGAACACUAAUUUACCUCAUCUAUUAAAAAUUGAAACUAAGUCAUUGACUUUUACAAGUGAUCAAUUUAGUCCCAUUUGUUCACAGAAUUGUCAAUUACAAUAUUGGUCCUAACAGUAGUCUAUUGAUAUUAUAUUUCGUAUUUGUAUAAUGUUGAUAUCAUAUUUUGAUUUUGCUAGCUCAAUAUAUUUUUCAGUUUAUUGAUAUAAUAUUUUGAUAGAUUCUAUCUUGAUUGUUGCAUGUAAAAUUUUAUCAAUUUUCAUGUACUUUUGUACUUGGUAUUGUUUGAGUUGAUUUAUUUCAUGAUACAUGCAUGACAAAACAAUUGAGACGCAAUUCUACUUUCGAGUAAUUGAGUUGAUAUGCAUUAGGUUGUGUUCAUUAUUUAAUUAUGACAUAAACGAAUUUGUCACGGAAAGUCAACGGGAGAGUUUUUUAGGUCUACAGUGUGUUAGCAAAAAUUUGUGUCCAAAAUGUCAUUUUAUCGAGUUGUAUUUAGGGUUAAAUAGUCAAGUGUUAGGAGUAUCUUUGAAAAGGAUCAAAAUCAACUCAAUAAGACUAAGUCAUGGCAAAAAAUGCUCGAAAUUGCCAAGUGAGCUGCUCAAGUAGUUUUAGCCGGAGUUGACCUCUUGCUUGACGUCCAAGGGUGAUCAAGAGGGUUGUGUCAUUCGGGCAAAACCUAGUUCGCGAUUUUUACCCUUAUAACUAUCUAAUACUAUAUAUACCGAGUCAAAUUUCGUCCCAAAAGAGUGUUGAGCCAUUAUUCAUUAAAGAGAACAUCCCGUUGUAAAUCAAACAUUGAUUCUAUAUUUCUCUUGCAUUGACCAAAAGAUCAAACCAACGAAACACCAAAAGAUCAAAAAGACCAAUAAACCUCUAACAAAUAUCUUUUAGAGUUUUAUAGAUCUAGAGAAGUGACUGGGGUUAUGGUUUGUGAAGAACGAGUUCGUUCUUAGUGAUACACUUGAAGAAAAGAAUUUCAGAGGUUCUAAAGCUAGUGCUGGAGAACACAAUCGAGGAGUUCUUUGGUAAUUACAUAUUGGGGUCAAAGUGUACUAAGGUUUAGUUGUGUUUGAAACAGUAUUGUAAGUUCAAAUUUUCAAUUAAAUUAUUUCUCUUGAAGAAUUCUUCAAAAUUUUUCCUUCGUAAAUCAUUGUUUGCGUUCUUUAAUUUACAGCUUUGAUAUUUAUGCUUGAUUGAUUGCUAGGGUUUAAAUUGAUAUUAAUUCAUCUAGGACUAAUAAUUGUAACUUGUCGUAAGUUAUUAUUGGUUAAUUUUUAAUUCCGCAUAUUAUACCUAAUCACCUGUCUAGGUGUUUGUUGAGUCAAACCUAGUUUAUUGCAGUUGUCAUUUCAAUAAGAAUAAUCUGUACAAGGAAUUGAAGCUCAAUCCCUAAAUGUUAUAUGAAAAAGAAAAAAAAAAAAAAAAAAAAAAAAAAACUGCAGGUACAGGUCCCCUGUUGGAAUCUGUUGCAAUUUCCUGUACGUGUAGUGCAUCUCAUGUUAUAUGCCCAUAUACUAUCUCAUACUUCAUUGAUAUAUGGGAUUUUCUUCACACUUUCCCAAUAAUUCGAACUACCCACCUGCCGACUUCAUUUGCUCCAUAGAAUUAGUCCUAUCUAGAAAUUGUGUUAGCAUGCAUCAUGUCUGAGUAGACACUCUGGACCAAAAUUUCGUUCAGGAUGGUUUAGCAAUUUAUACUGGUAAUUUCGAUUUUAUUCUAGUUUUAUAUAUAAAUAGGAACCAUCAUUAUAGUUUUGUAAAUAUCAUUAACAGAAAGAUAUUGGAGAAAAAUAGGGUAUGCGAUCUUUCUCUUGCACACUACUUUUCAUUAAAGUAAAUUAUUGGCAGAAGAGGAUGUAAUCUCAGAUUGACGCGAGCCUCUAUAAAUUUUUUGUGUUCUUAUGUUUCCAUUUUCUUUCUACAAUUUUAUUUCUCUCGAUGAUAUAGAAUUAAAAUUUAUAAUUAUCUAUUAUAGCAACUUUUUAUCAGUUGUUUUUAGCUAGAGAAAAUCAGAUAACUGAUGUGUGGUCAAGACUUACUCUUUUUUUUUUUUUUUUUUUGGGUCAAGAUUUCUAGGCCUACAUAGCUUAGUCUUCAAAUUAAAAACGUGCACACAAUUGAGCUUUGUCUUUUUGGAUAAUGGGAAGCAAAUAAAAUUUCAUUUUGCAGUGUUUGUGUUGCACAAUGGUACUGGUGGUUCAGCUACGUACCUAAAUGCUUCAAUUUACUUUGUGGGAUAUUGAAGAAAAAAAUAUGCACAUUGCACUAAGGUAUAAAUUGUGUCCUGCACAUUAAAAUGUUUUAAGCGCUUUAAUAUGCUUGGGCAAGAAAUAUUUUCUCAUAAAGAACAAGAAAAAGACUACGAGAAGAGUUAAAUAAGUUGUAGCAGAAAAUGACCAACGUUUUAUUAUGGAUGGUUUAGAAAUUUACACUUGUAAUUUAGAUUUUAUUCUAAUUGUAUUUAUAAAUGGGGAACCAUCAUUGGAGUUUUGUAAUCAUCAUCAAAAGAAAUAUAUUAGAGAAAAUAGGGUAUGUGAUUUUUCUCUUAUACAUUUCUUUUCAUUAAAUUGAAUCAUCGGUAGAAGAGGAUGUAGUCUCACAUUGAGACAAGCCUCUAUAAAUUUUACGUGUUUUUGUGUGUCUAUUUUCAUUCUAAAAUUUUAUUUCCCUCGGUGAUAUAGAAUUAAAAUUUAUAAUUAUCAAUUAUUGUUUUUACCUAGCAAAAAGCAGAUAACUGAUGUGUGGUCAAGACUUUCUAGGCCUACAUAUCUUAGUCUUCAAAUUAAAAACGUGCACACAAUUGAGCUUUUUCAUUUUGCGGUGUUUGUGUCGCACAAUGGUACCGGUGGUCCAUCUACCUAAAUGCUUCAACUUACCUGUGGGAUACUGAAGAAAAAAAUAUGCACAUUGCACUAAAAUAUAAUUUUUGUCGUGCAUAUUAAAAUGUUUUAAGCUUUAAAACACAUGUGCAGGAAAUAUUUUUUCAUAAAGAACAAGAAAAAGACUACGAGAAGAGGUAAAUAAGUUGUUGCAGGAAAUGUUAGACCAAAUAAGCACUAUGAUUAAUUUCCCUAACUAUAAACCAAAUUAUCACUGACUUCGCUAUGAUAUUUAUGGUAUCCUCAAUGAAUUUUUACUUUUCUCAAAUGCAGUUACAAAAUAAAACCAUGUAUUCUUUUGUGUAGUUCAUUUUUUUUGUAUUGAUAUCGCUAGUAUAACUAUAUAUUUCUACUUAAAUUUUUCUCGAAUUAGUACAAAGUUUGUUGUGUCUUUAAAUAAAAAUGUAGUUGAAGUAGCAUUAAUAUGUUUAGCACUUUCAAAACCUUCUUUUCUUUUCUCGUUGUAUUGUUCCGGAGGUAAGGCAAACACGCCUCCAACCCCUCUUGUACUUGACUUGUUUAUUUAUGAGAAGACACGGUCAAAGAAUCGAAAUUCCCAUUGGAUCUAUGUGGAGGCCUAGAAAUACUGUCUAGGCAUUAAUAGUACUUUGAUUCAGCAAUAAAAUAAAUGGGUAACGACAACAAUUGAACUCAGCAACCUUUGAUAUUAUGUUGAACUAUCAUAUUUAAAAGCUUAAGUUAUUCAAAAUUAAUCUCAUUUAUUUAACUAAAUUAAACCUCCGAUUGGCCACCAUUCUCAUUCUCAUUCUUUUUCUCUCUCUUAUUUUUAACCACACAAUCUUCCAUAAAAUAAUUUUACACGCAAAUAAAAAAAAUUUCAUUAUUUUUCAACCACACAUUUAAAAAAAAAAAUAUUAUUUCAACCAUUAAAACUUGGAAAGAAUGCGCCAAACGGGGGCUAAGUUUUCAACAACAUUUUAGCUUGUUUGAUCUCCAUUUUUUUCGAAAUAUAUAUUUUCUCUUUUCUUUUCAACCACUCAUUUUUCAAUAAAAUAAUAUUACACGCAACCCAAAAACUUUUCCUUCAAUUUAACCACACAUUCUCCAUCAAUUUACUAUUUCAAAAUACAUUCUACACUAAAAAUGGGGCUCGAAUAUAAUGUCAAGACUUUAGAAGUGUUAUCGAGGUCCUAUUUGAGCCGCAUUCUUUUAAAAAAUAUAUUCUUAAACAGUAAUUAAACAUUAUUUCAUCCACACAUUAUUCAAUAAAAUAAUAUUAUACGCAAAUUCAAAAUUUUUUCUCAUUUUUUAACCACAUUUUUCAUUAAUCUACUAUUUCAAAAUAUAUUCUUUCAAAAUAAUGUGCUUCAAACACACUGAUUAUACCUCAUCCCCAAAUUUCAAGACUAAAAAUAAGCAAAGCUUACACAAGUUUCAAUAAGAGACUCAUGUCCACCUGUCAUUACACUUAAAUGUUACUAAGGGAAAGAGUAAUUCCCCGCCCCACCCUCAAUAAAUCCUUCUGAUAGAAGGGAUAUUAGAGAAAACUAAUAUAGGUAUGAAUACCCCAUAUGUAACGAUCUAGGCCUCGUGCCCAAUUCGUUGUAUUAUACAUAUUAUCCGCUCUCUUACUUAAUUUGAAAUGUUAAGGGUUCGAAUCAUGGUACACGAUAGAAUUUCUAAAGGGUAAGAUGAGUUUAGAAUUUUUCAAAUUGAUCAGUAUGUAUGAUAUAACGACUUGGACACGAAGCCUGGGUCAUUAAAAUGCGUGUUUUUUUUUUUGUAUUUUUUUUUGUUUUUUGUAAUGACUCAGUUCCUGUACUCAUACCUUGCUGUUAACUUACGUACUGUUCAUUUUGGAAGAGUUUGAGUCCAUCUUACCCUUCACAAAUUUCUAUGGCAUCCUCAUGAUUUAAACCCUUUACUUUUUCAUAAGAAUGACUUACGUACUGUUCAUUCUGGAAGAGUUAAAUUCAGAUACUAAAUAGAAAAGUGUGCUUAAGUACGAAAUGCAAAUUCUAGAAAUUGUAUUCUUGGCAGCCGAAUAAUUUGGAUGUGGGAUCCAGCUAGAAUGCGAUCGCAAGCUUCAUCAUGCAAAUUUGCUUUUUAUAUUUAAAUCAUAAGACAUUUGAUCUUCAUCAUUUUCGAAAAUAGCAAGCAAAUAAUUUUUUGUCGUACAGACAAUGAUGUAUAGCCGUGUAUGUUUUUCAAGUGGAACUAUUGGUCCAAUCCGACUAAAUGCUAAAAUUUAGUGUGAGUGAUUUUCAAAUUUUUUUGACAUUGCACUAAAAUAUAUACAUUCACAAUUGAUAUAUCCAAUUCCCAAUGAACAUGUUAUAUUUGCUGUCAAAAAUAUUUUUCACUAUAUGCAAAUGGGAAAAAAAUAAAUAAAUAAAAUAAAAUAAAAAAUUGGAAAUUACUUUCUGUAUAUUUUGAAGAAGUUAAAUGGGUGUAUCUGGGAUACGGCUGGAAUCCGACACUGAAGGAGUAAAUUAGAAGGGUUCUAGCAGUUCUAUGUUGUAUUUUUCAUUUAUUAACGGUUAAAAAAAAAUAAAAUUAGUUCAACAUUCCUUUGGCAUUUUAUACAAAUGGAUUUAUAAAUUUUCAAUAUUUCAAAGUAAUGAAAACGUGGUCUAAAUUAUCUUGGCCUACGUACUCCUGAUAUCCUAGUAUUACAAAUACCCUUCAAAGGAACUUGUAAAUUCAAACAAGACCAUUGAAGUGAGAAGCAUUUCUUCGAUUUACUGUCCAAAUUUCAAGAGUGAAAUACAGAAAUGGACAUCCAAAUCCAUGCAUCUGCUGCCCCAUUUUUCACCAAAAAUAUGAUCAUUCAGGGAUACUCAUCGCUCUGUCACGUAUCAUCCUAUCAUUUGGAGAGAUUAUUUCCUUGCGUAUACUUCUUGUAAAUGUUAUGCCCUAAAUCCAAUCGAUUUAAGUUGUAAACACUUUUAAUAUGCUUAAUGCAUUAAUUUUUGACAAGAUCUAUUAUUAUUUAAAUUAAUAUUCUGAUGAAUAAUGUUAAAUAAUAGAAUCUAAAGAUUCAAGUUUAAGUAAUUUGUUAAUCACAAAGAGUUGUGAUUGUUAAAUGUAAAUUACAUAUGAUUGGAUUUUUAAUUAUCCAUGGCCAUAAGUAAUAACAAGAUAUGAAUAUUGUUUUUACAUAUAGACCAUCACGUGUGACAUUUCUUACUUGUGAAGUAAAUAGCUGAUCUCACAAUCUAAAAUGUGGAGACACUUAAAUGAACGCGUGGAUGUUUUGUUAUAGAACAAAACAUUGGAGACCCGCUAAAAGAUUCUACAUAGAUAACUAUUUGAGUUUCAGUGGUAAUCUCUAACGAUCGAUAGUGAAAUUGGUCCUUUGACUUGAGGUCAUCAUAGUGCCUUGUAUCACAACAGUCAUACUCGCGGUGUUGGAUGUUUCUCUACCAAGGGCCGCUAAUACGACAUAGUUCGGGUAUGUUAAGAAUUAUAUGAAGGUUAUAAAUGACCAAUAGAUGAUUUGUCAUUUUUAGAUAGUAAGAUAUUAUGAUCUGCAUUUCAUUCAAUUAAGUCGAUAACGAAAUCCUUGGCCAAUAUAUACUCAAAAAUUGAAAAAGAGUUUUCGACCUAUAUAGACUUAGUAGUGGAAUAAAAGAUAUGAUCGAUGAUUGAAAUCGACACACUUCCAUAUCUCGUAGUUGAUUGGAUCAUAUUGACGAUGGGAUUAUAGUUUCACGAUAAACAAACAAGUUUGGUAUUGUUAUACCACGUGACAUUUUCCGUCACAUGUAUUAUCCUAACACAUUGCUAGAUAUCAAUUUGAGACGGCGAGUGUGAACUAGUGAUAAAUUAAAAGGGUAUUUUAAUUUAUCUAUUUUGGUUAGAUCAAAAUAAUAUUUCACGUCGUUAGGCAUCAUGAUCGGGAACCUAACGGAUCACACACAAAAAGGGAAUUGGAAUAUUGUAAUUUGUCAAUUAAUUAAUUUAACAAUCAUUAGAUAAAUUAAUUAAUUGGGUUGGUUAUUUAUAGGCCCGAAUUAAUUAAAUUAAUUAAUUCAUAGACCAGAAUUAAUUAAAUAAAUUAACUAAAUAUUGGAUCGGGUCAGGUCAAGCCCGUUUGGGUUUAUAUAAAUACAUGGCUAGGAUUUUUAAUUUGUAGAGAUUCUCAUAAUUCUUUGCUAGCACAAGAGAAGAAAACCUCGAUGACUACAAUAUGUUCUCUGUGUAGAAUUCCAUUGGAGGCUGGAUAGGACAGCUGUUAGGUUGCUAGGCAGCGCCGAAGUGAAUAAAAGAAAAAAAAUUAGGGUUUGGGGAGAGUUGAAGUGGGAGGCCUUUCAUGCAAUUUAUGAAAUUGCAGGUCCCCACAUGUAAAUUGUUUUGGGGAGUUGUCCUGCAAAUUUUAAAUAAAGGACUUGUCACGUAAAUUGCAUAGUUGAGGGGCCUGUUUUUAAUUCUGACUUGGGUCAAAUUGCAAUUGUUAAAAUGGGUUUUAAAUUUGAAUUCUAAAUGGGUUUUUAAAUUAUAAUUUUAAUUGAGUUUGACACAUAUUUGUAUUUGGGCCCAAAAUUAAUAAUUUAUUUAAAAUUGACAACUUUUAUAUUUUUGUUAAAAUUAGAUUUUAACUUAAAUAUUUAAUUUUAACCCUAAAUUGAAUUUUUUUUUAUUUAGGAGUUUUGUCCUAAAUUAAAAUAUUAAUUCAAUUUAAUUAGAAUUUGGACUCUAAUCUUAUGUUAAUUAAAAUUUGAUUUUAAUUAAUAUUACUUCCCCCACACAAAUAUUGAAAUUAGAGUAGGACUCUAACUUAAUAAUUACUUAAAAUUUGAUUUUAAUUAAAUUAUCACACCCUAAGCAAGCAAAUAAUUUUUUGUCGUACAGACAAUGAUGUAUAGCCGUGUAUGUUUUUCAAGUGGAACUAUUGGUCCAAUCCGACUAAAUGCUAAAAUUUAGUGUGAGUGAUUUUCAAAUUUUUUUGACAUUGCACUAAAAUAUAUACAUUCACAAUUGAUAUAUCCAAUUCCCAAUGAACAUGUUAUAUUUGCUGUCAAAAAUAUUUUUCACUAUAUGCAAAUGGGAAAAAAAUAAAUAAAUAAAAUAAAAUAAAAAAUUGGAAAUUACUUUCUGUAUAUUUUGAAGAAGUUAAAUGGGUGUAUCUGGGAUGCGGCUGGAAUCCGACACUGAAGGAGUAAAUUAGAAGGGUUCUAGCAGUUCUAUGUUGUAUUUUUCAUUUAUUAACGGUUAAAAAAAAAUAAAAUUAGUUCAACAUUCCUUUGGCAUUUUAUACAAAUGGAUUUAUAAAUUUUCAAUAUUUCAAAGUAAUGAAAACGUGGUCUAAAUUAUCUUGGCCUACGUACUCCUGAUAUCCUAGUAUUACAAAUACCCUUCAAAGGAACUUGUAAAUUCAAACAAGACCAUUGAAGUGAGAAGCAUUUCUUCGAUUUACUGUCCAAAUUUCAAGAGUGAAAUACAGAAAUGGACAUCCAAAUCCAUGCAUCUGCUGCCCCAUUUUUCACCAAAAAUAUGAUCAUUCAGGGAUACUCAUCGCUCUGUCACGUAUCAUCCUAUCAUUUGGAGAGAUUAUUUCCUUGCGUAUACUUCUUGUAAAUGUUAUGCCCUAAAUCCAAUCGAUUUAAGUUGUAAACACUUUUAAUAUGCUUAAUGCAUUAAUUUUUGACAAGAUCUAUUAUUAUUUAAAUUAAUAUUCUGAUGAAUAAUGUUAAAUAAUAGAAUCUAAAGAUUCAAGUUUAAGUAAUUUGUUAAUCACAAAGAGUUGUGAUUGUUAAAUGUAAAUUACAUAUGAUUGGAUUUUUAAUUAUCCAUGGCCAUAAGUAAUAACAAGAUAUGAAUAUUGUUUUUACAUAUAGACCAUCACGUGUGACAUUUCUUACUUGUGAAGUAAAUAGCUGAUCUCACAAUCUAAAAUGUGGAGACACUUAAAUGAACGCGUGGAUGUUUUGUUAUAGAACAAAACAUUGGAGACCCGCUAAAAGAUUCUACAUAGAUAACUAUUUGAGUUUCAGUGGUAAUCUCUAACGAUCGAUAGUGAAAUUGGUCCUUUGACUUGAGGUCAUCAUAGUGCCUUGUAUCACAACAGUCAUACUCGCGGUGUUGGAUGUUUCUCUACCAAGGGCCGCUAAUACGACAUAGUUCGGGUAUGUUAAGAAUUAUAUGAAGGUUAUAAAUGACCAAUAGAUGAUUUGUCAUUUUUAGAUAGUAAGAUAUUAUGAUCUGCAUUUCAUUCAAUUAAGUCGAUAACGAAAUCCUUGGCCAAUAUAUACUCAAAAAUUGAAAAAGAGUUUUCGACCUAUAUAGACUUAGUAGUGGAAUAAAAGAUAUGAUCGAUGAUUGAAAUCGACACACUUCCAUAUCUCGUAGUUGAUUGGAUCAUAUUGACGAUGGGAUUAUAGUUUCACGAUAAACAAACAAGUUUGGUAUUGUUAUACCACGUGACAUUUUCCGUCACAUGUAUUAUCCUAACACAUUGCUAGAUAUCAAUUUGAGACGGCGAGUGUGAACUAGUGAUAAAUUAAAAGGGUAUUUUAAUUUAUCUAUUUUGGUUAGAUCAAAAUAAUAUUUCACGUCGUUAGGCAUCAUGAUCGGGAACCUAACGGAUCACACACAAAAAGGGAAUUGGAAUAUUGUAAUUUGUCAAUUAAUUAAUUUAACAAUCAUUAGAUAAAUUAAUUAAUUGGGUUGGUUAUUUAUAGGCCCGAAUUAAUUAAAUUAAUUAAUUCAUAGACCAGAAUUAAUUAAAUAAAUUAACUAAAUAUUGGAUCGGGUCAGGUCAAGCCCGUUUGGGUUUAUAUAAAUACAUGGCUAGGAUUUUUAAUUUGUAGAGAUUCUCAUAAUUCUUUGCUAGCACAAGAGAAGAAAACCUCGAUGGCUACAAUAUGUUCUCUGUGUAGAAUUCCAUUGGAGGCUGGAUAGGACAGCUGUUAGGUUGCUAGGCAGCGCCGAAGUGAAUAAAAGAAAAAAAAUUAGGGUUUGGGGAGAGUUGAAGUGGGAGGCCUUUCAUGCAAUUUAUGAAAUUGCAGGUCCCCACAUGUAAAUUGUUUUGGGGAGUUGUCCUGCAAAUUUUAAAUAAAGGACUUGUCACGUAAAUUGCAUAGUUGAGGGGCCUGUUUUUAAUUCUGACUUGGGUCAAAUUGCAAUUGUUAAAAUGUGUUUUAAAUUUGAAUUCUAAAUGGGUUUUUAAAUUAUAAUUUUAAUUGAGUUUGACACAUAUUUGUAUUUGGGCCCAAAAUUAAUAAUUUAUUUAAAAUUGACAACUUUUAUAUUUUUGUUAAAAUUAGAUUUUAACUUAAAUAUUUAAUUUUAACCCUAAAUUGAAUUUUUUUUUAUUUAGGAGUUUUGUCCUAAAUUAAAAUAUUAAUUCAAUUUAAUUAGAAUUUGGACUCUAAUCUUAUGUUAAUUAAAAUUUGAUUUUAAUUAAUAUUACUUCCCCCACACAAAUAUUGAAAUUAGAGUAGGACUCUAACUUAAUAAUUACUUAAAAUUUGAUUUUAAUUAAAUUAUCACACCCUAAUUUUUUAUAGAAUUAGAGUUGGACUCUAAUCAAGAAUUUAAUUAAAAUUUGAUUUUAAUUAAAUAACUUCCCCCUAUGAUCAUGGAAUUAGAGUUGGACUCUAAUCCGAAAUUUAAUUAAAAUUUGAUUUUAAUUAAAUAGGCCCGCCAAUUAAGUUAAUUAGUUAAUAUGAUUAAUUAAUUAUUUAAUUAUUUCGAUCCAUUUAUUUAAAUGAGUUUUGACGACUAUAAUUGCUAGAUUCCUGAGACAUUGCAUAUAAUAUUAGAUAUUAUAUAGGAAACAUUUAUGUGAUGAAUGUCUAUUUAUAGAUGAUUAUGGACUCGACCAUGUGGAUGUGUUAAAUGAUUGAUUUAGUUCUUGUCGUUUUACGGGUCUACGAGCUCUUAAUUGUUUUGAACUUGCGAGUCCGUUAAUAUUAUUGUUGUUAUGGGGCUUGCGAGCUCAAUAUUAUUUUUGGACUUGCAAGUUCGUUGUUGUUGUUAUUAUUAUGGUCAUGCGAGUCCAAUUUCAUUUAGGUCUGCAUGCCAACUAGUAUAGGAUACAUGUUGCAGCUAGACUAAUUGAAGGAGCAAGAAAAUGAGAAAAUCAUGUAGAUGGUGCAUUGAUAUUAAUUCGAUGAUAUACCUCCUAGGAAUUGACCAAUUAGUUUUCCUCUUGGCUCAGGAAAAUUAGAUAAAAUAAGUACAUAAUCAUCCAUACUAUUAUUUGUAUAUUUAUUUGCAUAGUUGAUGCAUGAUUAUAUGUAUGAGACCACUGCAUGUUAAAUCCCUCGUUAAAAUAUUAAGUUGGUAUUAUUUGCCUUCCGUCAUUAUAGUAAAAAACGAGAAUCCUAAAUCGAUCUCAGCUUGUUGAGUACACUCAAGUUUGAUCUAUUAUGGAUAUGUUUGAAACUAUGAAAUAUUUGAUAUUUCUGAAUGAUUGACUUAACUAAAAUUUAUCUUUUUUUGAGUACACUCGUUUUAGAGGCAUGUUAAACUAACAUAUUAGUUGUGUGAAGACAAGGAGUUGUCGGUUUAAUGAUUGGGGAGUUGUAUGGAAAUACAAUUAAUAAUAGUAUCUAUCCAAAUGUUUUAUUAAGAUUUGUUGAGUACACUUAAAAUCUUGACGUAAUAGAUGGGAUCCUAGCCUACUGGGAAUCAAAUGAUGAAUUCAUUUUAAACAUUGGGAGCACGUUUAAUAAAAUUCCAUAUUAAAUUUGUUCAAUGCAUUACAAUAUAUAUUAAUUCUUUAUUUUUCGUCAUUAACAGUUUUCGAAUCAUGAGUAAUCAUAUGAAUUUGAGAGGCAUACUAGAUGCCAACAAACUGACCAUACCAAAUUUUUUUGAUUGGCACUGCAAUUUGAGAAUCAUUCUCAAGUAUGAGAAAAUUGGGUAUGUCCUUGAGCAGCUCCUUCUAGAGUUAUCUACUGAAAACUCCAUUAAGAAAGACGUGCUCCUGAAUUUUGCAAAAUUAGACUUCAACAUAGUGCAGAAGAUCCACCAGAAAGAGUUCAGUGACAUUACAAGGUUAGUUUGUUAUGUGAAGCUUCACUCGGUAUAUUAGUAAAAUUUAUUUACUUUCAGAUGUGAAUUGCAGGUGGUGGAAGGCUUUAGAGUUUGGAAAAAAAUUGCCUUUUGCAAGAGAUAGGCUGGUGGAAUGCUACUUUUGGAUAUUAUGUGUCUACUAUGAGCCCCAAUACUCUCUAGCAAGGAAAAUUCUGACCAAAGUGAUGGCCAUGACUUCUAUUAUUGAUGACACCUAUGAUGUUUAUGGGACCCUAGAUUAACUUAAACUUUUCACAGAUGCAAUUGAAAUGUGAGUUUUGAGUUAUUCUUUGUGUCUUAAUAUCUAAUAACAUAU
rnacentral:lncRNA from 1 species